AACAACAAACUCUUGGAUCUAAAGAUGGCGCCGAUUGUAGCUGAAACGAAGCCCAAAACUAAGAUCGUGUGCACCCUUGGACCUGCAUCUAGGUCUGUGCCGAUGGUCGAGAAGCUUCUACGAGCAGGCAUGAACGUUGCUCGCUUCAACUUCUCUCAUGGUUCCCAUGAAUACCAUCAGGAAACCCUAGAUAAUCUUAGAGCCGCCAUGGAGAACACUGGUAUUCUCUGCGCCGUCAUGCUCGACACUAAGGUACUGUUCCUCUUUCGAUUUUGUUUUUAUUUUACAUCUUGAUUUUCCUUUUAUAAUUUUCAAUGCUUUUUUUAUUUGAAUUUGAAUAGUGUGUGUGUGCCUGUAAGGUUAAUCUGUGAUUUAUAUGAAUCAAUCAAGCGACAACUGAGAGCAGGUUGAUUUUGAACUUAUAUGGAUAAAAUUAAAUUUUAGUAAUUCAUAGUGACCUUACAACUAUAAGAUUAGGUCAUGUUUGGAUAAACAACUUAUUGAAGUGGUUAUAGCAUAAUCACUUAUCAUAUAACUAAUUAUGUACAAAAGUUAAAAUAAAGUCAAACUGUUUUCAUAAAAGCUAAUGACUGUUUUUGUAAGCUACUUUGGACGGCUUAUGGAAAUACGAUGAAAACAAAAAUCUUAUUGUGGAUCUGUCUUAGUUUUUACUAUAAACUCUUUCAAACAUCAAUCUAAACAAAAUCUAGUUGUUUUAACACUUUUGCGCUAUGCAUAUAGUAAGAUAAGAGCAUCUACUAUGCUUGGUGAUUCUUACUCGAUUCUUAAUCUUAUAUUUAAGAAUCUGUUUUUGGUGAAUAUUGUUAUUUGAGGGGGAUGAGAUGAAUGGUGUACUAGACUCUGUUGUCAAAAGCAGCCGGAGCGGCCGCUAUUGCAGCACGGCUUUUUUUCAGGCCACCACUCCUAGGCACGCUGGUGCGUCGUGAAUGGGUGAAACGGUCAAAGCGGCCAGUUUCACCGCGAACUAAGCAGUGUGGUUUGGGGUCAAAGCAGCCGUGUUUUUUGGUUUAAGCAUUGAAAGAAGAGAAGGAGAAAAAAAAAUGAAAGAAAUGUGAAGAAUGACAUAGGAAGCAUGAAGCUGAAGCCUACCCUUCUUCUUUUGACCACGAAGUCAUCUCUCUCUCUCUCUCUCUCUCUCUCUGUAUGGUGAAAGCAGGCGGAGGCUGGUGGGAGAGAUGAAAAUUAGGGUUAAUUUAUUUAUUUUUUUACAAAAUUAGGGUUAACUUUUUAUUCUUUUGUCAUAAUAUAUAUUUUGGGCCGGACCCAUAAUGAUCUAAUCCAACAAACCCAACAUGAUAAGUAAAAACAAGUGGUGGUAUUAGUACUAUAUAUUAAUUCUAAAUAUAUUCAUUUAUACUAAUACUAAAUAUAUUUUAUAUUAAUUUUAAUAAUAGAAAUCAAUUAAUUAUUUUUUUACAAUAAAAAAUCAAUUAAUUAUUUUUAAUUUUUAAUUUAUAUCAAAUGAUAAAAGUGGAAGCAAAUACUUUUGUUUUCAAUCUUACAUGGAUGCUUAAUAUUAGUAAAACUCAAUGUUGAGCAUACUUGUAAUGUUGAGUGUUCUAUUAAUUAGUAAACACACUUAAGUGUUCCAUAGUCCUGAAGAAUAGUUCAAGAACAUUAUGACUUAAAUGUUUGGGCAUGUCAUGUUUCCUAUGUUUUACUAAAUGUUGAGUUGGUGCAAAUUCAAUUCAUUACUAUUCAUGAACUCCAUUAAGUGAAACCUGCAUUGUCAUGUUCUUUCAUUUUGUAUCUUUCAUUUAUGUAUCUACUUACACUGGUGUAGGGGCCUGAGAUUCGAACUGGAUUUCUCAAGGAUGCCAAGCCUAUCCAACUGAAACAAGGUAAAGAAAUAACUAUUUCGACCGACUAUAGCAUAAAGGGUGAUGAGAAUAUGAUCUGCAUGAGCUACAAGAAGUUGGCUGAGGAUGUGAAGCCGGGGAGUGUCAUACUCUGCGCAGAUGGAACCAUAUCAUUUACAGUUUUAUCAUGUGACAAAGCAGCUGGUUUGGUUCGAUGCCGUUGUGAGAACUCUGCCAUGCUUGGUGAGAGAAAGAAUGUUAAUCUUCCUGGAGUCGUUGUUGAUCUACCAACUUUGACUGAGAAAGACAAGGAAGAUAUCAUGGUAUGGGGAGUUCCCAAUAAAAUUGAUAUGAUUGCGCUUUCGUUUGUUCGAAAAGGUUCUGAUCUGGUGCAAGUUCGCAAGUUGCUGGGGAAACAUGCUAAGAACAUACUUCUCAUGUCAAAGGUAUGGUAUUUUGUGGUUUUAUUUCAUGAUAAUGAAAAUUGAUUGUUGAGCUGUUUUAAAAAUAUAUUAAGAGUUAUGAAUCAGACAUGAUAUAAUAGAGAUGCUUAUUGAAUCCACAUUAAUGUGUGCUAUUGGGCUUCAUCUAACAAAAUUCAGGAUGUUCUUUAAAGAAACUAUGUUUUUAGUACCUAGCAAUAUUUUCUAUCUCUCGUAUGUGUUAUGUUUAAUUACUUAUUUCUAAUUGUUUUUCCUCUGUUACUUCUAAAUGUAUGCGGCAGGUUGAAAACCAAGAAGGAGUUGCAAAUUUUGAUGAUAUCCUUGCAAACUCUGAUGCAUUUAUGGUGGCACGUGGUGACCUUGGAAUGGAAAUUCCAAUAGAGAAGAUAUUUCUCGCACAGAAAGUGAUGAUUUAUAAGUGCAAUAUCCAAGGAAAACCAGUUGUUACUGCGACCCAGAUGUUGGAGUCAAUGAUCAAAUCUCCCAGACCAACCAGAGCUGAAGCUACUGAUGUUGCGAAUGCAGUUCUUGAUGGCACAGACUGUGUCAUGCUUAGUGGUGAAACUGCUGCUGGAGCAUAUCCAGAACUUGCUGUUCGAACCAUGGCUAAAAUAUGUGUUGAAGCUGAGAGCACCAUUGACUAUGGAGAUGUAUUUAAAAGGAUAAUGGAGCACUCACCAGUACCAAUGAGCCCAUUGGAGAGUCUAGCUUCUUCUGCUGUUAGAACAGCCAAUUCAGCUAGAGCAGCUCUCAUAUUGGUUUUAACUCGAGGAGGGACUACUGCAAAAUUGGUGGCUAAAUAUAGGCCAGGCACGCCUAUCCUUUCUGUUGUUGUUCCUGAGCUUACGACUGAUACCUUUGAUUGGUCAUGUAGUGAUGAGUCCCCUGCGAGACAUAGCUUGAUAUUCCGAGGAUUGAUUCCAAUAUUAAGUGCAGCUUCUGCUAGAGCUUCUCAUGCAGAAACAACAGAAGAUGCAAUAGAAUUUGCACUUCAAUGUGCCAAGGGAAAGGGACUCUGCGUUAAUGGGGAUUCUGUCGUGGUUCUGCAUCGUGUGGGCACUGCAUCAAUCAUCAAAAUCUUGACCGUGAAAUGAUCUCUCAAUAUAAGUAUUAUUUCUGUUUUUUGGCAGCCUAUUUUUAUGAUGGGAAAUAAUGAACUACUAUAUUAUACCAUCUCCGGUCUAUAAUGGAUGCAAAACAUCAAUUAGAUGCUUUUAUUGGGGUUUCCCCUAUUUUACACUUAUCCGCAUAUCACUGUUUCCUUACUAUUGUUAUCUUUGAGACAAGUUGUGAACUCUUAAUUUUUUUGAGAUUAUGUAUGAACCUUAUGGUACUCGAAGAUAUGGCCAACUUUUGGCUUUUGAUAUAUAUGUUGGCAAAAAAAUGCAAUAUAUAUCUUGGUUUUUCAUUUUAACUUUUGGUUUUUCAUAUUUAAUUAUUAUUCAUCCUUAUGAAAUCUAAUGAUUUGGUCUUUUAAAUAUUCAUAAAAUUUCAACUAUAUGUUUUAAGAGUAGAGCUAUUUAGUACGGCGAAAAACUGGCAAAUGUGUAAUAUCCUCCUCUCAGGCUCUCACUGUCUCGUACCGUAUGUGUUAUGUUUUUAGGGAACCAAAAAAAAAAAUCCAACACUCAGUACGUUGUGUUUUGACUGUGUUAACAUCAAGCACAAUUCUUGUUUAAAUAUAGACAAGUUUGAUACCAUUGGUUUUUGGCAACCAUUCAUUCUGGCUCACCAAAUUUUAUUUUACAAACCCCAUAGUAAGGAUGAAAUCACAAGAAACAAAAAGUGCCAAUGCUUUUUCUGUUCAGGUACCCCCAAAAGUGAAGGACUAUUUUGAACUUCACUAAUUGGAUGUAGCAACUCAGUAAAUUAGAUGUUUAACUUCUUUAUGAUUACUACUACUAAUAGUACUAGAAAAUGUGUGUAUCAUCAAGUAAUGACACAGUUGCUUAAAUAUUCAGCUCACAGAGAAAGGCUACACGUGACGUAAGUGAUGACUAUAAAAACAGCCACUGCUUAUGAAAUACUACCAUCAAAUAUAAUUUAUAUUAUUUUUUUAUAAAAUUUCCAUCAAAUCUCUGUUGAAACUAAACUCACCAUAAAAUAUAAGUUAAAGGAUUUUGAAUUCGUUAAUCAUAGAUUUUAUACCCUUGUUUUUAUUUUGUCCCCCCUAUAAUCAAUGAUGGUAUUGACCAGCAUGAGUUACAUACAUAUUCAACAUCUUUCCAUUUAAUAAGUAAAUAUGAACACUAACUGAUUUCAUAGCAUCUUUAAUAUUGUAUAUAUAUCCUCAUGGUCUAGUUUAAAAAAUAAUUAAAUAAAAAAAUGCCUGCUACUUGACUAUGGAUUCACUAACUAGCGCCUCCUAAUCAAUCACUGCAACAAAAGAGGCAAGAAAAACCCCGGAACAAGUUCCAGACAUAUUUUCCACCUAUAUAUGCAGCAUGGAAAACUAGGGUGCAGCAUGCCGAACUGCUUGCUCAUAUGCAGAUCUGUCAAAAAUGUACUAGAUUGGUUUCUUCCUAAGCUGAAUUUUCACAGACAUAGUCAGGUAUUGCUUCACGGCAAAACCUUGGAUUNNNNNNNNNNNNNNNNNNNNNNNNNNNNNNNNNNNNNNNNNNNNNNNNNNNNNNCAAUGAGAAAGUUGCCAACAGAUACAUAUGGUACAAGACCCCACUCCCAUACAGGCUGCUGCUAUAACGAGAAAGAAACUCAUACCAAUACAGGAGUGAGAACAAUGCAUUUCGGUCUCUAUUUCAAACGAGUUCCAUCUUUUGAUUUAUACAUUCUCUUCCUGCAAGGAUCAAAAUACAUAAGUUACCAACUAGACAACUCUGAUUUGGGUGGGUCAAGAUGCCGGUAGACAACUACACAUGCCACCAGUGUUUUUAAGAAACAAAUGUGAGAAAUAUUAAUAAUGGAAAUGAUCUAGUUCUAUUGAAACUGUAUUUUUAUACAGAAAACAUAUAUAUGCAGUAUUGGCAAACAAUACUAGAAAUAAUGGUAUAGAGCAAGUGAAUUUUCUUGCAUAUCUAAGAAUUUCUGAGGUCAUUCCAUUUAUAUUAUCUUCAUUUAGAUCAUUUCUAUCCAGUUUCAUGCUUCUUCGUUCUUGACUUAGCCAACAAGAACUUAAGGGGCAGAUAUCUAACAAUCAUAGUGUGACAGCAACCUAAAUAGGAAAGAGAUUCACUUGUAGUUUUUAAAAUGGAAUUGUGUCUAAAAUAAAGAAAAAACACAUCCUCUUGCAUAUUCUAUGGCCUGGAAAGACUAUUUACUAUUCUGAAGAGCAAUAUCCGGCCUCGGUAGAAGGAACUACUAGCUAAGGUGAUGAGAUUUGAGAAAUUACAACGUCCUCGAGACCAGGCUUGCACCAGUCAGCAGUCACAGUAAUCGUUGAAAAGUAAUAAAACAAGUGGAGAAAACAAAGACAAUCAUGGGAUUAUCAAGAGUGUACUCUAGGAACAUUUGAAAGCCUUGAUAGUGAGAUGUCGUAACUGGGAGUAAGAUUACAAGGAAAACUAGAACAACGAAAAAUAUAACAAGAUAAAGAAUAAACAAGAGUAUCAGGAAACAUAAAAGGGUAGGGAGUACGGUCCCAUAACACAUAAGAGGGAAUGCAGCUAAUCAAAUAAAAUAAUAUGAUCUAACAUCACAAGUCAAAAUGCAUGAGUAAAGUCUGCAUUGUUUUAACUAAAUGAAGAAUUUUAUGCUUAGUGAUUCCAUUUUGUUGUGAAAUAUGAAGAAAUUGUUCACUGCAAAGAUUCCCUAUAUGGUCGUGAAUUCUUGUAAAGGAAUAGAUGCCUUUAACAUUGACACUGAGAAUAAUUAUGGAUUAAAAACAUCCAAAUGCAACUGAAUAACUGACAACAAAAAUUACAAAUACAGAAAUAAAAAACUAGAGUUGACGCAGCUCAACCCUAAAUGUCAUCAGCUCCAUAAUUUGGAAGACAAGAAAAGGAUACAAAAUUGUGCUUUCCUUUUUGACAAGACUCAUUAAAAAAAAAAAACCAGUAGNNNNNNNNNNNNNNNNNNNNNNNNNNNNNNNNNNNNNNNNNNNNNNNNNNNNNNNNNNNNNNNNNNNNNNNNNNNNNNNNNNNNNNNNACCAGUAGAAUGGAUAGAAUAUGGACCUGAAAGCAUUAGAGAGAAACAUGGAGCAGUACAAAUUGCAGAAAAGAUAGUAGAGUUUCGUCUUAGGUGAUUUAGGCAUGUGUUGAAAAGAUCUAUAGAAACAAUAGUAAGGAAGGUAGACAGAAUAGAGGAUAGUCCAAUUGUAAAAAGUAGAAGGGUACCAAAGAAAACUAUAGAACAAACUACUACAAAGAAUUUGGAGUUAACAAGUUUAUCAUUAGCAUAUUCAUUAUAGAACAUUAUGAUGUUAUUUGACCCAUGUAGUUGUCUCCAACUGCAAGAAAAAGUUUUGGUCGUUGAUGAGGUUGUUAUUUUUGCCAUAGAGAUAAUAAAUAAGAUCAGGAAAAACAUCAAUGUAAACGGAUUUUGUCUUAAAUCAGGUAGUUGACUAAUUUUGUCUUUAAUCGACUUUUGAUCCAAAGAAAUUGCCUGUUCUUAAGAUGUGACCUAGAGUCCAAUAUGUGGAAACUCCGCACAAACCAGGAGACAAGAAAGGUCGUUGGAAUAAAAGCAUAACUGAAACUACAAGUUGUUUCACAAUUUACAUAUAGCAGGCAUGACAAGAAAGUAUCACCGUUUAACCCUGAUCCCACUAUGAUUAUGACAAAAGUAUCUAAAAUAAAAUCUCUAAAGGGAUCCCUGUUAAAGUUUUUUUAAAAAGCAAUAAAAGUUAAUAAAACGUCACAGCAGACAUCCAUCCGGGUCAUUCAGUAUAAUGCGUACAUGAUCAAAAUUCUCAGUAAACUGUUAUAACUUAUAUGAGAUCAAGGUAAAAGAGGUUCUAGGCAAAGUAAUACAGAUUGAUGAUGUUGCAAAAAGAUAAGACUACAAAAGCAUAUACAAUAAACAAAUACCUACAUCCACAGCCUGAAAAGGUCUCUCCAUGGACGUCUUCUGAGAGACUCCAGUGGCUGAUGUUGACCCAUUCGGGGUAAUGUCAUGAUUGGGCAUCUAGAAACAACCAAUUAAAUGAAAUAGAUAAAGCCUAAUGAAGUUUAUCAAAACAGUAAGAAUAUGAUAACAAAUAUUAAAUUAAAUCCCUAUAAUGAAGGUUCCUGGAAAAAUUCCAAGAUAUAUCAAACUCUUUCAGUGUAAAACCUUAAAACUGUCAGUGGGAGUGGAAUGCACCUUUAAAACAUGUUAGAGACUAUACUGGUACCAAUAAAUAGAGCCCCCCCUCGAGGAAUGGGUAAAAAUUGAUUGGUUUGACAAAUUAGGCAGAACUUUUAUUCCUUCUUUGGGAUAGGUGUAACUCAAAUCACAAUGAUAAGUAGAAACCUAAAGUUCACCAGCAAAACUUAAUUUCCUCUGAAAAAGUUUUCAUUUCUUCCUUGUCAUUGUCAUCAAUGUAUAUCCAAUAAAACUUCACAAAGCGGAUAUUUACUGACAGGGUUCCUAAAAGAGGUAGAGUGGCAACUAACUACAGAUUAUACAGGAAUUUAUUCCCAGUUUCAUUUAUCUUUAUUCAUUUACCCAGCAGAAAAUAUCCAUAGCCGAACACAUUCUAAAGCACCAAAUAUCUCACUCUUACCAAGAAAUCCGUUCUAGGUUCGUUAUCUCAAAACUUACUACAGGACCAAGAAUAACUUGUAUACAGUUAUUUUAUUUUUGAAUCGUAUACAGUUAUUUUCUUAUCAUCAGAGAAAACUAUAUUAAGAAUACUUUUGUAGUAAACUCUGCUGUGUCCCUGCGGGCACUUUAUUAACCACUGGAUUGUGCACCGAGGAUUAAUCCAAUACUGAAAAUACCUGGCAACAAGUUAGGGUACUGGUACAUUUGAAAUGCCAGUGUAGAAAAUAUUGCCUCCCUAUAGACUGUUACGGGUAAAAUUGCAAAGUGUAGUGUCUAACCAAUACCAACUGAAAGUUAAUCAUUGAAGCAAACAUAAACAGAUAUAUGUUUAUGCGAAAAAUUUAGCAUACCCCGCAUGUAGAUUUGUUUUCUUGACUAUCUUCAAACAGGGAUGAGUAGUAUGCUGGAUCAUAUAUAGAGCCUCCAAGUAUCUCAUUGGAAUCAGAGAUUUGCCUUGCUACUGCAGGUGUCACGGGACUCAGAAAACUACUCCGUAAGUCAAAAUCUGCUGCUCGAGAAGAUGUGUCCACAUAGGAUGCACCCAGCCUAUAAAUUUGAAUCCAUAACAAUGAGGAUGAUAGCCUCACUAUGAAACCAGCAAUUUGCAUAGCCAGGGUAAGUUUCAAAGAAAAUAUGAAAAAUUUGGCAUAAUCGGCGGAAGAAAUAUUCCUGCAAACACACAUAAAGAUUUUCAUCAGAUAUGAAUCAAAAGCACAGUCAUGAUCACUUGUUUGAUUCAUACAAGCAUCAAAAAUUGGUUAAUGUGAAGUGUGAACAUAUAUACUCUACUCUGCUCACUAUAAUCACAGUGACUUCAUAUUGAUAAACAGUACUGGGUGCAAAAAAAGUUAGCAGUGACGUGACUAGAGUGCAUUAUGAUGACAAAUUUUUUUCAUCAAUCAAGAUAACCAAAGGGCACGUGAUGAUCAAAGGAUACUGGCUAUAAAGGUGAACAAGAAUCCUGCAACCACGUCAUUGGCACAAACAACCAAACUAGGCUAGUGGCAAAACUUGUUGAGAUACUCAGCAACAAAGUGAUGGGUUUUAUGUGAAUAAAACGGUAAUAAAGAUAAAGAGAUUUGUAUUACUGUGAAAAGAACGGAAUACAAGCAAACGAAAAUAGAACGUAUUGAUAGCGACGGCUAUCAACCCUAAAAAGCAACAAAGUGCUUCCCAAGCCACAAAGUGACCCCCACAAAAUAACCAAUUCUAGCAUGAAUAUUAUUCCCUCACUGACACCACCUUUAUAGCACUCACUCCCAUGCACAUCAUCACUUGUCCACCUCAUCAUUCCUAAUUCUCUUUCCUUUCUUUGGUUUGGGCUCAACUUCAAGGCCCAUCUCUUGAUCCAUGUUUCUAUCACAAUGUUAGUACAGAACAAAAUAAAAUACCAUUGUUUUUGAUUUUUGAGCUUGGAAUUGCAUUUCUUAGGACUUGUGCUUAUAUUUGAAAUUUUAACUCAAAUAUACACACCAAACAAGAUAACUUGAACUGGGAAGAAGUUCAAUUCCAUUUUCAAGGCUCAAUUCCAUCCACCAAAUGGCAGCUCAAAAUAUUCCAAUUUCCAACACAAUAGCAUAUGUCAACAAAUGAAAUUGCAAAUAAGCACGUUAAGUUUCAUGCAACUCUGUUAGCAACACAGUGAUUUGCAUCACAUCAUUCCACAAAAAUCCCACACAAAAGUCAUUAUCAUUAUUCUGCUUUAAAAAGAGACAUGAUUUCCCAGUGGCUCGGGUGUAUUUCAGUGAUUUGCAUCUCAUNNNNNNNNNNNNCGCCACACCCAUUUCUCUAUAUAACCGGAUACCACGCCUACACCAAAUAAAAUGCCUCGGUGGUGUCUAACCAACUGCAAUGUGAGAUAUAUGUAUAUUACACAUGUCUGCAUGAACAUCGCCAUAAAAUGUUUUCAUUCCCUUUUUUCCAAAAAUGCCACAAGAGUAUGACCCCGACCCAAAGGUCUUCCAAAAAUCCCAUACAAAACCAUAACUUUGCUUUAACAAGCCACAAAGGCAAGUGGUGCGAAAGAAACCUAAUUUUCCUAAUGAUCAAGUGUGAUUCGUCCAUGAAUCAUCAAUAUUCACUCUUCACACCAUACAAUCAAACAAUCCAGUGGCGAAACUCACUCACACACACUACUAAAUGUGACUGCAACCUCCUAUCAUCAUAUCUAACCAAUACAUGAUGUGAAAUUCAUAUUACAUAUUAUCUACGUGGCAAUCAAAUUAUUAAGUAAUUGGUCUGAAAUGUGAGUUAAAAACAUGUAUAAAAGAAGAGAAAAAACAUAACAUACCAAAUUUCAUGAGUGAAGAGAAUGAACCAAGAAAUGUCAAGCAAUAUAGAACAAAAGAGAAGAAAAGCAUAGGUGCGACCAAGGCUCUGACUGCUACUCUCAAUUGCAACCAAAGCGAACAAUGCAAUUGCAAGAUUUAUAAGCGACACACCAUUGUAAGAUGCUCCAAGCGAUCCAAUUAACGCGCAUCCAAUCUUGCAUUUUAUUUUUUCCAAUAAACACAUUAAAAUCAUCAAAUAAAUAAAUAAAUCAUAAGAUAAGAAAAAUGUUAUUAUUAUUAUUAUUAUUAUUAUUAUAAUUAUACCUGUAUGUAAAUGAGGAUUACAGCGAAUGACUGAAGGCUAUCGUAAUCGCGUAUCCAUGGUUGUAUUCGAUCUCUCAAAUUGCAACAACAACAGCAACAAAGCAUCAUAAAUAAUAUUUACUGUGUGUGUGCGCGCGUGUGUGGUUUUUUAAGAUUAAAAAUCAAUCGGAAUGCAUCGUCGUCGUUGUUGUUAUCGGUGAGGUUUUCUUAGAAACAAGAACGUUGUGUUGUGUUGUGUUGUGUCGUUUGCAGAGUUUCUUUUUUUUCUUCUGUGUUGUUUGUUCUUGCUGGCGAGUGAUGAGCAAUUGCCAAUUUUGCAGCAGAGAGGUAUUAAAAAUUGCAACUUGUGUUGUGUUGUGUGUGUUUUGUUUUCUAACCCUUUCUUUCUUUCUUUCUUUCUUUCUNNNNNNNNNNNNNNNNNNNNNNNNNNNNNNNNNNNNNNNNNNNNNNNNNNNNNNNNNNNNNNNNNNNNNNNNNNNNNNNNNNNNNNNNNNNNNNNNNNNNNNNNNNNNNNNNNNNNNNNNNNNNNNNNNNNNNNNNNNNNNNNNNNNNNNNNNNNNNNNNNNNNNNNNNNNNNNNNNNNNNNNNNNNNNNNNNNNNNNNNNNNNNNNNNNNNNNNNNNNNNNNNNNNNNNNNNNNNNNNNNNNNAAUCACAACUGGUAUAAUUGCCAUAGUGGUUGGAAAUAUUGUCUUCCACUAAAGGGUUGCGGGUUCGAAUCCUAGUCAAGACAAAAUUGUAUUAUUUUUUAAUAAAAAUUGCAAGAUAAAAUGGAGGGAAAACAAAUUAGGGUUUAGGGUUUGCUUGUGUAUACAAGCUUAUAAUAUAAAAGAUGAUGUGUUGCCUUGUCUGUGAUAAAAAAGUCAUGUUAAAAUGUGUCCUUAAGUAUAAUUUAAAUAGUGAUAAUGUCUUGAAUAAAAUAAUGUUUGACUUUUAAAAAGAUAAAAUGCACACUUUUCAAUAUAAAGUUAGUAUCUAUAGACACUAAUAAGUGCCUCAAGGACACAUGAUAGCUUUUCUCAAAAAAUAAUAAUGAUGUGUUGCUGUCACCUAUAUGAUGAUUGAUUAUGGGAUUGAAAUCUCACGUAUAAAUUAAUUUUUGAAUUUGACCUGAGACACACAUAUUAAGUAUCUAUUGUCGAGCUUGAAAAUAAGUUGUGGAAUUGGGUAAUAGCUUUAACUCAUCCUCAUCAUAAUAAAUGAUAGACAAAUGUUAACAUGUGCAUCUAAGGCACAUGUUAAGAAUAUAAAUAUAGAAAUAUUCUCUCGAAACAUGUGCAUUAUAUCUUUUAAGCAUUAAAUUUAUUUGUAAUAUUAAAUGCAAAUUUCUAAUUAUAGAUACAUUAACAUGUGCCAUGUAUACACAUGUUAACAACACCCUAAAUGAUAUUCUUGUCCAUAAAUGACCUUUGACAAUAGGGAAAUGCCAAUUCAUUGAACUUUUUGAGACGAUCAAAUAAAAAAUUCUGAGGGCGCCAUAUUCUAGAAGAGUAAAUAUAGUGAGUUAGGAUCUUCUCUAUUUUCAAUUAUUUUCAUUUCUUCCAUUAUUAUAUAGUUUUAAGAAUAUAAAUGCAAAAGUGUGACAUUAAGUGAGUCUAGAUAUCUUUUGUACACCUGAUGACAGCCAAUCAUUUAGUUUACUAUAAUAUUUAAAAACUUUGGUAAUGGAAGAAAUGAAAAUAAUAGGAAAUGGAGAGGAUCCCAACUCAAAUAUAGUGGACAAAUAUUUUAAAAAAAUUUCUUUGGUUGAUUCUUACGGAUCAAAGAUUGAUUGAUUACCUCUUGUAAUGGAUAACCAUUGAUAGUCGAAAUAGAGAUGGAUCACCAGAAUUUUACGAACGACAACGCCUCUAUUCAGUCCAUACAAAUAGAAUCAUUUCGGUCAAAAUUGUCAACUAUGAUCAAAUGAAAGUUUAGGGAGAGAAAACAUAAUGUUCUGGACUGGACUAAAGCUCUAUACAUUGAAGCCCAAAGGCGCAAAGAUCCAAUAUAUGUUGCUAAGCAUGAGAUAAUUACUCAAGGGAAGGACAACCACAUUCUAUAUAGCACAUAGCAUCGACCAAUGAGAAUUCAACAUUAUGCGUACGAAAAUUAUCUCUCCUAAACGAUACAAUUGUAAAAACAACAUUUACUAUCAAUAAAUUUAGGGUUAAAUAGUGUUAACCCUUACAAUAUGAGCGUAUAUCGGUUAAUCCUAUGUAAUAUUUUUUCUUAUCCCCCUUAAUAACAUGAAAAUUCCAUCAUUUAGGACCUUCGUUGAACAAGUUGGACUAUGACUAGACAAGUCUAGACAAGUCUGAUAAUGUUACUAUCUAACCAUAAGUAAUUAACGUUUAUAAAUUUGAGAGGCCAAAAUUGCAAUAUUUAAACUUCAGAUGCCGAAAUCGUCGGAUUGUAAAACUUGAAGAGACAAAAAGUAUUAGGAUCGUUUAAUUUGACGGGUUCAGUUUUGCAAUUUAAGAUAUCAGGGUACAAAAUGCUAUUGUUAAACUUGAGGGUCGAAAGUACAAUUUAGUGAAAAUAGAAUAAAAUCAUACAAAACACGGUUGAGCAUAUAUCAAACCGGGACGGAACAGUGACCGAGAGCAUCAGAAAAUGGCAGAGACAGAUUCGUCGUCUUCCUCCAACGCAGAAGAAGUAGUGUCCUCCUCACCGGCAUCGGCCUCCGCAUCGCUGGUAUCGAUGGCUGAGAAUUUUCAGCGUUCUGCAAUUGAAUCUGCUCGUACUGUUCAACACACCUCUUCCACCCAAUUUCGCACCUUUCAGGUUUCUCUCUUUUUCCCGAUUCUACCUAUUCGUUUCGCCAUAGGAAACAUAUAUAAGAUCAUAUAGCUUUUAUUUUUCAUAUUUCAUUCAUCUGCUUUUAAAUUGGUAUGAAAUGUUAAUUCCCAAUGUGGCAACACCAAUAGAGAGGGUUUCGUUUCCGUUCCCCGAUUCUUCAUAAGAUUCUUAGAAAUUUUAGGCUGCAAUGCAAUGGCACCAUUGACUCAUGUAGUUAUGCACCUGCUCUGCUACUUUAUGGAUAUACUAAUAUAUGUACUAUCUCUAACACACACCCUUUAAACAAACAAUUAUCAACGAUGGAGGAACUCGUAUAAUAUAACCAACAAUAAAUUUGUCCAGGUGGUAAGAAAUUUGGGCCCCUUAAGUAGAUGGUUAGGAUUUUGAUCCUUGGCUCCCACAUAUAGAGAAAAUUGGUCUGGGUCCUCUGGGAGGGGAGAAUCCACCUUGUGUGCCCCACAAGUUCUCUGACGAAGAUUAGUCAUUGUUGAAUGACGGUGGAAUCUUCAUACCUAUAUCAAACACAAAUAUAUAUAUAUUGUUUGCAAUCUAUUGAUGCUUUGUGAUGGAAUAAUGUAUGCAAGUUGUUUUGUUGAUGCUGCAGCUGCAACUGCAAGCUUAUAUACUUCAUUUCUUUCUGGAUGAGUAAGAGUCAAAUAUUGUAGUGAACCAAUAAAAUUCAUAUUCCCUCUAGCUCUUCUACAACCUUAACUAAAUCGUCUUACUCUGGUGCAUUUGCUUUGCAGCAAUGCAUAUUAACUCACAAGAAGCAUAUUCUGACUAGACAGUUUUUGGUCUCCUAUAAUCUGUCACAUAUAAGAAUCUACCAGUAUCACCACUAAAUUUAUCGUCACUGAUCAUCACUAUUAUUACCUCCUUUGGCAUUUUCAAUACCAUCACUGCCACUACCAACAUUAUGUUAGGGGACCCCAAUCACUAGUUAAUUAGAGAGAGGGAGAGAGAGAGGGAAUAAUAGUUUAUAUAUAAGAGGAAAGAUGUGGGAGAGCAUUCGGUUAAGUGAGUGUUUUGGGGACUUUGGGUGGGGAGGACUGUGGAGCAAAUCCUUGACGUUCUACAAUAUGCUGAUCUCUUUAAUUAGGGAGUUUAUCCCCAUUUCAUAGAAUUAUAUACAUUAUUUCUACCAACUGAUAUUGGCGCUGUGGGAAAUCAUCUUGAGGAUGAUUAAAAUGUUUGAUGUUUUGAUGAAGAGGAUGCUUACUGGCGGCGGCUUAUCAAAUGUGGAGCAGUAUUUUGAGGGCACUGGAAUACUUGGAGGGUAUAAUAUAUCAAGUUCAAGAGCUGGAAGGUUGUAAGGAGUGGUGCUAUCUAUUGGUGGUUUUGCUAGAAAUGGGGCAACCAAACUACGAUGUGGUGGACUUUGGAGAUUGCUCAAGCGAUUCCUAUGUGAAUAUGACACAAAUAUACCGGUGCCUGUUUGGGACGAGGGAACAGAAAGUGAAUUGUAAUUAGAAUCAUUAACAUUUCAAGAUGGGAAUAAAGAAUCAGCUGCUAAGAGGCCAGAAGUAUCUAUAGAAAAGGAACACGAACCAUGGGAGCUAGAAAUCUUGGAACCAGAGAGUCAAAGACAACCCAGAUUUGGAGGGCACAAAAGCAACCAAUCCACAGUUUGGAUCAAGAAGCAGUAAAAAAACCCCAAGAUGAAGCCAUGUAGAGGGUAAACAAAAACCAUUAUGGUGGAGAAACACCAAAGAAUGACCGAAGGGCCAAUUAAAUGUGGAUGGAAUUGGAAACCCACUCCCUAUACUACACGAUGACUGUUGUUUUAGGGACAUACAACUCCAAAAACAUGUAAGAGAUUUUUCCGCAGAGAAAAGAACAAAAAAUAGGGGAGAAGAGGAGUUGCACGAUAUAUUGUGAUUUGUGACCGAAUAGAACCUUAAGAAGGUUUGGGUAUUUUCCGAACCGCUAAGGGUGCCUAGCCAGCCUGCCACCACUGCCAAAACAAAAAAACUAGAAUUAUAUUUCUCGUUUCUUUGUAUAUUUAUACAUAAAAAGGUUUGAUCUAAUUAUGGUUGAGAGCAAGUUAGAAUUGAUAUUAUAAUUCUAUACACGACUUUCACUUUUGUUAUCCAAAUAGAGCAAUACACAUUUUACCAGAUUCAGUCCAGGAGCCUAAGAUAUACUAAGAUCAGAUUGGUUAAAAAAUAAUAUGUUGCAAUAUGUUUUUCAUAUCAGUUUCAUAUUUUAUUAUGAGAUGUUCUCAUAUAAAUUAACCUACUAAACCUGCCUGAAGUUAUGAAGCUUGAUUAGUUUGGGAUUGUUUUUCUUUUAGAUCAUAUACGGUUUGAUGCCAACAGCUAUUGAUAUAUAAUAAAAUAGUAUACGAAGUCAAAUUAUCUUAAAGAUUGAAGCAAAGUUAUUUUCAUGGUAUCUUUGAAAUAUUGUAAAUAAAUAUAAGGUACUAUUUUACAUUUCCUUUUUUUUUUUUAAUUAUUGGUGAGGUUCUUGCAUUAGCUUUCCUACUCGUUGUAGAAAAUAUUUUUUCUUCUAAUGGCCUAGCUUCUUUACAUACUCUUAUUUUUUUUCUCUUUCCAUGUUCUUUGUCUUCUACUAAUACAGGAAAUUUUUGACCACGUGUAAUCCCUUUUCUAUCUCAAUAAAAUAUGAUUGCUCCAAAACUCAUCCAGAUUAUGUUUGAUUCUUUUGCAGAAUUUUUUACCAGAAGCAGUGUCACAUUAUAGAACUUAUGAAGAUGCUUUCGUCAAUAAAGUUAAAGGUGAUUACAAUUUAAACAGUUUCAAACUUAUGAACGGUAGAUUUGUUCUUAAACUUUGAAGCACAUUGUAAUGGUUUGGCAAAAAUAAGGUUGAACUUUUGUGGCCUUGUGUAAUGUAUGCAUUUAUUUUAAAAUUUGGUUGGAGCAAAAUGCUUGCAUAGGGUUAUGUUUAUGGCCUCUAUUUGGUGUUCAGACUAAAGUUGUUUAUUCAAUGUUUUUUUUUUACACUUAUGAUAUGCGAAAAGAUCACACAGCUUGCUGUAUUUUGAAUGUUUCAUGGUUUGCACUCUACUUACUAAAGACUAGAAUUUGGAGGAUAUCUUUAAUUUGAAAAAUCAUUGUAUUUCCUGGGUUGUGACUUGUGGGUGAUUUUUAUUUAUCUAGAAUCAUAAUCAAUUUAUGAUCUUAACACUUUUACAGAUGGACUGAUGGUAGCAAGGGAGAACCCGGCUAUAGGUGUUGGUUUUGCUGUUUCUGCUGCCCUUCUUGUUAUGAGAGGUAUUUUCCCAUCUUUUGCACAGACAAGUAAUAAGUUUUCCUACACUAUACCACUUAAAAGUUUUUCUUAAAAUGUUCAAUUAACUACUUUUGUAUCUUUAACUUUAUAUUGUCACAAGGUAUUAUAUUGUCGCCAGUGUGGGGAAACUAAUGCAGGAUCAAUUGCUUAUUUCCUUCCUUUUUUGUCUUUUUUGUAGUUUCUAUUUUAUUAAGUAGUCACAUGACUAGCACCUGUCCUUUAAAGGACUCCAUGGCCAAGUUUGAUUUCAUAUAACUUGGAUUGGACUCGGUAAAUACAGUAAUACAGUUAACCUUGUAUAAUAGCCCCUGGAAAUUGUAUUCAGCUUUCAUACAAUAUAUACUCCAAACUUUUAACCAUGAUCUCAUUCUAUUAAGAAGCUGCUGUUUAUCCGCUCCUUUCAUUGCAUCAAGUAAUAUUAAAACCACGGCGAGGCUUAUCGGCUUAGAGUAGAAUUAGAUUUGUUGUGAUGUACUGUUAGAACUGAAGAGACUGAACAAUUAGUUAGGGAUAGUUAUAUAUAGUAGUUAGCAAGUUAGCAGGGGGAAUAAGAUCCAUAAUAAUAAAUAGAGGGAUACAAGGGUAGAGGGAUCAUCGAGAUAUGUUAGCAUUGAGUUCACACAUCUGUGGCUCAGUUGUAAGGAACCAUUGGAGGAGAAAUCUUUUGCCAAGUUCUAAGUGUCAAACAGUAAAAUCAAUUUUUUUUCUUUUUUCUAUCUUCCACUGUGGGUUCCUAACACAUUGUUGAAGAUUUGUAAUGUUUAAACAUGCUUUGAAGCAAUAAGCAUCGUGAGGAGGGAACCUGUAUAAAAAAUAAGAAGGCAGCCUCAACCUUGUAGGCAAUUUGCAAAGUAGUCCUAAGCAAGAUAGCAUAGUAGAAAGGACUUCUCCACUGAUCUAUGAUAUCCAGAUGAAACAUGGAUCCUCAAAAGGAACCUGAUUAACCACAUCAAUAUUUCAACCAAUAAAUGCAUUUUUCAUUGGUCCAAUCAAGAAAUCACUCUACAAGUGGAAGAUAACAUGCCAGAUCAAUGGUUCCGAUUUUUUUUCCUUCAUAAUAUAAAAUUUUAAGGGGAGAAUACAAAUUUUUGGAUCCAUACCUUUACGAUUUUUCUAAGUUAGAAAAUAUUGAUUUUACUUUAUUCAGUCAGAUAUGCUCCAUUCAAUACUUCCAACAUUUGAUUGAUCAAGCUAGUUAGUUAAUUUAAUGAUGUGUGUGGAAAGGAUCCUAAUUUCUCCAAAUUCAGGGGACAAGUCUGGAAAUAAUUUUAAGGUUUUCAAAUAUUCAGUUUUCACGAUUAAAUAUGUAACUUAUCAAUUUUUCAGUAAAUAUUUAAUUUUGGAGUGGACGAUUUAAUGAUUGAGCUGAAAACUCUAGGAAGACCUAUUAAAACUUAAGAAUAGUGGAAUCUUCCAGUUGCAGAGGUUGGUGGUUCUCCAUACUUUCCACAUGAAGUUUGCCUCCCGGAAUCUAAAUUUUCUAAUAAAAAAAGCUUUAGAAUAUACCAUUAUAAAAUACCUUGCUCAAUGCUCAAAUUGGUAUCUGAUAUAGCCCAAUGACAUUGAUCGAUUCAUGCUACUGAUCCCACUUGGUAAGAUAUAACCUAUUGCUGUGUUUUUUUUUUGAAGGCAUAACUUGACUGUUGUUGUUAAUGCAUAUCUUAGGCAAUGUGAUCAUCCACGACUUUUGUACUAUAAUAUUGCAUAUGAUUCAAACCAGUUUUAUCUAGUGCUGUUUUCUGUGUCUCAUCAAGUCAACUGAAUUUGUAAUUGUCAUGUAUGCUAUUUUAUUUUAAAGUGCUUAACCUUCUUGCAGCUCCAAGAAGAUUUCUGUUUCGCAACACAUUGGGUCGAUUCCAGAGUGAGGAGGUAAUAUUCAGUUGACCAAUCAAGAUGGAUCCCUAACUUAUGUCCUUACUUCUCCUCUCUAUUUGUGAUGCAUAAAUCAUAAUAUGCUUUUUCCUUAUAUUGUAGCUUAAUAUUUAGGACAUUCUAUCUUGAGAUCUUAGACAGUUGUGUCUUUUUUUGACAAAUAGACAGUUGUGUCUUAAAUGUUGUAAUAUUUCAUAUUCUGUUUGUUUCACCUUUUUUCAUGAAUACCCAUGAAGACACGGUAUGCAAGUGCUGAGAAGAAUGUGAAGAACUUGAACCUUUCAGUAGAUUUGCUAAAAAAGGAGAGCAUAAAAUUGCUUCAAAGGACAUCUCUUGCGGAGAAGGAAAUGAAAUAUGGGCAUAAUGAACUAAUGUAUGUAUUAUUAAUCAAGGAAAGGAUGUUUGGGUUAUUUGAUUACAGCUAAAGUAUGCCUGAAUGUUUUACUCCAAUGAUGAAUAGGAACACUGGAGCCCAAUUACAACGACUGGCAAAAUCAUCAUACAAGGUUGAAGCCAGAGCUACAGGUACGCUGUAUAAAAAAAAAAUUAACAAUUAAGUUCAUGUCUUCUUUUGUGUUACUCCCUCCGGACACAAUUAUAAGCAAAAUUCAAUUUUUAGGUUCAUUGAAAAAGUAAUGUAUUUAGUCAAUAAUAUAAGACCAGAUUAAUUACUUUUUCAAUGAAUCUAAAAAGUGUUUUUUGCUUAUAAUUGUGUCCGGAGGGAGUACGUUUUUUGUUUCGGAAAAAAAGAAGUUUUUAUGAAUAUUUUGACCCUUUCAUAUUUACUUUGAGGAUGUGUGAUGAUAUCCACUGCCGCUUUAAAAUUUACCCUCUAUUAUCAUGCUGUAGAUUUAAUAGACAGGCUGCGCGAUAUACCUAGCCGUGAAGCUCUGGCACUUCGAGCUGAGGCAAGUCUAUGACUUUCUAUUCUUUGUUUUCCAUAAGCGCAGUUGUUUUGCAUUACUUACUGUUUUCUGUCCACCACGAAUACAUGACUAGGUUGCCUCUUUGGCUUCAAACUUGAAGCGACAGAGAUCUGUGCUGGACAAACGGAUAAUGAAGAUCUCUGAGUUGGGGAUUUCUGUGUGAAUCAGUGGACAAGUUUUGAUCCUUCCCUUAAUGCACACCUGCGUCAAUCAUCUCAUUUUAUUUGGAUAAAUUGUCCCGAGGUGGAUAGCUUUACUUAUGAUGCAGAUCCAUCCAUUGGGGCAUCUAUUUUUUGGUUUGGUCAAUUGAAUGAAUAGGUAGAUGGGGCCUUAAUAAAAAGGUGUGAUUGAAAAUUUAUCUUUAGAUAUUACAGCUUUAAAGAAGUUCAUAUUGAAAGUGACCUAUGUUUGUUCAAUUUAUAAGCAACAACAAUUGUGUGUGGAAACAUCAUUAUAGGUGGUCUAUGAGAGAUCACAUUUUAAUUUUGUUUGGUCUGUUAAGUGUUGCAAGUAUAUCAGAUUUUAUAAUGCAUUGUGUGUGUAAAAUUUUCCCCAUUUUCUUUCAACUUUCUCUUCUCCUUCAUUCUCUAUACUACAGAUGCCACAAGUGAAGUUAGUGAGGAGCACACAUCUUCAACAGUGGUCAUCACCGAUGCCGGCUACCCAAAACUAGCAAAAUAAUAUACUCAUAAAAGAUUUCCCCAACUCAAAACCAAUGCCCUAAUUUUCUAAAGACCCAACAACAGUUACAUAUACCCUAGAUAGUUUGUUUCCAGCUAUGUUUGUGAAAUGUUGUUCCUUCCCAUGAUUAAGAUUGAUUUAACUUGUUAAAUGUUGUUCCUUCUCUAAUUCUAUGUUAGUUGGUUGCUUUGUCUUCUCUCUGCUCUUUAGUGGCAACAAUGGUGGUGGUGGUGGUUGUGAUCUUUGCUUAUGUCGUACACUGCUGAGCUGAGAGGUAUUGUUGAACUGAUGGCAUUAGGGUCUUUGUUUCUACAAGGAAAAUUACAUAUUUUUGGAGCUUGGUAAUGGGUGAAUGAAGUCAUUCACAUAUUCCUCUUCUAAUAGUGGUGGGUGGUGAGGCUUCUUGGAUUGAAUUUGAUUUGGUGAGACUUAUAAUUUUUCUUAAUAUCUUUUAGAGCAAUAGCUAAAGUAGCUCCUAAUACUACGGUUAUUAUACCAAUCAAAGCUAUUCCACCCAUUAUGGAGGGUAUAACUAUGAAAAGAGGNNNNNNNNNNNNNNNNNNNNNNNNNNNNNNNNNNNNNNNNNNNNNNNNNNNNNNNNNNNNNNNNNNNNNNNNNNNNNNNNNNNNNNNNNNNNNNNNNNNNNNNNNNNNNNNNNNNNNNNNNNNNNNNNNNNNNNNNNNNNNNNNNNNNNNNNNNNNNNNNNNNNNNNNNNNCAAAGCUAUUCCACCCAUUAUGGAGGGUAUAACUAUGAAAAGAGGAAGAAGUCGGGCUACAAGAAAAAUUCUCGCUGCUACCAUAGUAGCAACAUGUAUAAGAGCAAAAAUAGGAGUAGGACCUUCCAUAGCAUCAGGUAACCAUACAUGAAGAGGGAAUUGGGCAGAUUUCGCAACUGAUCCGCAAAAUAACAAGAGGGCAGUGGUGAGGGAUUUAGAUAGAAUGCAUGAUGCGAUAGGUUUGAUCAUCACGGGCUCCACUAUAAAAAAAGAAUAUAAUUGUUGUAAAUUGUAAUCCUACUUUCUGUCGAUGAUACUACUUUCUAGAAUAGGUUUCGUAGUUUUUUUUUGGUUUAACUACAUAUUUGGUCCCUUACGUUUAUUUUAGGUUUCAAUUUGGUCCCUUACGUUUAAAAAGUAUCAAUUUGGUCCCUUACGUUUAUUUUAGGUUUCAAGUUAGUCCUUUCCGUUAGUUUUGUCANNNNNNNNNNNNGACAAAAUUGACGGAAAGGACUAACUUGAAACCUAAAAUAAACGUAAGGGACCAAAUUGAUACUUUUUAAACGUAAGAGACCAAAUUGAAACCUAAAAUAAACGUAAGGGACCAAAUGUGUAGUUAAGCCUUUUUUUCUUCUUCUUUAGAUUGACAAAUUUUUCCACGUAAAAACUAUUGGUAUGAUUCUUCUUCGCUAUAGUUAUAAAACUAAUAUAGUUUGUAUUAUUCUCUUUCAGGUAUGUUUUCUAUUACGAUGCGAGUCUUAUUUAUAGGAAAAUACAAUGGACCAAUACUAAUGGACAUCAACUAAAAUAUUCAUAACACUUCUCUUUGUUCUAGUAAUCUUUCUCUUCAUGAGUGUUACUCUUACAAAUUUUGCACCAUUCAUUUGAUGCUCCUUCAUGCCAUCUUCCGCCAUUCAUGCCUCUUUUCUUCGUGAGUUUCUUCCUCUACCAUCACCUCUUCCAAAUCUGCCACCUCUUGAAGACNNNNNNNNNAUGUUGAGUUUAGAUUGAAAGACACUCUCAACUGAUAUUUUAGAGCGCCAUAACAACCUUUGCUCGUAGGAUCUCAAAGACCCCAUCAAAACCCUUGAACAUACAUAAUUGAUAGGUCCUUAGUUUUCUCUAUAACAGCCACCAUAUGAUCAAAUUUUUCUGCCAAACUGAUCAGAAUUUUAUCAAUAAUUUUGUGAUCAUCUAUUGUUUCUCCAUGUGACUUCAUUUGAUUCACCAAUUUAAAGAGUUUAUUAAAGUAUUCAUUCAAACUCUCGUUCUCCUCCAUUCUUUCAUUUUCAUAGUCCCUCAUAAGAGAUUGAAAUUUCAAAGUGACAGUUUACUCAUGUAACUCUUCACUUUCAUUACCUUAUCAUAUUCCACUAACGUGAAAUCAACACAAUGAUCAACACUUAUAAAUAAUACAUAUAAGCUUAUUUUACAUAAGCUAGAUUAUUUUGCGACCUUAUUUAAAUAAGGUAAUAAUGCCGACGAGGAUGUGACUCAUCCUCUUGCAUAGGCUUGUUACAGAUGAUGAUAAUCAAAGCUUGACCAAAGGUUUUGUGAUCGAUGAAUUUAGAGAAGCAUUGUUUAAUACUCAUUUAGACAAAGCACCAGGACCAAAUGAGUUGAAUCUAGCGUUCUAUAAAAGAUUUUGGGAAUUACGUGGAAAAGAAGAUUAUCAGACAAGAAUGUAGUGGCUUCAAAGAGGAAGUUUUUGACUUUAGACCGAAAUCUUUGUGUAACGUGCUCUACAAAAUCAUAUCCAGUGUGUUGGCGAAUAGGCACAAACCUCUCCUUAACCGGUAUAUUUCUGUUGAAUAAUAUGCUUUUCUGGUUGAUAGGUCUAUUUUUGAUAAUCUUAUGGAGACCAUUCAUCAUAUGAAAUAUAAAGUGAGAGGGAAACUAGGCAAAGCAGUUAAGCUUUGAAAAUAGAUAUUAGCAAGUCAUAUGAUAUAGUUUAUUUUUUAAGGAAGUCAUAUGAUAGAGUUGAACGAAGUCAUAAGGAUAAAUUGUUUAAUAUUUUCCUUUUUAUUAUUAUUCACCUUGUAUUGAAAGUACUAUUAUGAAUAAAAUGCACUAAAUUUGUUUGAAAAAAAAAAAAAACUUGCAAAACAGAUUAUUCCUAGUCAAGGAAUGAAGCCGAGCUAACACAUAAAAUAUACUGAAUUAAAUAUGUAGUAGAUAUAUUCAUAAAAGAAUUUAAUUUAUACAUACCGUCGGUUACACAUGCGAUUAAUAAUAUACCAAUAGUCCAACACAUCAUGUAUUGUUUUUAAAAAGAAUUUAAUUUAUAUGCACCGUCGGUGUAAAGUUAUUUUGCACAUGCGUCCAAUAAAAAAUCGACACAUCAUGUAUGGUCAUUAAAAACACAUGAUUUGUCACAUUCAUUAAAUGACGUGGCAACGCGUCAUUGAAUGUAUGUGUAAAAAUAAUUUACACCGACGGUGCACAACAAUUAAACUCUUUUAAAAACAUAUGAUAUGUCACAUUCAUUAAAUGAUGCGGCAACACAUCAUUGGAUGCAUGUGAAAAAAAUCUUUACACUGACGGUGCACAACAAUUAAACUCUUCAUAAAAUAUAUUGAAUUAAAUAAAUUAUAUUCCUGUACCAAAAAAAAUAUUAUAUUCCUAUAUAAGUUGUUGCAACCGGGAAAUCUAAGAAAUCAAUUGAAAUAUAAUUUUCAUAAUAAUAAGUUUCAAACAUAAUUUUUUAUUUACCAACACUUAUAAUCAAAUAUAAAUUUUAUUAUUGGAAAUGCAAAUCUUAUAUUUUGACAACUAUUUAGCUGGUUUCAAGAAGUUCUUGAACCAUUGAACAGAUUGUUUUGGGUAUCUCUUCAAGUUGUCUCUGUAGUCAACAAAAUACAGACCAAAUCUAGAAGAGUAUCCAGCUGCCCACUCCCAAUUAUCCAGCAAUGACCAAGCAAAGUAUCCUUUCACAUUGCAACCAUCUCUGCAAUUAGCCAAAUCAAUAAUAAUAAUUCAUUAACUUAAAAUCUAUUGGUCAUGGACUUUAAUGCACUAAUUAAUACUAGGUAAUAACAAUAUUACAUACUUGAUAGCUGCCUGUAGAUUGGAUAAAUAGCCACUGUAAUAUCUAAUCCGUUUCUCAUCUUUCAAAGCAUCUUUCUUUGAGAUAAAUAUACUAUUUGGAUCAUCCAUCCCUGUCAAAACCACCACCAAGAACAUUUAGCUUGCAAUUUUUAUUAUUUACAGCCGUAUUUUUUUUUACCACCAGUAUCCGUCCCUUUGACCUAAUAUGUUAUACUUUAUCAUGAACACGGAGUAAUAUCAACUAUGUAAUUUAUGGAAGACUUCAAUUUAUAAAUGCAAGCUGGAAUUUUGCGAUAUAUUAUAAGAAUUUGAAGAUUACCGUUUUCGGUGAUAAAGACAGGAGGGUUCCCAUACUUUUGUUUGACAUAGUUCAUUAAGGUUCUCAUACUUUGUGGCACAAUAUACAACCAUAUAGAAUUUGCCUGCAAAAAGUCAGAAUUAUAGAUUUAGUGAAAUUAGUAUUUCCAUUAGCUAUAUAUUGAGGUAUAUAUAAGACUUAGUAGUUCUGUUUAUGUGAUUAAUGAAAGGAGAAAUGAUUGUGAUUGGACAUGAUAUUUAAGGACAAGAAAUAAUGCUUCAAUUAUAUCGAACUUACCCUUUCUGCAAUAGCUUUAGUACCAUUGAAUGCUGAGAAAGAAAGGAAAGGAAGAAAUCACUUGGUGGCAAUGCAAAACAGAAAAUUAUAAAGCACUAUGAUAAAGUAAAUGUUAGCUUGAUAAUGUUUGGUUUGGUCUGAAACUUACGAAGGGUAAUGGCACCGGAAUCUGCAAUAGAGUCAUGGAGCAAAGUUCCAAUCACAUUAGUAGAAUUGUUUCUUGCAUAAAAUGUGGUGUAAUGAUUAAUUCCAACAAAAUCUAAUGAACCCUUAACAAGAGCAGCCUCAGAUGGAGUAAAUUUUGGCAGCCUGUUUCCUACUCUGCUUCUCAUUGAACUUGGAUAAUCUCCAAACAUCAAAGGAUCAAGAAACCUAUCAUUAAGACAUUUAGCAAUUAAUAUUGAGUUAUUAUCACUUUCUUAAUCCUUAAUUUCAAAUGUAAUCAAAAUGUAAGUAGUGUUUUUGUUAAUGAUCUAUGAGGUACCAUAUGUGAAUGACUUACCAACCGAGCUGAAAAUCUUGAGCUCUCUGAGCAGCUUCAAUAUCAUCUUGAGUGUUUGUGCGGGGCUCAUACCAAAUGACAUCAAAAGCUAUCCCAAGUGAUCCACCUUGUGUAUUCUGUCGAAUAACCGAGUUAUUACUAUUAGUAGCAUUUUCGCAAACAAUUUUCUACAAAUAUCAAGUUGAAUUUUCACAAUGUUCUGCCUAGUUAUGAAUAUUCUUCAUUCCAUUGCAUUCAUAAUAGAAUUCAAAAAAUCCAAAACUUUACCUUAUAUUUUUUCCUAUAAAUAUCUGCUACUGCUGCAUGAGUAAGUAGGACAUUGUGAGCAACAAUGUAAGGUUCGGUAGCAGAGUUCCCUGCCCUACAAAACAGGUGAAGGAGAAUAGAGCACCGUCCGGGUGCCUGUAAUCCGACAUCAUAUCCUUGUGUAGUAAAUGUAUGUGGCUCGUUAAAUGUGAUCCAGUGCUUCACCCUGUCCCCAAAUUUCUGAAAGCAAGUCUCGGCAUAAGUUGCAAAGUCCUUUCUGUAGCACACAUGAAUCGUAUAUAAGUAUUUUUUUUUUCUUUCUGCAUAUCAAGAAUCAUAAGAAUACUGAAAAUCACGUCUAAAAUUAUUUGCAACGUUUCUCAUACAUGAUAUCAGUGCUGAGCCAUCCCUUGUACUUGUCUUCCAAGGCUUGAGGUAGGUCCCAAUGGUAGAGUGUUACAUAAGGUUCAAUUCCUGGAAAUUUAAGGAUCAAGCAAUCAGAAACAUGCAUAACAAUACAUAGAUUGAGCUUUUUUAAGUUCAAAGCUAAAAUACAGAAUUGAUCAAAUGAAAUAAUUAAACCAGGGUUAACGAGAGUUACCAUUCGCCAAUAAUGCAUUUAUGAAUUUAUUAUAGUGAUCAAUUCCUGCCUGAUUGAUUGCGCCGGAUCCAUCUAACACAUUAAAUAUUUAUGGUUUCAGAUAAUCUAAGAAAUUAUGAACAAAAAUAUUGAAACUUUAUGUUUAUGGUUUCACAGAAUUGUACAGUGUGUUAAACCGAGUACUAAUUUUGAAGUUAAUGAUGAGUAUGAAUGUUGCUUACUGGGAAAAAUUCGAGACCAAGAAAUGGAAAAUCUAUAGGCAUCCAUCCCCAAGUCCUUCAUGAGUUGUAUGUCUUCCUGCUUAAUAAAAAAUUUCAAUGUUCAAAUACAAACAUCCUUUCACCAAUCGUUAAUGCAAUAGUUAAAUUGUAUGUAUUGCAGCUUAGUUUAUUUCAGUAAAACCUAACUUGUGUUUAUUUCAGUGUGGAUAAUGUGGCAUUAUCAUAUAUAUAUAUAUAUACACGAGAUUCGGUGAUGAUUCCAUAAAACCUGACUUGUGUUUGUGUCUGCAUAAUCUCUAAAUUGCUUUAUUUGAACUUAUCUACUGCCCUAGUACUUUUAAUAUUGUUUGAAAGAACUUAUGAAAACAACUUAUAAAUAACAUAUCCAUAAGUUAGCUUCAGCGCAUUUCCAUAAGCUUUUCAGGUUAGUUUAUGAAAACAGUUUUUAGUUUAUCUGAAAACGGUUUGGACUUUAUUUUAUAUUUUAUUAUAGAAAUUGUUUAUUCAUAAGCAUUUAUAUAAUAUUAAUUAGGUUGUUUAUCCAAACAGAACCGAUGAUGCAGACUCGCAUGGCAUAGACUGAAUUGUAUUAGUUACUUACUUCAUAUCGGUGGUACUGAUCUACUGCAACAUCAGCAUUGCUGAAAUCUGUUACCUUGCCUGUAACAAAAUGUGAGGUGAUGAUCAGCCAGAAUUUUAGCAUAUUAUAAGAAUCAUGCAUAUGUAGCAUUUGAGAUACAUGUAGGAAUAAUACUUAUUGUCUCCGUGAGCUUAACUCAGUUGACAAAGAAAUCACAUUGUAUGAGCAGGAGUCGGGGUUCGAACCCCAGACACUCCAAUUAUUCACUUUAAGAUAAAUUUUAUAACCACUAGGUUACUUACAAAAAAAUAAUACUUAUUAAACUCAUCCUUAAAAAAAAAUUAUUAAACACCUAUAUGAACAAAAUAGUACUACUAUGCAAUAAAUACCCAAUGGAAUGCGCCUUACCAAAAGUAUGAGAAAAGGUAUCCCAUACAGAUGGUCCCCUUCCAUCUUCUUUCACUGCUCCUUCAUACUAGACAAAAGUUACAUCAUAUAAUAUAUGAAUAAAUAUUAAAUAUACAUUUACCAAAACAAAUAUAUUAAAUAUACAUCACUUGUUCAAAAAGAUAGAUCGAAACAUAGAAGUCAAACAACAUUUACCUUUUUAAAAAAGCCAAAUUCAUUAGUUAAAAAUAGUAAUAGUGAUAGGUACAAGUAAUGCCAAAAAGGAAACUGCAGAAAUAAUUAGUUAAAAAACACUACCACUUUUGGUUUCAACGUUCAACUCCACCGCUUCUUAACACACCCCACAAUUUCCUAAGAAUUUAAUGCUAUUCAAUGUUGGUCCAAAUCUACUACUCCUACUCUACUAGUUUUUAAUGUUAUUUUUUUUUUGGUAACAAGUUUUUAAUGUUAUUACUUGCUCAUUAUAAGAAGAAAAAAAAUAUUAUAUUUAUUAAAAAAAUUAAAUAUAAUAAUUUGAAGUAUAAUUUUUUGUGUUUUUUUUAAAUAAGUUACAUGGAAAUUUAUAAAAAUAAUUUUUAUCAAUUCUUGAAAAUGAUGAAAGUUGUCGUUUUGCUUAUAAUUUAGGAUAAAAAAGAUAAUUUAUUUUUGCUUAUAAAUUUUAUAUCUUAAGCACAAAUAUUCUCAAUAAAAAAUUAUUGAAUAAUACGUCUCAAAAUAAAAAAUUAAGAUAUGAACACAAGACAAUUGUUUUAAUUAGCAUUUAAUUAAUAUAAUGAGAAAAUCAUAAAAAGUGACAAUAGUAAAUGACAAAUUUAUUUAGCCACUAGGUUUGGUCUAAUGGUGAGGGAUUUUGGUAGUAUGCUCUAAGUCAUAGGUUCCAUUCCCAGCUCGUUAUAAACAAAAAAAAAUGACAAAUUUAUUUGGUUGGUAGAACGGUAGCGGAGCACAAUUAAUUACUCCAACGUGAAAUUUUGUUCUUCAUCAUUUCUUUCUCUUAAUAAUUAAGGAGUAAUUUUAAAAAGAAAAUGUACAUUAUUGACAAAUGUAAUGCAAGCGCUUUUGAGUCUUAUAUUUUAGAAUAGACACUACAAAUUAUCAUGCAUCAUAAUGACACUUGUUAAGAAGAUAAAUAUAGUUUGAUUCCUUCGUCUGUGUGUUACUUUGCCGCUCCGCCUUCCACCGCUUCUCUCCCUCCUCAGGGUGGCGCAACUGCCCCCUAGCCACUUCGUUUCCACUCUCUCUCCCCCUCUCAUCUCUCCCUCUUAAUAGAGUUUCUGAACCUAAAUCAAACCUUCCCACAUAAAAAUAUCAUUAUAAAUGAUUUUCUUUUUUUGUAAUAUUUUCUUCUCGUGAAUUUAUUAUUUAUAUCUUAAUUUCAUAAGCUAAUUCAACUAGUUUUAAAAUUUAUAUAUUUUUCUCUCAAAUUUACUAUCGUCAUCAUACUUACAAAAUUUAAAUAUAAAUUAAACAUAUAUUUCUUAUGUCAUUUCUAAUUUAUAAAUUAGUUUAAUCGAUAAUUUUACGUUCAAUCAAUUGAAACCUACCGUAUAAGUUAUUCGCGCUAUAAACUCAUUCAUUCGUUGCUAUCAACUAUAUUCUCUUUUGCCAAACUAACUCUUAGCUUUUACCAAAUCAAAGAAUAACCGUUGGAAAUAUCAUAAUUAAUAGCAAACUAUAUCAUAAUUAGAAAAAAAAAUCAAUUAUUUCCUUCACAUACUCAGUCAAUUGUAAUGGAUAAUCAUUGUCAUGGUUUAAAAAAAAAUACAAUCUUAAUGAAGCCACUCUGUGUUUGAUCUAUCGUUUUCAGGAACUCACAAACUAGGUAUACAAGUUUUCUAAAUAAAAAUUGAGAGUGGAUUAUUUUGUGACCUGAAACAGAGAGUAAAACAGUAUUGUAACUAACUAACUAACUAACCUGAAAUGCAGAAGAAGCAGUCCCAAAUAUAAAUCCAUGUGGAAAAUCAGCCCUGCUAAACUCCGCCGAUAGACAUAUCUGAAUCUCUACUGAUAAUAUUAUUAGAACAACAAUGCUUCUUCUCAACGCCAUUUAAUUUAAUUAUAGGUGUGUUGUGAAAUAGGACCUAUAAUUGAGGAGUGAGGAGUAUAUAUAUAUAUAGGAAUACGAAUGAAAUGGGAAACAACCGAAUAAGGGAGUGGGGAAUGGAAUAGAGUGUGAAUUGGGAGAGAGGAAUUAAUUGACGACAACGAAUUGAUGAAUGAAUAUAAUAAUUAAUUAAUUAAUGUAUGUAUGUAGCACUAAAAAUCAAAUCAAAACAAAAGAAACACGUUUGGGAAAGUGGCUUAGGUUGGUAGUAAACAUUUGCCUUCACAUUCACUCUUUUUUUAGAUAGAGAUAGAGAUAAUAUUGCACCGAUAAAUUAAAUACUGUGUUUGUCACCAAUCUUAGCGAGUUGCCUUCACAUUUGCCUUCCGAUUUCUUUUUUAUGUCUAUCUAUAAUCAACAUUCUAACUCAAGAAAUAUUGUAAGUACUUAUGUAAAUUGGUUAUAUAAAAGAAAAGAUUUUGAAAGAUAAUUCAAAUUAUAUUGUGAUAUAAGUCACUUGGCCCUCCGCACCACCCUCUAUCCAAAUCGACACAAUCCAGAUUGACGCAAAUAGUUUCAAAUUGUGCUGGUUUCGUUUAUGUUGGUAACAAUGUGUUGUUUUUAUGUCAGUGGUUGUGGUGGUGUUAGAUCUGUCCGGAUCCGCUUCACGGUGGCUCGUGGUGUGUGUUUCUACGAUAUGUUCUUCUUUCACCAAUUGCUGAUAAAACCUCAUUACCUAUCACUCAUGAAGCCGAUUUACAAUAAUUACGUAGCUUUGAUUCACGUUUGGGAAUACGUAGGACCAGUGAUCCUCCCUGUUGAGCUAAUCGCCGAUUAGGUCUCAGAACAUUAGUAAGAACAAAUAAUAUAAAAUAUUUAGGUUUAAAUGCAGUUUUGACCCCCAAGUUCUACAAUUGUGAAAUUUUGACCCUCAAGUUUCAAUUGCGCGAUUUUAACCCCUAUGUUUUACAAAAAUAUUCCUUUUCAAAAAAAAAAAAAUUUAAUCUUAAAGUUAAUGUAUUCAAUACUUUAAUUUUUUUUUAAUUUUUUUUUUCUAUUUUCUAUUUAUAAUUUUGAUAUUGUUUUGGGACAAUACAUUAAUUUUGAUUUCUAUUUUCUAUUUAAUAACUUCACAUUUGUUAAACAUAUCAAAAAUAGAAAUAAAAAAUAAAAUUAAUGUAUUUUUUUUACAAACAAAUAAAAUUAAUGUUUGUGAAGUAACUUUUUAUACUUUUAAGUUGUUAGAUGCACAAGUUAUAAAAUAAAAUUUCAUUGUUAGCUGGAACAUCAACCCGUGCGGUGCGCGGAUCUAAUUAGCCUAAUAUUAACAAAAUAAAAUAAGAUAUAAUAAAUGUAACAUUAACAAUUAGUUCAACAAUAAAUUUAGAAAAAUAUUCAUAUAGCAAAAAUUAUGGUAUAUUACGAAAUACUUCUUUUAUAGGCUACAUUGAAAGUCUUAUUUGUAUCUUCACCAUCUUCGUCGAUAAUCAAUAUUUUUAAUCCUUCUCUAGAAGUAACUCUUGAAAUCGCAACAUACAACUGACCAUGUAAAAACACUGGCGACGGAAGAUAUAUCCAUGCUUACUGUCCUUAACUCUUAUUAAUAGUCUUCGCAAAAGAAACGAUUAAAAGAAAUUGACUCCGUUGAAAUUUAAAAGGAAUUCAUACAUCAGAUGGUGUUAGAGACAAUCGACGUAUGAAAAUCUGAUCACAAACAUUACUUUUUGAAAUAAUUUUUCCUUCAAGAACACGUUUUUCCAGUCUUGUUCCGUUACAAAAUCCUAAUUUUUUUAUUCAAAUUUCUUAAUAGCAUAACUGAAACUCAAACUUUAAGUCUCAAACUUGUGAUUUGGAAGGCCAGACGAAUCCAACAACAUCAUAUAUGUUAAUCGACUGUGUGUCACUCAAUUUGAGACGGCCGGAGAAAGAGAUUAGUAGGUCCGGAUGACUACAAAAGAUACUCAUGCAACAAUGAUAGCAAUUGAGAGCAGUGAUUUGAACGGCGCUAAAUGAGUAAAUUACCGAUUCCCACAAGAAAUUGACUUGGAGAGAGGUGAAAUGAAAAAAAAUCCACUUACUCACUCACUUAACACUGAGCUGAUAUGGAUCUGCAAAUAGCCUCGUAGACAUCACAUCGGGAAUUACGUCCUUGUAGUUGUUGUUGUUGUAGCUCCACUUCACACUCCACUCUAACAUGCUCUCUACUAAUUUCCAACUCCAACUCUCACUAUUCUAAGUAGUUGGUGGAGUUUCUCAACCCUAACAUAACCACAAUUCCAACUCAGAUCUGAUCCUAAUUUAUCAAUUAGAUAGAUGGAGGGGAACUCCGGAGGGGGUGGUGGUAGUAGUGGUGGCGGUGGUGCUGACGUGGAGCUUCUUUGCAAGACGUUACAAGUUGAACACAAGCUAUUUUACUUCGAUCUGAAAGAAAAUCCUCGUGGUCGUUACCUUAAGAUUUCUGAGAAAACCUCUGCUACUAGGUCCACCAUAAUCGUUCCCUUUUCCGGCAUUUCUUGGUUCCUCGAUCUCUUCAAUUAUUACGUCAAUUCCGAUGAACAAGAACUUUUCAGCAAGGAAUUGCAGCUCGAUACAAAGGUUCUAGUAAUAAUCCACUAAUUCAAUUCACCUAAUUUUUCUUUCCCUGUUUCUCUAAUUCCUCUUUUUCUCAGGUUUUCUACUUCGACAUUGGAGAAAAUAGAAGAGGCCGUUUCUUAAAGGUACCUACCUACCUACCUACACAUUUAGGCUUUGUGGAGUUUUCAAUUGCCAAUUUUAGCAAUGUGUGUUUACUGUUUUCUUUCCCAUGAGGGAUAAGGAAAUUGAGUUAUUUAUUCUUGGGAAGGAGUCUGGUAAGGUAAAUAACAGGUAGAAAUUAAUGACCUUAAGAUUUUCAAAUAGGAUUACAUGUCAAAAUUAGAAAUGGUUCAAAAUGGAAAAUUGGAAAUUUUAAUUUGGAUUUUGCAGUAAAUGUUGAGCAUGACAUUUCUAUUGCGGUUGCUUGAAAUGCAUAAUACUACUGUAAGUAAGAUUUAGGAAUUCAAAUUUCACAGUUUCCUGCUCAUAAUGGUGGGUAGAUAGAGAGUACGUUGUGUUUUGCAGUGUUUAAGUAGAAUUAUUUUGGUACCAGUGAAGACCAAACACCUGCAUAGCAACAUGUCGGAUUUGUAUCACUAGAAGCCUUGAACUCUGCAAUAGUAAGUAAAACCCCUUUCUACGAUGAGAAAACUAGAACAUAAUAUUGGUAUGUUUAUGUUGAAGUUAUGUGGAGGCAGAGUUUCUGAUGUUUCUUAGGCAUUGACUUCUGAAGCUUAGUUUAGAUGUCUGUUUGAUGAUUGUUUUUAGGGUCCUUUGCUUAUGGAAUUUUAUAAUACUAAAAUGCCAAAAUCCUUGUUGUCAACUUCGGUUUCUUUUGAAGACUCUCACUUAACCGUCAAGUUGUAUAAAUUGCACUACAAUACAUAUCAUCCCCAUACCUACACAAUUGUUUAGUCUUCAACUUGUAUGUUCAAUACAUCAAUCUUUUAUUCCCUUCUCCUUCAAACCCUGUUUUUCUCUUAAUUAGUUACUUUCUCUUCUAACUCCAUCUGGAAAUAAUCAAUGAUUUUCCCAUUUAUCACACAGUUCAUAAUAUGUGGAAAUGGAUGGACCUCUUAUUUUGUCUGCGUAAAAUCUUAUGUGUCUAAUAUUUUAGGGGUAUCUUCAUUCUCCCCUUUUAUAUUCAUGUUGCCAGAUUGUUGUUCCUAUCCAAUGCUUGCCCUUCAAUUUGGGUUUGAGGGUAGGGAAGGGGUAAAAAAGGCGUUGAAGACCAAGUCAUAAUUUUGUAUUGAAAGUUUAGGGUUGCUGCCAUUAUUGGUUCCUCUCUGUUUUUGCAUGUGCUGUUACACAAUGGAAAAACUCUUCUUAUUUUUGGUGCGACAUCAUUUAUUAUUCGAGAAAAUUGAACAAAAAAAAACUAGUUUUAAAGCAUGCAUCACAGUGGAAUAUAAGAACACUAAAACCGGCCUGCACUACAAGGAAGUAGCUAUGCAGUCAACUGCUAUAUUCUGCAAUUCCUACAUCUUCUAUAUAAGUCGCUGUCAAUAAAUUUGCAUUUGAAUCUGGUGACAGGUUAUGCUAAGUAACAUCUGCAAAAACAUUCUUUGCAAACAACUCUGGUAAUUGGUGUUUCCAAUUAACCCAAAUUGUUUAAAAGAGGCUACAUGUAGUCCUUCAUAAAAAAAUUGCUAUCUUGUUUUGCAUCCUUUUGGGCUUACCCUUAUAUGUGUAUUUUGGAAUUUCUAUCUACGGGAUUACAUUACAUGUAUGCUUAUUUUUUUUUCUUUUCAAUAUCCUGACUAAUUUAUUUUGCGAAGGUGUCUGAAGCUUCUGUCAGCAGAAACCGUAGCACUAUAAUUGUUCCUGCAGGAAGUGGCAGGGAUGAAGGGUGGGCAGCAUUCAGGAACAUUUUGGCAGAGAUUAAUGAAGCCUCGAGGCUUUUCCUUCUGCCCAAUCAGGUUUCUUUCUUUUGCAAAUAGAUAGUUAUUUUCCUGCUUAGCCACCAAUAUUUUCCUAGUUGUCUUUUUUGUGUUAAAACUCAUGUUGUUUGUAUUUCACAACAGCAAAAUUCUGAAUCCUCAGAGCGACUGGUUGGACUUUCGGAUGAUGUUGGUGCUGGUUUCAUAUCGGGUCAUAGUACUCAACCUGCCCCCUCUUCUGAACUGAAUGUCGACAGGUCCGUUGAUUUGCCAGCUCAGGAUGAAAUUGGGAACUCGGGGGUCUCAAAAGUGAUCAGGGCUGAUCAAAAAAGAUUUUUCUUUGAUCUUGGAAACAACAAUAGGGGUCAUUAUCUAAGAAUAUCUGAGGUGUGUUGCUAUUGUGUUUUUGUUGUCUUUCUGCCUUAUAGCUUAUUGGACUAGCUUAUAAGCUUGUUUGAUAAAAAUGUGAAGUGUUUGGUAACGAGCUUCUCUAACUAGCUUAUAGCGUUUUUUGAGAUACUAUUUCAAGUAACGUAUGAGCUUAUAGCUUUUUACAUUUUCCCCAUUUUUACCCUUAUGAUUUUUAUUUAUUAUUUCUUUAUUUUUUUUAAAUAUAAUAACUACCCACUAAUCAUACUCACUAACCAUGUACUUUUAUGUCAUUUUGUACUUACAACAGCUAAAUUUACCAAACACUUUAAUUUUAUUCUACUAGCUUUUCAGCUAUAAGCUACCAGCCAUCACCUAUAAACUAGCUUUUCAGCUAUAAGCUAGCUAGCUUAUAGCUUAUUUUUACCAUAGUUUGGGUGGAAGAUUUUCUGCUGUAAAUUCUUGUUAUCUCAUUGCAGGUUGCAGGUUCUGAUAGAUCCUCCAUCAUUCUUCCAUUGUCAGGGCUCAAGCAGUUUCAUGAGAUUGUUGGUCACUUUGUGGAAAUCACCAAGGACCGUAUUGAGGGUAUGUCAGUUGCUAAUGUCCGUACAAUUGAUCCCCCUCAAAGAUGAAUGCUAACAUGGGGAUUAUGGUGACAAUAAGUAGUCCCCCUUUGCCAAGGUUUCAUCAUGGAUAUGAAUGGGUGUUGUCUUUGAAUUUGAUUUGUGCUAUUUUAUUUAUCCGCAGCCUCAUCCUUUUUCUAAUAUAUAUAUUGUUCUACAAUUAAGGCUUUUGAAAUAAAUCAAACACUUGUUUGUCAGCAGAAUAAUGGGAAUAUCUCUACAAGGUUAGUAAUUUGAAUAGGUAAUAAGGGAAGAAAAUGGACCAGAGACUUGUACUUGAUUGGAUAGUUUGGCAACGGGACUAUACUUUGUACUAAUGAUUGUUUAUUUUGCUUUCCUGCACAUAUUUCACAUGGAUUAAAUUUUCAUACAGGCUAAGGUAUCAACACCUAUUCAGAUCAUAUUUUCGGUUUUAUUAUUUGCCUAUUUUGUGGGGUUAUUCUCAUCUUGCAUCAACUGAAACUUGAUCUUUAUAAGUAUCUGUUUCUAUCAGGAAUAGAUUUUCUCCUGUAAAAAUCUCUCGAGUUUUCUCGAGUGUGAGAAUCUACACCAUUACACAUUGUUUUUUGACAAAAAAUAUCCUCCAUGCAUUUAAUUUUCAAUGGCUAGGAUUUCACUGGUCCCUACAAUCACUACAGAGGAUCCAGUCCCAUUUCCAUCGUUAUUCAUAUCUUUCGAGUAAACAUUCACGCCUCGGAAUGAGUGAAAAGUCGGAUUCAUAAAAAAAAUUUAAGUAACCAACAUUCAAUACUCCAACCCAUGGCCAUAGAUGCAAGUCCCCCUUUUCACCCUCAAUAUCCCUUUAUCACAUUUUUAUAAACACUAAUAAAAAGAUUUUUUUUUUUAAAAUGAAAAAUAAAUAAAUACAUAAAGUUAUUUUCUCAUCUAUCCAUAUAGGCAAAACCAAACAUGGUGCUACUUUAUUUGAUUUUCAAUAUGAAUAAUGCUAGCAACACACUUUUUAACAAACACACUCAAAUACACUCUCUUUUAUUGGUUGAAAUUCACAUGGGUCCCAUAAAAAAAUGUGGACCUAUAUAACUUUUAUAGGAUCCAUAUAAAUUUUAACCAAUAGAAGAGUGUGUUAGAGUGUGUUUGUUAAAGAGUGUGUUGCUAGCACUCCUCAAUGUCCUUUAAGACUUAAGGGUUCAUUUGAUGGUCAGAAUAUAUGAUACUCCCUCCGGACAUAAAUAUAAGAAAAAAAGACUUCAAAUUUUGGUCACUAUAAUAAGCAAAAGUUAACUACUUUUAAACUAAUUAAUACUACUAUUAAUAAUAUACCCUUAUUUAAUUCUACUUUAUUUUAAGCAUUUAUUUCAAUUUUACACUUUUCAAAAUGGAUAAUAUAGUAAACUUAACUAAAGUUUUGCAUUAAAUCAAGAAAAUUAACUACACUUAACUAAAUUUUUUAAACGCCAUGAAAACAUUUUUUUUUCCUUAUAUUUGUGUCCGGAGGGAGUAUGAUAAUUGUAUCAUAUCAACAAGAUAUCAUAUUCUCCAACUUUUUGGAGUUGUGGAGUCUUUUGCUGCUGGUGGUACAUAUUCUCCAACUUCAACUACUGAACACAUGUUGUCUUGUAAUCUAAGGAACAACACCAUUUUAUCCUUCCAGUAGUAGUAAUCAUCUCCUUCAAAUAAAGGCAGUCUAUUUGAUGAACCUCCUUCUGAAAUGAAUUUUGCGUUUUUUGUCAUUACUUCCUUCCUAAAUUUUUCCCUCUAGCACUUGUUAGAUGCUCAAUCGAAGAGGCAGAGCUCUGAUGCCAAUUGAAUUAGCAAAGUUUUUCACAAGGAAGAGGGGUUGAAUUGUGAACCUUUUAAAAUUUUCUUAUAAAAUUAAUCUCAAACCAAAAUGUUAGAAUGAUCUUAGAUCGAUCUGGUUAGUGAUAAAUAUAAAUCAAAAGUAAAUUGUGUGUGUAGUGCUUGCACAAAUUAAAAGAUAGGGAAGAAGAGAAUCAGCACACAAACAAUUAUACUGGUUCACCCCUAAGUAUGAGUUAUGUCCAGUCCUCACGCUCCGUGAGUGUAUCCACUAAAUUCUUGAGAUACUACCGAUCACAAAUUUCAAACCUCCUUGAUAUAAACCAAGAUCAAUAACCUUAUGCACUACAAGCUUAAAUCUACCUCAGUCCAACAUACUUUAAGAGGUGUCACUCAAUCAAUAGUUACGCAUUGACUUGAACCAAUCUUUCUUUUACAAAGAAUUGUUGGAUCAAAAGCUUACAAAUAAACUACAUCUAGUUGAGAAGCUUAAACACAAAAGCACUCGGUUCACUCAAUAGUAUACUAGUCCAAGUAUUUAAUUCAAAGAGAUGGGGAGUGAGUGUGAUUAAAUACUUAUUUGGAUAAUUGGAUAAAAGAAGAGCUUUCUAGUGAGUGUGAUUAAAGAAGAGCUUGAAAACUUGUAUAAUUGGAUAAAUACUUAUUUUUUUGGACAAAUUUGAAGAAUAAUUCUAAAUUUAACUGGGAUAUAUUGAAAGUUAAAAGAAAAAGUCGAAUCCUCCUAGAGAGUUUCAAAAGCUCAUUUUUGAUGAUGUUUCUGGGGCUUGCAUGCCCAGGAAUGUCCGGUUAACUUAGUUUUUUUUCUGUUAUUUUUUGGGCGUUUGCCCUCUCAUGUACCAAAAAAAAAAAGUCGAAUAUAAGUUUGUAAUAUUUCAAAUUUAUCCAAUUAUCAGCUAGUAUUCCUCAAAUAGACACCAAAUUCUUCUCGUGACUCCGUGAGCACGGUUCAAUGAUAAGAAUUUAACUUUAAAAUUUUAGGGGACAUAAUUUAAAUUCUCUUAAUGAUUGCUGUAAAACUCUUAAAGAUUGCUGUAAAAUAAUCAAUAAUUAAUUUUAUAUAGAUAUUCAAUAAAACCCUAUUAUUUUGCAUGCCUUCCAUUUUAUAAAUGCAUUUGAAAAUUAAUUUUUAGUUUUAUGAUAUAAUAACUAGAUACUAAUAUAAUUAUUUUACGGUGGCAGUGGCACCCAUGAAAAAAUAGAGGGCUCGAGUAAAAAAGACAAGAAAAAAAGAAGAAAUCUCUAGUUAGAUGUUAGUGACACAUGAUAAACAUGUCAUUCUAUUUAUAUUAUUAUAGCAAAUGUAGAAAAUUAAAAUAAAAAACAAUAACUCUUUUAACAUAAGAGAGGAGACGAGUAGAUUGUAAUUCAAUCUAUGUGAAGUGUAAUUCUCUCAAAUAUGUUUUGCAUAAGAAGAGAGUAGAAUAUACAUUUUGACAUAUGAGGAGACAAUUAAGAUAAUAAUGCAAUUUAAGCAUCAGAGAAAAGAGAGUUUAAUUUUAUAAAAUGAAUUUACGAGAUAUAUAUAUAUAUAUAUACAUAUACACUUAACUAUUAUUUUUUCGUCUCCAUGAGCAUAAUCAGUUAGUAAUAGGGACAAUAUUAUAUAUAUGAAUUGAGGUUCGAACCAUAUAUAGUAUCACAUUAGCCACUAGACUACUCUAGAUAAAAACUAAAAAAAUAAAAUCUGACAAAAAAAAAAAAAUCUACAGGAGUGGUGUGUUCAAUUUAUGCAAAACUUAGAGGAAUUAAUGAUAUUCUAAUGGUAAAAACAUUUUUGGCUUUUAUUUCACUAUUGUUCUAUAUUUGGAAUAAUUAUUACUAUAUCCUCUUCAAAGCAUAUAUUUAUUUAUUUAUAAUAUAUAUUUUUUAUUCUCUUUAUUUAUGGUAGUAGACCUAUUAAAUAGGCUAUAGAAAGGGAUUGAUCUAUAAACGUAGAGAACUAAAUAAAGCAUGUGAAUAUUUUCAUUGGGUUUUCCUAAUUCUCAAUGAAAGAUUAAAUUCUAAAAAAAGAAAGUAAACAGAAAGUAAGAGAGAAAAAACAGACAUGAGUGGUGGAGAGACACACAUAAGGGGUGUGGGUGAGAGACAUAUUCGUUGAAAACAAACUCUAAAAAAAGGUUUGCAAAGACAUAUAUAAACAUAUUCAUGUUGAACAAGAGAAACACAACACAAUAAACAACUAUCUUUUCCAAUAAACAAAGAAAAGAAAGAGUUGAGAGAAUAAAAACACACAAAACAAUAAUGACUCGUGGGGCUAUUAUAGCUUUGUUGGUUUGCCUUAUGGCAACUGCUGUUAGGUCUGAAGACCCUUAUGUUUACUACACAUGGAAUGUUACAUAUGGUACCAUUUCUCCUUUGGGUACUCCCCAACAGGGUAUUCUUAUCAAUGAUAAAUUUCCUGGACCUGAAAUUAAUGGUUCCAGUAACAACAACAUUGUAGUUAAUGUGUUCAACAACCUUGAUGAGCCACUCCUUUUCACAUGGCACGGUAUUCAACAAAGGAAAAACUCAUGGCAAGAUGGUACACCGGGAACACAAUGUCCCAUUGCCCCAGGAACCAACUACACCUACAAGUUCCAGGUUAAGGAUCAAAUUGGUAGUUACUUUUACUACCCUACCACUGGUCUCAUGAGAGCUGCCGGUGGUAUUGGUGGAAUCAGAGUCUUCAGCAGAUUGUUGAUUCCUGUCCCAUAUGCUGAUCCUGCUGAGGAAUAUUGGCUCCUCAUGGGUGACUGGUACGGAAAGAGCCACACCACAUUGAAGCAAUUCCUUGACAGUGGUCGAUCCAUUGGAAGACCUAGCGGAGUCCACAUCAUGGGAAAAUCCAACAGUGCCGAACCACUCUACACCAUGGAGCCUGGAAAGACCUACAAGUACAGAAUCUGCAAUGUUGGUCUUAAGGACUCUCUUAACGUCAGAAUCCAAGGUCACCCAUUGUUGCUUGUUGAAACGGAAGGUUCCCACACCGUCCAAAAUGAUUAUGAUUCCCUUGAUGUUCACGUCGGCCAGUGCUACACUGUCCUUGUGACCGCUAACAAGGAACCCAAGGAUUACCUCGUGGUUGCUUCCACCCGUUUCACCAAGGAGGUGCAAACCGCAACUGCUGUUCUCCGUUACUCUAACGGUAAUGGCCCUGCUUCCCAUGUUCUCCCACCUGCACCAGUUGGUUGGGCAUGGUCUUUGAACCAAUUUCGUUCUUACCGUUGGAACUUGACCGCUAGUGCUGCUAGGCCCAAUCCUCAGGGAUCUUACCAUUACGGUCAGAUCAAUAUCACUCGUACCAUCAAGCUUGUUAACACUGCUUCUAAGGUUAACGGAAAGCUUCGUUAUGCUCUUAACGGAGUUUCCCACGUUGACACUGAAACCCCACUCAAGCUUGCUGAAUACUACGGUGUUGCUGACAAAGUUUUCAAAUAUGACACCAUCGUUGAUAAUCCCCCUUCUGUCAUCAAUGAAGUCACCGUAGCUCCAAAUGUCAUCAACGCCACCUUCCGUACCUUCAUUGAGAUCAUCUUCGAGAACCCCACCAAGAGCAUUCAAUCUUACAACUUAGAUGGAUACUCUUUCUUUGCUGUCGCGUAAGUAAUUAAUUAAUUAAUAUGAACAAAUUUUACAUCAUUAUUAUUACUAUUAUUAAUUAAUUAUAUUUUGUGUUUUUGUACAGAGUUGAGCCUGGGAAAUGGACACCUGAGAAGAGAAAGAGCUACAACCUUUUGGAUGCAGUCAGCAGACACACAGUGCAAGUGUUCCCUAAGUCAUGGGCCGCAAUCAUGUUGACAUUCGACAACGCUGGUAUGUGGAACUUGAGGUCAGAACACGCUGAGAACAGGUACCUUGGACAACAAAUGUACAUCAGUGUCUUGUCACCUGAAAAAUCUAACAGGGAUGAGUACAACCUUCCAGACACUCAGCUUGUUUGCGGCAUUGUCAAGGAUAUGCCAAGGCCUCCACCACAAUACAAUUAAUUUCAACAUUCAUGCAUUAGCUUGUUGAUGCAUUAUAUUAAUAUAUAUAAAUAAGUAUAUGUAUGGGUCGGUUUUGCUUUCAUUUCUUGUAUGCUAACUAAUGUAUCAACCAACCCUUUCUUAUAUACAAGGAGUUUGUUUACAUAUAAUAUUAUAUAAUUUUUAAAUUUCAUCUCCUUCUGAUCUUCUUUCUCUUCGAUUUCUCUUUUAUAAUUUAAUUGUAUUUUUAAUAGCUAAUAACUUGUACUUUCACUUGUUUAUAUUAACUAAACGUAUAAAUUUAAAAUUUCAUCUCCUUCUGAUCUUCUUUCUCUUUGAUUUCUCUUUAAUUUAAUCGAUGGAAAUAUUUUUAAUAGCUAAAACUUGUACUUCCCGUUGUUUAUAUUAACUAAACGUUUGACCCGCGAUAUCGUACAUGUCUUGUAAUAUUAGAGAUUUCUCUUAAAUGAAUUAUGUCAAUUAAGUCUAGCAAGUAAAAAUAAUGGCUAAUUUGAAGACAUAAGUUAUAAUAACUACUAUAAAUUUAGCAUGACAUGAUAAAUAAUAAGGCUAUAAUAACUACACAUUGCUUAUUAUUAGUAGUAUUAGACAAAGGGGUUUCAUCACAUGUAGAUAUGUAAUUUUUUGUUGGUGUAUAUCUACAUAACUAGACACAUUUGUGCUUCUUAGAUAACUCAAUCAUAAUUGAAUUUGCUUAUGAAUUUGUGGUUUUAUAAUUUUAGUUUUGAACAAUACUAGUUCUCUUAAAGUGAAUUAUAUAAGACAAAUAUGAACCCUAUGGUCUUAAAACUUGAGUUUGUGAUAGUUAGUACUAAUAUAUAGUGAAAGUAUACGUGCACUAUUUAUAAAGGAAAGUCUAUAUUGCAUUGAUUUAUAUAUUGGGUGAUUCUGAAAUAUUAUGCUUCAUUUUUUGCAUGGCUCAAGGGAUAUAAUUCAUUCCUAUAUAUAAUAUAGUUGCCAAAAAAAUUAAGUUGUGAGCAUGCGUAACUUACAAAGACAAUUCAUACAAUAAACAUCAAUAAUGAUAAAGGUCUACUUUAAUAAGUGAGUUCCAACAAUAUAGUUUAUGAGUUUUGUUUUGCGAGAAAUCUUGAUAAUGAUUGGUGUUCGUUAAUACUAUAAACAAUAUACAUGUUCUCACGUUAAUACCUAACGGUUGAAUUGCUGUAAAUAUGCAGAAAUUAAUAAGUGUUCGUUAAUGCUAUAGCCCUAGCAUCGAGUUCUUGAGUUACUUUUCCCAUUAAUGCUGGCUAGCUUUAUAUCUCAGUUCGGGAUUAGUAGUGUUGUCACGAGAUAACCUAAUUAUCCUAUAGAUUUAUUCAAUAAUACGGCCAGUAUUUUGAAUAAAGCAUUAAAGUAGUAGAUAUAAAAGAUAAUAAACUGUAUAGUAAUUAAUAUAAACUUGUUCAAACCAAAUUACAUAAUAUCAAGCAUUCAUAGUGGAGUUCAUUUACUCGAGCUAACCUAAAGAAAUUUAGCUACUCAUACGCAUAAUUAAAACAAAAGAGUAAAAUUAUGCAUACAUGGGACAGAUCAUAUCGUGGCACGAUGGGACAGAUUUCUUUCAUAAAUUUUGCAGAUUUUCUUCAAAUAAAUUCUUGUCCAUCAUGGCACGAUGGUGGUCAUCGUGUGACGAUAUUUUCAGCUAUUUUCUUCAAUUUUUGCUACUUUUGAUGCAUUUUCUUCCACUCUUGCUUCUUGGUCAAGCAUCUUCACUUCUUUAGGUAUUUAAUUGCAUUUGGUCUUGAAAAGCUACUAAAACUAAUAAAAACUAACCUAAAAAGUACUUAAAACAUCAUAUAAAUUUUUGUCAUCACAACCCCAAACUUAAAUUGUUGCUUGUCCUCAAGUAACAUGUCUGUCAAACAAAAUCGUUAGUGAAUUAACAACUCAAAACCAAUCGUUAGUUGGUUCAGUGGUGAUUGGCGUUUGACUUGGUAGGAAGGACCACAGUUCGAUCCCCCCACAACUGCGAUUGAGAGGGGUUGGAACCACUUGAUAUCGAACUAACCCCCAAAUCAGAUUAAACGGUCCAGUAGGUCGGAUACCGGUGGUAAAAUCAAAACAAAAAACUCAAAAUUUUUCUUUUCCAAACAAAAUUUAAUUACAUUGUUUUUAAGGAUGUGAAUGGAUGGAGCAACAUUUAAUAUUUAUAAUUUUUAUUUUUUUGGAAGCAUUUACCGGUGGAUUUGUAGUAUUUUCUAGCGGAAAAUUCUAUCAAUAACUUUGUGGCAGAAUUUUCUGUCAAUAAAUGAUUUUAAAUUUUAUUGAUAAAUUGAGGUUUUCUUAUAGUGAUACACAUGCACACAUUUUGUUGCGUUAUGGACAAUAUAUAACAAAAAUGAUUUUUUUUGUAGGAUAUAGUAUAUUGAAAGCAGAGAUAGAUCGUCAAUUUGUUUGAUGGCGAAACCGUGGGGAAUGAUUUAUGGGAAUGGAUGGAUCUGAUGGCUAGUUUUGUUGUGCUAUUCAAAUGUCAACAUUCUAACUAUAGACAAAGGGAAUUGGUUUGACACAUAAAUCGGAUAUAUGUAAGAGGAAGCACGCAUACUAAGGAGUAAAUGAGAGAGAUGUUAACGGAGUGUUUGAAUGGGUAAUAAGCAAUAAUAUCACCCCAAUGAGUAUAUAUAAUUCACAAGCCAAAAACCUUGAGCAAUGUGGUAAUCUUCUUACCUAACUUCUUAUAAUAGUUAUUAAAAAGAAAAUAUGGAGAGGCCAACAUUUUUGUUGUUAUUAUGUCUCUUGGUUGGUACAAUUUCAAUUGUGAAGAGUGAAGACCCUUACUUCUUUUUCACAUGGAAUGUUACCUAUGGCACACUCUCCCCUGCUGGUGUUCCCCAACAGGUUAUUCUCAUCAACAAUGAAUUUCCUGGACCCAACAUCAACUCCACCAGUAACAAUAACAUUGUUAUUAACGUCUUCAACAACCUCGACGAGCCAUUGCUUUUCCAUUGGUACGUACUACAUACAUACAUACAUAUGUACAAUAAAUGAUUUAAAAUUUGUUUAUUUGUUUUUUAUUUGAUCAAUUAAUUAAUAAAUGAAAUCUAAGCAAUAUUGUAUAAUCAUAUUUGCAGGCAUGGAAUUCAGCAAAGGAAAAACAGUUGGCAAGAUGGUGUAGCAGGAACAAACUGUCCCAUUCAACCAGGAACAAACUUCACAUACCAUUACCAAGUGAAGGAUCAAAUUGGUAGCUUCUUCUACUUUCCUAGCUUGGGAAUGCAAAGAGCAGCCGGUGGUUUCGGUGGCCUCCGCGUGAACAGCAGGUUGCUCAUUCCCGUCCCAUACGCCGAUCCCGAAGACGAUUACACCGUCCUAAUCGGUGACUGGUUUACCAAGAGUCACACUGCCCUUAGCAAAUUACUGGAUAGCAGCCGUUCCCUAGGAAGACCACAAACAGUUCUCAUUAAUGGCCAAAACGCCAAAGGUGACGGAACUGACAAACCACUCUUCACAAUGAAGCCAGGAAAAACCUACAAAUACAGAAUCUGCAAUGUUGGUCUUAAAAGCUCCCUCAACUUUAGAAUCCAAGGUCACCCACUGAAACUUGUUGAAAUGGAAGGUUCCCACACCGUUCAAAACACUUACGAUUCCCUCGAUGUCCACUUAGGAGAAUGCUUUGGUGUUCUCGUAACAGCAAAUAAAGAACCAAAAGAUUAUUACAUGGUUGCUUCAACCCGUUUCACUAAAUCCAUUCAAACAGGUAAAGGUAUUAUCCGUUAUACUAACGGUAAAGGUCCUGCUUCACCUGAACUCCCUGAAGCUCCAGUAGGAUGGGCUUGGUCUUUGAACCAGUUCCGUUCUUUCCGUUGGAAUCUCACCGCUAGUGCUGCUAGGCCCAACCCACAGGGUUCUUACCAUUACGGUCAGAUCAAUAUCACUCGCACCGUUAAACUCAUUAACAGCGUUAGCAGAGACGGUGGAAAACUCCGCUAUGCACUUAACGGCGUCUCCCAUGUGGAUACAGAAACCCCUCUUAAACUCGCUGAAUACUAUGGUAUCGCUGAUAAGGUUUUUAAGUACGACACCAUUCCUGACAUGCCAACAAGUGUUCCAAAAACUGUUACAGUGCAACCCAAUGUUCUUAACUUCAAACAUCGUACUUUCAUUGAGAUCAUUUUUGAGAACCCUGAGAAAAGUGUCCAAUCUUACAAUUUAAAUGGAUAUGCGUUCUUCUAUGUAGCGUGAGUAUACAUAUACAUAUAUUUAUUUACAUACUAUAAAAAUUUAAUUUGCUUAUGCAAUUAAUGUGUUUGUUUAUGUACACAGCGUAGAGCCAGGGACUUGGACACCAGACAAAAGGCAGACCUAUAACUUGCUUGAUGCUGUGAGCAGACACACCGUUCAAGUGUUUCCAAAAUCAUGGGCUGCAAUAAUGUUGUCAUUUGAUAACGUUGGAGUUUGGAAUUUGAGGUCAGAGAAUGCUGAGAAUCGUUACUUGGGACAACAGUUGUAUAUAAGUGUGUUAACUCCAGAACGUUCUCUUAGGGAUGAGUACAAUAUGCCAGAGGGUCACUUAGUCUGUGGACUUGUUAAGGAUCUUCCAAAGCCUGCUUCAUACGUCUAAGUACUAUUAAUGGUGGAAGCAACCAACCUCUUAAUUUCUUUUUAAGUUGUUAUGUAACUAGCAUUCCCCUGUCAGGCUCCUCAGCUAAAGUUUUCAUAUCAUUGUAUUAGCUGAGGUAUUAGGUAUUUUGUAUACAGGGACAGGGUGAAGUGGAGAAAUAACAUAGGGCUUUUCAAGCAUUAUUAGAUGUCAUGUACUAGAUCAUUUUGAAUCAACACUUAUAGAAAUUUCAUUACAUUUUUGUACUUUUACUAUAACUUUUAUACCACAAUUUCUACUAAUUUCUUUUCAGGAUUAAAUAUGUUUUUAUUCUCUAUAUUUAUGCAGCCUUCUAAGAUACUAGUCUCUAUUUAAUUUUUAUUAUAUUUUUAGUCCCCAAAUUAUCAACAUGAAUUAGGUCUAUUAUUCAUAUUUUGUGUGUUUGGGGAAAAUAGAUAAAUGGUUUCUUAUAAUUUUUUAGAGACUUCUUGAAUCAAUAUAAUUGGUAAUCAAUCAAAUGUAAGCACGUGACAGUGAAAGAAUGAAAAGAAAAAAUAAAAAUAAUUACUUAAAUAGCAUCUGUAUUUUUUUAAAAAAAUUAUUAACAUCUUCAUAUACUAAUAGGUCUCAUUCAUGUUGAUAAUUUGGUUGGCCACAUUUACAUUAUUGCAGGACCUGGACAGCAAAAGAAUGGCACGAACUGUCAUGACGUUAUGGAUGAUUUGGUGGAGACGCAAUAAAAAAUGUUGGGAUGACAGGCUACCCUCAACCUUUGAAGUUAAACGACGAGCUAGAGAGUUCGUCUCUAGACGAUUGGCUGUGCGGGCAUUGUUGAUGAGAAUACAGCAGCUUAAAUGCUAGCAGAGUUGUGCAGCAAAAUUGGACAAAACAACAGCAAGGAAGCUUUAAAUGUACGUGGAUGCAGCAUGCUAUGUCACAAAAAAUAGAUACAGCAAUGGAGCAGGUGUACGGGAUGCAGCAGGAAGAUUUGUUAAGGCAAUGACAUCUCACUUUGUCGGCCAGUCAGAGGUGCAAGAAGCAGAAGCUCAUGGACUCUUGAUCACACUUCAAUGGAUACAACAAUUUCAACUCAACAGAGUAGAGAUAGAGAUGGAUUGUUUGAAUGUGGUCCAAAGCAUAGCAGGAAGAAUGGUGAAUCUAACUGAAUUUGGUAGUAUUAUUAGAAAGUGCAAACACAUGCUGAAUUUGAUUCAAAAUUGAGGUCAGUUCUGUUAGGCAGCAGGCAAAUCGGGUAGCUCAUGAGUUAGCUCAAGUGACUCGAUCUUAUGUUAGUCACUAUAUGUCUUUGAUUAUUGUCCAGAGGAUAGUACAGACAAGGCAUUAGAAGCAUGUUGAUUAAAGUAUUCAUGCAUGGGAAUGAAAUUAUAAUCUAUAUUCUUGUUUUUAAUGUUUAUGUACUCUUGUCACAUGGAUUGUUUUUUUACGGAUAUUGAAACUAUUUUAAUUAAUGAAAUGAAUUAAGUUUGCUUGUGUGAAGAAAAAAAAAGUAAGAUGUGAUUUAAUUAAGGAAUAUAAAUUAUAAUUACAAGGUUUAUUAUAUUUUUCUAAUAAUUACAAGGUUUAUUGUAUUUUUCUAAUAAUUACAAGGUUUAUUGUUGAAAAAUCAUAAUCUCGUUUCACUAACAAUUAAUCACAAUUGUUAUGGCAACAUUAUGUUGGUCCGAGUGAAUUGAACUAUGAUCGUUUAAGCAAAAUCUCAGAUUUUACACCGGAAAGGAAAAAGUUAGUUGGCGGGGAGACACCAAUAAAGGUGGUUUGGCCAGGUUUUCGGCGGAAUUAGUUCAAAAUCCGGUUGAUAACAUGGUUACCAAAAAAUACAUAGAUCAGUUAAAGUAGUUGACAAACGAGUUUGAGAGGUCAAGACGGCAGAAGUUUAGGGUUAAAGAACAACAAAUCCCUUCGGACAAAAGCAGUAGUAGUACCAGGAAUAACUGGUAGUUCCAAUCCAAUUCAUUUAUCAAAAAUAGAUAUAUAGUCACAUUCAAUUUCAUACUAAAAAGAUGUGCCCCACAUGCCCAGAGAAAAUAAAGAAUCAACCAAAAUUGGAUUUCCUACAAAUCCUUACACUGCCUGCAGACGCCUGAUUUGCUGCUCGAUUACUUCCAAAAUUCUUCCGAUUUGAUUCCCUCGCAAUUCUAGAACCAAACUGCAGCAAUACAUACAUAUAUACAAUGCAAUGACAGAUUAGUCACUAUGCAAAAAGAGUUGUAAAGCAAAAUGCUUAAGUGUGAAGUUUUCGAGUGCACACCUGUAUUGCUCGUUUAGGAAGGACUGCUGCUUCAUAUAAACCAAGCAAUUCUGCAACCUUCAAAAUAUAUAUUAACCGUGAGAUUUAAGUUUGGAAAUCCAUUUUCUAUGUUAGAUCUUCAGACAGAAUAGGGUUCAAUUUUUGGUAUAAUAAAAGGGAAUAUAUAAAUGCAAAUUCUAUGGUGGACCACUUUGACAGAUGGUCCAUGGUGUACCGGCACUUGAAAAUCACUGGAUACUACAACAAAGAAUCAUGGUACAUCAGUACCUGUCGGAAGUAGAAGCUCGUGAUUCUCCUCAUUUCUUAUGAGUGAGACAAUGACCUAACUAGUUUGAAAAACCAAUGGAAAACGAGCAUUAGUGUCUCAAAAUCGACACAUUCAUUUUCCUUUAUUUUUAACGAACCGGCACCGAUCAAGUCACAAUCUCACUAAUGAGAACAAGGAAGAACGUGAGCUUCUACUUCCAAAGGGCGACAUCGGUUUUCAUUGGUAUUUCAAGUGAUUUUCAAGUACCGGUCCACCAUAGAACCCACCAUAAAGUAUAGCUCUUUCCGAUGGAACUUCAAACUCACUUAUGAAUUCAAUUCAGGCAACAACACUAGUUUCAAGUCCUUAUAUUCAUAACUCCUAAGAUAUAUGAUCAUGUUACCAAAAAUUUGGAUCACAAGUUUGAAUCAGCUGAGUUAAGGUGUUAGGUUAUUGAAAACGGUCUUGAUAAAGUGUUGCUGAGUCAGCCAAUAAAUGGUGACAAGUUGAAAAUUCAUUCGUUAAUAACUUCAUACUUCAUAGCGGUAGAAAACAAGUAAAUAAAUCUCAGUCAACAACAAUACCUCUCUUAAUAUCUUUUUAUCACCGAUGCCACUAGGUUGUUCAAGGUUGGCAACCUCCCACAAUGGAAUGUUGAGUAAAAACCUUAUAACAUCCUCAUCCAAGAACGGGAAUCUAGCCUAAAGAAAAAACAAACCAAAAAAAUGAUAAGUAACCAUGAGAUUAACAUUCUUGCAAUAAUUUGAACAUUACCUCCUUUCCGUUAUCAGCAAUACAUCUAUCAUCUCUCCCUAAAUUUCUUUUCCAAAUUCUUUGCAUGUCGAGUUUCAUUUCCUCGUGUAGCCCCAGCCAACUGAUUAAGGCAUAUUAUACCAUCAGAGUCCAUUAAAAGAUAAUGCACGUGUAGUCAUAGUUCAUAAAUCAGUACUAUUAAGUUAGCACCAAGAUAACCUGAUAAUUUUGAGAUGCUCCUUCUCUAAGCAGAUGUAUAUCAAAAUACCACAUAAAAUACAAUGAGUCUUCCAAAUUAAUUAUCAAUUAAAAAUUUAGUUAUAUAAAUAUUUUAGAACAAAACCCCCCUAUUAACUUUGUUGUUUAANNNNNNNNNNNNNNNNNNNNNNNNNNNNNNNNNNNNNNNNNNNNNNNNNNNNNNNNNNAUACAAGUGGUGUCAAUCGGGUCCUUAAAAUACUCUUGCCAUCAAUUUAGUCUCUCAAAUUCAUCAAUUUAAUCCCUCAAUAAUGGAAACUCUCAUCAAAUUAGUCCCUAAAUUAGGAUUCCAUUUCACUCAUUCCUCAAACCCAACAAAGAAAGACUGAAUUUUGAAUAAUUGAGAAACUAAAAUGAUGAUAAAAAAAAAAUUUAGGAUGAAAGUAUCUUUGGAGGAGAAACCAGUGGUUUAAUCAAUAUUUUUAAAAACAGUGAGCUGAAUAUUAUCAUUUAUAAGUUGUAAACGUAAACAUGAUAAUAAAAUAUGAUUCAACAUUACAUAUUAAUAAUACCUUCCUCGUCUAAAACUUGUUCUAUGUCUCCCAUAACCAGCACACUGUUCAUCAGCACCAGAGCCAACAAGGAGAAUCCUUGCAUUGGACUUGUACUUAAUCCGUGCAUGAGUGUCAUCAUUAUCAUCUGCAUCAGACACCCAUCCAUCACCACCAGAAGCGAGCCAUAAAGCUAUUCCAAUAUUAAGGUCCUGAAAUGAUAUGUGCAAACCAAUCAUCAAAUAAUGUAAAGGUGUUUGAAAACUUAGCUGUAGGCUUUUCAGUCUGAAAUUUCAGCAGAUCGAGAAUUUAACUGAAGAUAAUUCUAAUCAAUAAAAACAUCAAACUUAUUCAAUGCUCUAUGCAAUGCUUGGAUAAAGGAAAGACAAGUUUAGAUUCUUAACGAAGACCUACUUUACCUCUAAUUUUACCUUUUCUAUUAUUAUAAACAUGUAUUACCUUAAGAGACCACAAGGUAAUCUAAAAUUAACAACUGAAAAUUAAAUGAUGUUGAAAAAAGUACAAACAUAGAAUACAGAACGAUAUGCCUUUUUGACAGUCUGAAAUUUGCAAUGGGUUCAUUAUUCAAAUCAAAUCAGAUAUGUUCACGGAUAUGACAGAACUAGAACAGUAAAUUAAUGAUCCAGAGGAUUAAUUUGUACCAUGUAGGUGUUGGCAGGAUUUAUGAGUGACAUAACAUGACUAGUUUCGAACAUCAAGUCUGACAAGUCAGCAUCAAUCUCGACGAGUCUCCACCUGCACUUUCAACAGACGCUGUAAAACAACUGAACAUGACAGAUGCAAUAAAAGAUAUUUACAUAAAUCAAUUCCAAUAAAUCAGUGUUGUCAAGAUCUUGACUAAGAUCGGAAGGGGGUAGCAAGAUCGCAAGUUGCAAAUAGGAUCGUAAGUUCCUACCCAAGUAAUUACGAAAGAUCGAGAGGGGGUAGCAAGACUGCAAAGUGUAAGAUCCUGCCAAAACGAAAAACAAUUCGCGCGCGCGAGUGUGUGUGUGUGUGUAAGCUUACAAGUCUUAACUAACAAAAAUCACAUGCAAAACAUGAGACUUUCACAAGUUUAAAAAUAGAACAACAAACUCCUCGAAAGAAACUACUCAAAGCUUAAACAUAAAACAAUUAAGUCCACAAAAGAAAAUACUUAAAGCCUAGAUUGAAUCACAAAUGCGCCAAUUACUCGUAACCUCCAUAAUAUCAACAUUUUCAUCUUCAUUAAUACCAUCCUCCUUCAUUGUCACUUUCUAUAACAUCAGGGACAUCCAAUUCAUCUACAGGUGCAAUACUAAUACCAAUGUUUUCAGUGUGAAUAAAAUCAUCAUCGGGAACAACCAUGGCCACACCAGUGACUUAACCAGGUCGAUCACCGGUCUGGGUUUUAAAACUAUGAGUGGAGGUAGUGGAGGAGAUCCACUCUCCCACCAUUCCUCCUCCUCCCAUUAUUUAGGCCAUGCCUUUUAAAAAAUAUAUAUCUACUUAGUCAGCUGAUGUCUAGCGUGGCUCAUGCUUAUCUGAGCAUAUCCGAGUGGGUCUCCCCAGAGUGAGAAAAUUCCUCAGUUGUUGGGCCGAAUUCAGAUUUAUGCUUCGGUAUGACAUGGGUCGAACAAUGACUGUCGUACAUUAAGCCCAAAAUAUCUAUGACGAUACAAAAAAACAAAUUAACUUCACUAUUAUUAAGUAUUUAAUUUUCUUGUGUCAAGAUCUCAAUCUUGCCAACAUUGUUCACAAUGAUUUGUUAUUUUAGAAAAUAAAACUUGAUGUCAUCAAUUUCAUUUUGAUGCCAAUGUAUUCUUUCAUGAACAUAUACAAACAGCAAAAUAUGUUGUUAUAUGCAUCACAAGAAGUUUGCAAAGCAAUGAAUGAAGGAAUGAAGUAUGCCAAGACAUUUUAAAACAAUAGGUCAAUUAUUAUACAUAUUUCCUCCCAACUCACAAAUUUAUUCACUUUUUAACAUUCAGUGUAGAUUCAUUCACAUCUGCGAGAUUUAGUUAAAUAUUUUCUAUUUGAAAUUAGAUUGCAGUAUUUCCUACAACGAUGGAACAAACAUUACCAGUCAAACCACAUCAUUAAUCAUACAAGAAAUAUAUGUUCCAGACCACUUGCAAAGUUGCAAUGCCUCUAACUAAGGAAAAGAUAUAUAGUUUACCGCAGAUAUCCAAUCUGAUAAUAGGUACAACAUUUCCUCUAUUUUUCAAUCUUUUCGACCAAAAUAAAAUAGAUAAAAUUCAAUAUCAUAUUACAUAAAUUUAUAAUUAUUCAAUAUGCACACUUUCUUAACAAACUUCAUUUUUGUAUAUAACAAUUUAAUAUUGAAAAAAAAAUAAAAUUCAAAUUCGGUAUUUAAGAAAAGGUAUUUUUACCAAGCAACAAGAAAUAUAUAAAAUAAACAAGGAUUGCAUACCUUCUGGAUGGUGCAACUCUUUUUAGUUCUUUCAACCCUGCCUUGGCAGAUUUUCUAUCAGGAGCCAACUCACCAUCAAAGCUUACAGUAAGUAGAUCAAUUUCAUCUGUCAAUUAAAACAAACGUUAGACAUUCGGCUCAUCAGAAGGUUCCUAGAAUUAAAACAUGUAAACUAUACGAACUCAACCAAUUCAACUUUAGGCGAUUCAACACCAAACAAGGAACUUGUUACAUAUAAUACAUUCAUAUGAUUUAAUCCAAUGGCUUGAAACUUUGGGAUGGGAUAGUUGAUUUGUGACAUGUUACCAAAGCCUCUAUGAUCAAUUGACCAUGCAAUCUAGAAGUUGAUCCUUCUUACUCCCAUUCUUCUAAAUUAAUAUUUAAGGUUCAACAUGUGCAUUGUUUAUGCUUCGAAAGGGCUCUUGCAGUAAAAGGCAUAUUAGAUAUAAAUCAUUCAUGUUCAAGAAGGUGCAGUAUAAUCACCAUAGAAGAAGGUAAUUUAAGCUUAUUUGGGAGCACUCACAACUGGGAUCCAGACAUUGAUCCAAUAAUGCAGAAAGUAUCAUAGAAUCCAGCCCACCAGAGAAAAGAACUGCAACAGGAACAAAUUUCUCUUGUCUGAUACCACAUAUCGCUGCCUAUGCAAUCAAAUUCAAAGAGUUCAAUCACGAGUUAUGACAAAUAUAAAUGACAUUGACUGAAGGAAAACAAGAUCAAGUCUACAAUAAAUACAAAUGUCAUUAAAGCCUCUAAGGUAAUGCCAUCCAAGAAUAAAAAUGUUGACUAGAAAAGAAUUGAUGAAGAUUUAGAAAACAUAUAAUGGAAAUCCAAAUUCAAUUAUUAGAAUUUCUAAAUAUGCCAAACACAAAAAAUUGGUGGAGAGAUGAAGUAGUUGCAAUUUGCAUAAGGGAAAUACAGGUUAUAAUAAUUUGUGUCAGAACUUAGCAUCGUGGCAGACUAGAAAUAUUUAGUUCAGCGUGAAUGCGCAUGAUUCUAGUAACAAAAAUUCUGGAAGUUUUCCAAUAUUCACUUUUUUGUUUUUAAAAAUUUCAAGAAAUACGUUCGUUAAAAUAUUUGCUACAUUGCUUAAAAAAAAAAUGCUAGAUAAAUAAAAAAUAAGCUGAGUUAAAACAUGCGAAUUGUUAGAGAAUACAAAUAUCAUUCACCUUUAUCACUUUAUCUUAAGAUUUUAUUUUUUUAGUUUUUAUAGAAAUACAAACAACGAUAGCCAUGACACAACAAUUGAAGUUGCUGUCGAUUGACUAAAAGGUCACAGAUUCACAAGUUUGAGUUGUGAAAUCACGAAGCUGAUAAAGAUUUUAAUGUAAGACACGAAUCUCGAAUUAUUCAUCACAACUAUUUGACAUCCCCAAAGUUGAAAAAUCCUAUCAACAUCAUACAAACUGAUGACAACACAUAAAGGAAUGUCAAAAGGGUGGGGAUAAAAAAUUAAGAGAGUAUUGUGAGUUGUAACAAUAAUAAACAUCACAUAAAAAUAAAUUUAUGCACACAUUAUGUGAAAAAAUAAAUAAAUAUAACAUAUACAGAACUUAAAUAUACACAUAUAAAAGUUAUUUUAAAUAAAUUGUUCGGGGAUGGAGUCUCCACGGGGUGGGGGAUAAAAUUCUAUCCACAUCCCCAAACACCAUUUACAGAUCAAAUUGACAUCGUAUUGUUAGCCAAACAUCAUAAGAGGUAUAAAUAGCUUUAUCAUCUGGUUUCAAUUAAGUUGCAUACCCGAUAAAUAGUAUACAAUGACGUACGCCGUAUCACAGAUUCCUUUAAAAGAUUUAGCAACAUAUGAGCUUGCAUUGGAAUUUCAGGUUGAAUGGAGCCUGCUAAAUCAAGACAGAGAUUGUCAUAGCCUCUAAAAACUUAAUAGUUACAACAGAAUUGCCAAAUAGUGGUAAACACACUAGAAUGUAUGGGAAUGGAAAUUAAGUAUUUUAAUAAAUAAAUAAAUAAAUGGAGAAUUAUGGCACUAUCAUGGUAAUCACCUGCUUCGUGUGGAACUAAAUCUAAAGAAAUUGAAUGUAGAUCUUGUUCCAUCCUAGAAAGCUUAUGCUGAGAUGUCUGCUGGUUUUCAGAGCUUGGUUCAAUUGAAUUUCUCUCCCACUUGAUAAGUUCAUUUAAUAUUGAGUUUGUAUAUUCAUGUAUCUGGACUUCUCCAACCAGAGAUCCGUUUGAAUUUGAAGUAUCCUCUUGCAUACUAUAUAUUCCACAUGGUAACUCUUCCCAGUAACUAAGAGGUUCUACGCCAAUAUGAGAUUCUUUUUCUGCAGCAAAUUAAUAUUAGUGAGUCCAGUGAUAAGUAGAAGGUAAGAGAGGUAGGCUAUACUAUAAAUAAGUGAGUGAGUUAGAUUUGAAUUAUUUGUGAUUAAGAUGGUAAGAGAGGUAGGCUAUACUAUAAAUAAGUAGAAGGGAUUGAGGAAGAGUGUCAAGUGAUUUGAGAAAGUGUUGAGGCCUUAGGAACGGAAUGAGCCACAUUGUUGUUCUGUAAUCAGGGAACUUCCUUAUUUUUUUUAUUUUUUUUAUCUAAGGGAACUUCCUUAUUAUUAUUAUUUUAAUAAGAUACGAUACCAAGUUCCAAUCAACUAGUAGCAGAGCUAUGACAAUACUGCAUUUUGUCCAAAAUUUGACAGAGAGAAAGCUUAUUAGUGGCUAUUCAAUGCAAAAUUUUGAGGCCAAUAAAAUUGUUGAGAUAAGCAGCAGCAAAUAAGGAGGCAUGAAAUCUCCUACAAACAGUCAUACACUUUGUUGUUGUUUCAUAAUGACAUAUCCACCAAUGUUAAAUGAUACUGAGUGCAUACUGCAUAGUUUACCGUACAUUCUGACUAUCACUAAAUGAGAAUAACUAUAGGUUAUUUUUACGAAGUGCCAAUAGGUUCUAUUUAGGUCACUCUAUUUCACAUAAAUUGAACCAUAAGAGCAAGACAACAGCAGUUUUUCUGUUCCAAUCCCAUGUAUUACAUACCAGAGGCUUGUCGAUCUGGAGAAACUGGCGAUACAGAAGAAAGAAGAAAAGUUGAAUCGUCUUUUGUAGGCCAGUGAACAAGAAGGCUCCUCCUUCCAAAUGCAUCUCGGCCAAACCAAAGGGUCCUUGAACUAUCCUGCAAUAAAAGAAUGUGCACUGCCACCUAUGACCCCACAACCACAAGAAUAUACACUGCUUUAAAAUUUGUACAGACAGAAACUUACCACUUUUAGUUACCUGCCAAUAAACGAUAGCCCAUGGUCCCUUAAUUGUAGAAAGAACAUCUGUGACGGAACCUUUCCCACAUUUAACACAGAAACCAGUCAAAAAAGAGCCACAGGAGCAACAAUUUCCGAGCGUCUGCAUGAGAAAUUCGGCAUCAUUGCAAUCAGUAGCAAGUUGAAGUCCUCCAAAAAUCUCACCUAAAGAGCAUGACAAAAAAUUAAAAUUUAAAACAUCUUAUUGCAAACCAUUCACUAAGAGAUAGACAUUCCACGAAUUAAGUUGAAGUCCUCUCUGAACCCUGUUUUUCAUUCAUUCUGACCCUGUUUUUUUUUGUUCACCUCUCUUACUUCACUUUCCUUCACUCUGUUUUUUCACCACACUCUGUUUUUCAUUCUUUUUUCAACUGUGACUGUAAUGGCCUUUUUUUUGAGUUAUUUUAUGAACUUAGUAUUUGGUUGUUAUGAGCUUAUGAAAUAUUAAUUAAUGUUGUGAUUUGUAAGUUAUUUUGUUCAUGUAUUAUAAUUUUUGUAUUCGUGUGUAUAUAUCUAUAUGUGAAGUUACAAUUUUUGCCCUUGAGUAGGAUCUUACAAAUCGUGCCAUGACCCUCGUGCUUAGAUCCUUCACCAGCCUACCGAUCCUGUUUAGAAACUCGAUUAUGAAUACAUUGCUCACGACGAACAUGAUAUCAUGGCAAAAACAAGAGAGGCCCAAUUUAGAUAAACAGCUUAUAGCAUAAUCGCUUAUCAUGAUUAGCGCUUAUCUAGAAAAUUCCGAUACUCUAAAAUUGCAAGUAUCGCGUCAGAUACUGUAUACUACAAUGAUAUGUGUCAGAUACUUCCCGAUACGUAUCAGAGAAGUAUCCAGUGAUUAAAUUUUAUUUUUUUACUAGAAAAAUAUCAGACACAUUUGCGAUACUUCCUAAUAAGUAUCGGAGAAGUAUCUAGUGAUUAAAUUUUAUUUUUUUAAUACAAAAAUAUCAGUCACAUUUCCGAUACGUUGUUUCUUGAUGAUGGGAAUGGAGGAGAGGAGACUAAAACAAUUGAUGUUAACCCUUAAGUAGUGAAUAUUAGAUUAUGAUAUUCUUUUUAUAUAGUAUUGAUGAUGUCUUUUAAGAUAUGUAAUUCACUUGAUUAGAUAAUUUUAGUAAUGUGAAUGUUUAUUUUAUCAUCAAUUUUAGUUUUUUUUUUUAAUGCAUAUUAUCAAUUUUAGUUAAGUUUAUAUAUUUUGCAUUAUAUAUUUAAUUUUAAAUUAAUUUUUUUUUAUUAAAGUAUCUUUGCCUCAUCGUAUCUUAAAUUUUAAAAAUUUCCCAUCGCCGUAUCGUAUCUGUAUCAAGUAUCUGGGCUGCUUGGCCGCUUAUCUAUAAGCUAUUUCUAUAACAAAAGAUAAAUCAAAUUGUUUUCAUAUAAGUUAUAAGCUACUUUCAUAUUCAUAAGCUAUCUUAGAGAAUUUUAUGAAAAUAACCUAAAAACAGCUUUUGAACAAGUGACAAGUUGUUUUCAUAAUUUCUCCCAAACAGUUUCACAAAUGUUUAUGCCAAUACAUAAACUUAAAUAAGUCAAUCCAAAUAAGCCAAAAUAUUCUACAAUCAGACAAAGUAGCAGAAAGUACCGUUAUAAAGAAGAAUGUUUCGAGAAGCAUCCACUAAAGGUUGAACAAGAGGAAGAGUUCCUCUAAGCUGCAAAGUUGCACCAAUGAAACAAAGUUCACCGUUACCAUCAUUGUGUGGAAAAUUAAUUUUCUUUACACCCAAACUAUCAGGACCUCUUCUCCGCAGAGCUUCUUUCAGGUCAUCUAAAGAAAUCACCAACUGCACAAAAUCAUACGAUAAAAAAAGAAUGGUGUUAAUUGUUUUUCGUAACAAGUUGUAAUAAGGUUAGUGAUUUUGAAUUAGAAUUUGGUGGUUACAUUUUCGGAUUGGCGAUUUGGGGAAGCUGAAUCGAAUGGAAGAGAUGAGAUGUUGAUUCGAAUGCCUGAGACUGUCAACGCAAUUCCACACAUUUUUCUUUCUGCUUCUGUUCUGGGGAAUGUGGUUUUUUUUUGUAGGGUUUUUGAUGGUUAACUCAGUUUGGUUCUGCUUGUAUUCAUAUUUUAAUUUUAAUUUAAUUUACAAUUUUAUUGUCUUCCGAACAAGGUUGCUUCCGUAGCAUAGUGGUAGUGCGUUCGCUUCGUAAGCGAAAGGUCGCGAGUUCGAUCCUCGCCGGGAGCUAUAUUGUUUUAGGUUAUGUUUGAAUAUGAAAUGUGUUGUUAAAUUUUAAGCUUAAUUUUUUUUUUUGAAGACAGGCUUAAAUGUUAUGUAGCCCUAUUAUUUUGAUUGAAUUUGGAUUUAACCACCUAUUUUUAAAAAUGUAAUAAUAUAAAUUAAAGUAGCACAAAUAAGUUUAUUUUUAAGACAAAAUAAGUUAUAAAAAUAUAAAAAUUAAAUAAAAACAAAUAUGCCCUCCAUUUCUUGUUAAAUGUCGUUUUUGAAGAAUUUUUUUGUUGUCUCGUGAAUUUAGCUCAGUGGGCAAGGACUCGAACCCCAUCAUUCCACUUAUUCACUUUAAGGGUGAAAUUUCUAGCCUAACUUUCUCGAUAACUCGACUUCACAUUUUUCGUAAAAUUUAAUGGAGAGUGGAAUAGUGUAUAUGCUAAAUUUAUUUUGAAAAAGAAAAUGAGAGUGUAUAUUAAUCUUGUCGUCAUUUGAUUAUCUCUGUGUUUAAUUUUUUUUAGGCUUAAUUGCAGUUUUGAUCCCCUAUUUUCACUAUUUUGCAGAUUUAGUCCCCCUAUUUUAAAAUGUGACAGUUUUGGUCCCCCUAUCAUAAUUUUUAACUAUAAAUUGGCGAUGUGAUAUGUUUUAAACGACGUGACAUAUGAUAUGAUGAUGAGAAAAUAUCAACAUCGAUGAAAUUGCAAGAUAAAUCCUUCAUAAAGUUAAUUUAAAACAUGUUGUAUCACCAUAUUUUAGACCAAAAUUGGUGAAUUUUAAAAUAGGGGAACCAAUUCUGCAAAAUGGUGAAAACACGGGGACAAAAACUGCAAUUAAGCCUAUUUUUUUACGAAUUGGCGAAUUUAUGAAUUGUUUUUGAGUCGAUUGAUUACUAACCAUAACCAUUGAAACUUAAAUAUGAGAUCAUUGUUCAGUCAAUAAGUGUUUUAGACAUAUCGAAUUAUUGUACUGUGAUAAAGAUAAUUAAUGUGCUAUCAAACUUUAUAUGAUUUUGAAUUCGCCUAAGACAUUAGUGUAUUAUUAUGAUAGAAAAAAGUUUUUAUUGGUCUGAACUAUUUUGUUAAUUCAUCGUAACAACAAGAGUAAAAUUAUAAUCUAAGGCUGAUUUUACCAAAUUGUGAAUAGGAAAUGAUUCCAAGAACCUGUUCAUCUAUAAUCUAUUUGAAAAUCACCAAUAUUUACUAANNNNNNNNNNNNNNNNNNNNNNNNNNNUACUUAUAAACCAUCAACUUUUUGAAAAAAAAAAAAAGUAAAAUUGUAAUCUAAGGCUGAUUUUACCAAAUUGUGAAUAGGAAAUGAUUCCAAGAACCUGUUCAUCUAUAAUCUAUUUGAAAAUCACCAAUAUUUACUAAUUUGUUUGAUAACCAAAACUUAUGCCAAGCAUACCUCCUGAUUUACAACCUUGAACACGAUACAAUUGUUUUGUCAAAAUUAAAUAAUUCUUAUGAAUACAAAUUUAUUUAUUAUUUAACGAUAGUAUAGUUUAGUUGACUUACUAAAUUGUCCUUAACCACCCAAUUGAAAAGUUCUAGCUAGUGGGAGACAUGUUUAUAUAUAGGAGAAUGUUAACAUGUACACUAAAAGCACAUGUUAAGGAAGCAAAAAUAGAAAGUAUUAAAUGUUGAAGCAUUAAAUUUUAACUUUUCAAGCAUUAAAUUUUUGUAUCAUUAAAAGUUAAAUUUUUAUAUUAAGGUACCUUAACAUGUGCCCUAUAUGCACAUGUUAACAAUACUCUUAUAUAUAUUGCAAAGAGGAGUGCUAGCAACACACUCUUUAACAAACACACUCUAUUCUAUUGGUUAAAAUUUAUAUGAGUCUCAUAAAAGUUAUAUGGGUCCACAUUUUUUUAUGGAACUCAUGUGAAUUUCAACCAAUAAAAAAAAGUGUGUUGAAGUAUGUUCGUUAAAGAGUGUGUUGCUAACAUUAUUCAUAUUGCAAAAUCACUUUAAUUAAUUAUGCUUUCUAGUGGGAGACAUCUUUCUUUAGAUGGAAAAUAUCACGUUAAUUAAAUUAUCUUUCUUUAAAGUUCAAAUUGAAUUAUACUAGUAGAUUACCAUGGUCCCCUCAUCUUUAAAUCUUGAGAGUUUAAUAAAAAUAUAAUUUAAAUCAUAAAAUAAGAUAUUGAAGGCACUAGUAUCUAAUUGAGAGGGGAAAUCUCAACUUGUGUACUCCACGGAUUUCUCGAUAAAAUUUAGUAAUCACUAGCUGCGGUGAAAAUGUGCGACGAUAGUUAAAGGAACACGUUUGCCGACAGUUAGAAGCAAAUACUGUUUCAAGUUUCAACAGAACACGUAUUCCCCACUCUAUUGUAUUAUUUAUGUCUGAAUCGAUAAGGUAGACCCACAUUAAAAUCUUCAACCACAAUUUUCAUAGAUAUUUUACAUUAUAAAAAUCACCACUAAGAUUAUAAAUAAUUGAAUCGAACAACCCUGUUCAAUCAUCUCAUAACUUAAAAAAAAAACAUCAACAAAAAAACAAUGGCAGCAAGCGGAGAAGAGAAGAAGAUUUCAACAAGUGAGCUUGCAGCAAGUGCAAAGAUUGUAGCAGAAGCAGCACAAUCAGGUUUCGGGAAAGAUGUUGACAAAGACAAGACAGCAGAGGCUGCAGGUGAUCUUCUAGAUGCAGUUGGUCAGUAUGCUAAAUUGGAUGAUCAGAAGGGAUUAGGACAGUAUGUUGAUAAGGCUGCUGAUUAUCUGCAUAAAUAUGAGGGUGAUACUCCACCAGCUUCCAAACCAGAUAAGCCCAAAGUUGAUGCUGCUGCUGCUAAGUCUGAAGAUGGAGGGUCAGGUGGUGGACUAGGUGGAGAUUUUGCCAAGGUUGCUGGAGGUUUCUUUAAAUGAAAAUUAUUAACUGAUUUGGAUUUAGCUUGUUAAUUGUGUCUUGAUUAUUAUCACUUUAUGUAUUGUUUUUAUCUUAUCUUAUAAUGAAUAUAGGAUAGGAUAGGAUAUGUAUGAUGUAGUAUUGUGUUGUGUGAUGAUGGAUAUGUAUUGCACCGUAGCAGAGUUGUGUUGUCCACUUUUGAACCAAGAGAUCUCAUGCCCCUGUUUGUUCAUGUUUUUAUUCCCAAUUCAGAUGCUAUAUACAUGUUGUGAAUUUUAUGUAGAAAUCAUCACAAGAUAGAAUUAUUGUUAAUGAUUGAACAAAGAUUGAGGUAAGAAUUAAGAUCAAAACAAGAAUUUGGGUAUUUCAGCUUUGAGUAAGAAACUCUUGAGCUUUCAUCCACUUUUAUUUCAGCUUUAUGUAAGAAAUUCUUAAGCUUUUAUUUAGUAGGAAUAUCGCACUAUAUGCAGGAAUCUGGGACACUCUACUUAUUCAUCUUUAAGGUGGAUUUUCUAGCCACUAGACUACUUGACAAAAAAAUAGUAAUUGACAUUAUAAUUAACUCUCUCAACUAGAAAAUAGUUAGUUAUAAACUAACUAACUAACUAACUAAAAUUAAGUUAAUAAUUGAAGUUCAAUAUGCCACAAAUAUCCACACUAGUACAAAAACAUAGAGUUACGAUAGAAAUUACACAACUUCCAUCAAAGGACUCCUUGUAACUCCAAGGCAAAGUGGACAACUCGUACCUACCCAUGGCAAGUAGCCACAAAAACUAAUAGAAAUAGUAAACUAAACUAAGAAGAAGAGAAAAUGAACAAAGAAACUUUAUUUAUAAUUGUAAACUAUUUGCAAGAGUGGAACUUAAUACUACAAGAGAGUUGAUAUCCUAUCCUAUUUAUAGUCUAAAGGACUUAAAUUUUAUACUCCUUAUCCUUAAUGGCUAUUGGAGUUUCAUUACAUAUAAUGAGUAUUAAAAAGAAAAAUAAAAGGUCAAAAACUGAUUUUUCACUUUAAAUAUGGAGGGAAGUUAACUAAAGUGGUUAUACAAUCUAUCAAUAUUUCACAAAUAUUUUACAUAAGAAUAUAACAUGAUUAUAUUAACACAAGUGGUUACAAAAUAAUAAUACUACAUCCGGUCCUAUAUAUAAGAAGAUGUUGACUUUUUAAAUACAUUGUAGAAUUGAUGUAUUUAGACUAUAAUAACGUAUCUAGACAAUAUUAUAGUCUAGAUAUAUCAAUUAUACAAUGUAUUUAAAAAGUCAAUAUUUUAUAUAUAAGACCAGAGAGAGUAUGAAACUUAAUAUUCAUCAAUGAUAUAUUUUUAUCAAGAUUUCAGUUUCAUAAUUAACUACGUAUUCUCCAUUUAGAAUUAUGAAAAUUAUUACAUUUUUACUUAAUAGUUUUAUAAAACAAAAUCCCUUUAUCACAAAUAAAACUCCCAAAAUAAUUUUUAUAAUCAAAGUAACCUUCACAAAAAUAUUUGAUGAUUAUAUAAAAUAAAUGAAAUUAUUUGUUUACUUAUUUUCAUUAUUUUCUUUUCCUUUCAGUUUCUUUCUAAUCCAAACAAAAUACUAGUAUUUAGUUAAACCACUAUGAUUGUUCCAGUGGUAAGUGAUUUAUGUAGUAUACAUGAGAUUCUAAGUUCAAUGUCAUGGACAACAUCGUAAAUAAAAAAAAAAGUUUAGUUGUAUUUUUAAUUUUGAGAUAAUCUAUUACCAAAAUGAGAAAAUUAAAAGAGUGGUAGUGAACACUGUUUGCUGCCGACAUAAGAAGCAAAAAGUGUUUCAAAGGAUACGUAUAAGAUACGUAUUCCCUAGGACUGUAUAUUAUUCGUGUCUGAAACGAUAGGGUAGAGGUAGACCCACAUUAACCUUCAACCACAAUUUCCAUAGAUAUUUUUCCUUUGCCUAAAAUCAAACCUCACCUUCAGAUUAUUAUAUAUAAGUCUAACACUUGCAGAACCUAUUGUUAUUCAUUACUUAAAAAAACACAGCAAAGAAAUUACAAUGGCAGGUAGCGGAGAAAAGUUUAGGGCAAAGGUGGCAACAGAGUCAGCACAGAAAAGUUUAGGGCAACAAGGUGAGAAGGUGACAACUGCUGCAGGGGAAGUUAAGNNNNNCUGCUGAUCAUGUUCAUUCCAAACCAGAGGAGCCCCCCAAAGCAAAAGAAGAAGAAGGUGUGAUUGGUAGUAUCAAAAAGACUGUUGGAGACUUAUUUAAAUAAACAACAUUUAUCACUCAUCAUCAUUUAAUUAGGAUAUCUUAAGGUGAUUAAUUAAUAAUUAAGGACACUAAAUUUGCCACCAUCCCUUUUAAGAUUGUUGUGUAUGUUGUUAACUCAUCCCUUAAAGCAGUACUAAGUUACCACUGUCUGAUAAUGGAUCGAAUAUGUAAGGUAAGGUUCCACUUUUCAGUUUGAACCAACAUCCAGCCCUGUUUGUUUCUGGUUUUAUUCCUAAUUCUAUUGCAUAUAUUUUAUUGGAAAAUGUUUCUUUGACACUAUAUCCAUUCAAAAUUUAAGAGAUAAAAAACCAAUAGAGAUACUAAUAUGGUGUUGAUGUCAUCAAGGUUUUUUAAAUUGCAGUCUGCAUCCGCAAUUGCAGAUGUAGUAUUGCUAAUACAGUAGCCUCGUAAUUUUAAUUCACGUUUACGGCCGUAACGUAACUGAAUCAAACGAUUUCGUUCAUGUUUGUUCGAAUUUUCUCACCGAAAAACAAAAUUUAUGAACCUCAAAUACUAAUCUGCAACAAAUCUAAUAAAAAAUUUACUUUUAACAAUCUCUUAACCGUAUAUUUUAAGUAUAUUCGAAUCAAUGUUAUGGAAUAAACUAAGACUCUAUAAUUGUGGAUAAAUAGUAUAGUGACAUAGUGGUCUUAUUUUAUAUAAUACGUGAAAUUUCAAAAUUAUUACACGCCGGAACAAUCGCAUCGUGUGUUGCAGCAACCACAAUGAAAAACCAUGGAUGUGAUAGGAAGAGAUAUUGAGAAAAUUANNNNNAAAUCAUGUCCUUGGCCAAGGAAUUUGAAGACUGAUUCUUAACAUCCUUGAGGAAAAUCUUUCACUGCCAUAUUGAUCUUGCAAGUAGAAAGAAAGAAGACUGCUAGCAAAAGAAUAAAAGUGGAACAAAGAAGCAAAUUAAAGUUAUUGUUAAGAAGAUGUAAGUGAUUGUUAGGCGUUAGGACCCAAUAGGAGGUGCUCAAGAAAUUAUAGGGUGUCUAAGUAAUAGAUAUUAUAUUAGUAAUAUAUGAUAAAUAUUAUUCAAUAAUUUUUUUGUCAAGUAAUUUAGUAAUUAAAAAUUCAGCUUUAAGGUAGAUAAGUAGGGUGUCUAAGAUAACUCAGCAUAGACAUAUAUAAUGUAAAUUCCUAUUAAUUCAAUAGUAUCUCUUUAAUUAUUGGAAUAUUUUAUUAGUAGGAUAUAAUAAAGAUAUUAUCUUAUUCUAUUUGUUUGGUAGUGUAUUAGAAUAAUAUCUUCUUAGCAAAGAUAUUAUUUAAUUUUAUUUUCUUAGUAGUCAUUAAAAAUAUGGUUUAGGGUCUGAGAGGUAGGAAUGAGAAUAGUUUUUAUUUUAGGGAUAUAGUAAGAUUCCUCUCUGAGUUGUGUUAGAGUUUUGCUUUGGAGUAGUUAUAGAAAGUAUAACUAGUAACUACUAUUACAAUUAUAUUAUGAAUAAAAUACUGUUCUAUAGGCUUGAACUUCAUUUAUGUAAUCAACUUACUUACAAGCAAUUUGUAACACAAAACUUUGUAAUUCAAAGUAUCAAACGGUGUUCGAAUACUUAAGGGACUAAGGUUAUUCAGCUGUCUUGAGAAGUUGAUUAGUGACCGCUGUUAUUGAGUUGUAAUCAAGAUUAUUAAUUAGUGGAUUAAGCCCUUGGUGAUAAGGGAAACUCACUCUCAUGAGUGGAUUGGAGUAGUUUCGGGAAACCAAUAUUAAAAUCCCUCUUUCUUUUGUUGUUCUUGUUUAUUCUGGUCUUUAUAGUCGUAAAAAGUCUUUUAAACUAGAAACUCAAUUCAAACUGCCUCUUUUUUUAUUUGGCGUUCCUUGUACUUUUUUCUUCUUCUUACUAUUAAUAUUAUUACGAGCAACCCACUUGGGAUUGGUCGAGUGGUGUUGGCUUGAGCCAUUGAAGUGUGACAUUAAUUUUUCGCCAUUUAUCAUUUUCAAUCUAAUACUGUAAUUUACAUCUGUAAAUCCUUCAUUCGCAUAAGUCUCAUAUAACACUUCAUUUUUCUUUAAAAAAUUGAAACACCUCCAACAAUAAAUUGAUAAAAUUAACAAAUAUGUUAUAUUCUUUAAACUUAUGAUUAUAUAAGAAACAAAUUAUAAAGGGUACAAUAGGCCUCACCUUAUAAGUUUACUUUUUGAUUUCUUGAUUGAAUUGAAAGAGGAGAAUCUAUUUGUAUAUCCAACAGAUUUACAGUGGUAAAAACUUUAUUGUUAUAUCAUAGUAACUAAAAAAAAAAAAAAUAAUAAAAACAGUUGUUUUUUAAAGGAAUAGUGGUUUGCCGACAUCAAAAAUUAAACAGUGAUUCAAAGGACACGUAUUCCCUAUUGUAUUAUUUAUUUAUUUAUAAUAUGAGGUCGAUAAGUAGAUCCACAUUAAAAUCUUGAACCACAAUUUCCAUAGAUAUUUUAUCUUGCAACUCCCUCGUAUUAUAUAAAUAACAGAACAACCCUAUUGAAGUCUUACAAAAAAAAGAAGCUAUCAUCAUUCAUUGGUUAAAAACAAUUAACAAAGAAACAAUGGCAUCAACUGGACCUAAUGAUUUUUUAGCCAGUGCAAAGGGGGCAGCAGCAUCAGCACAGACAACUUUGGGGCAACAAGGUGAAAAGGUAGGAGCUGCUGCAGCUGGUGUUCAGAAGACUGUUGGAGAGUAUGUUACCAAGGCUACUGAUUAUGUUCAGGGCAAACCAGAGGAGCCUCCUAAAUCCGAAGAAGGUGUCAUUGGUGGUGCUAAAAAGACUGUUGGAGGCUUAUUCAAAUGAAAUAAAUACUCUCACUCAUUUAGCAUCUUGUGAUUAAUUAAUUCAUUAAUAAGGACAUUAAACUUGCCAUAUCCCUUUAAGUAUUCAUUGUUCUGUUGUGUAUCUUAUCAUAUAGUAUAGUAAUUUCCUAUAGGAUAGGAUAUAUGCAAUCUGUUAGCACUGUGUUGUAAUGGAUCGACUAUGUUAUGUAAGUAAGGUAACAGAGUUCUGCUCUCCACUUUACUGAUCCUUCCCCUGUUUGUUUCUGUUUUGCUUAAUUCUGUUUCAUAUAUUAUUAUUCAAUUUUGUUUCCUUUUGUUCUCUUCUGGUUAGUGUGCUCUUUCAACAUGUUUUAAUUAAAUUUACAAAUUACUGGAGAGAAAUAUAACAAGUCCUCAAAUCCUAAGUGGAUGGAUGGAGUUAUGGACAAAAAUUUCAAAAUUAUUAGGUCGGAUAUCAUUAUUCUCCACUUUUUACAUGUGAGUUUUUAUUGAUUUGUCAUUUUGUUUAUCAAUAGUAAGAAAGAAAAAAAUAACAUAUAAUAAAAAAAAUGGAUUAAAUAUAUUUUUAGUGUUUACAAAUAGGGGUGUGCAAAUAAAUUGGUUCCUGUGAACCAAAUUAGUAACCAAAUAAUACCAGUUUUUAAAAGCCCAGUUUAAAGAUGGAAAAAAAAAACCAAUAACCAAAUUUGUAACUAAAAAAAAUGGAAACCAAACUUAAUUAUAUGGAUCAGGGGUAUCCACAAUUUCCACACCUCCCUAAAUCAAUUUUCACCAACUUUAAUAAUUUGAAUAAUAAAUAAAUUUAUUUAAUAAAUAUAUAAAAUAGGUGGUGGUGCUGGCCCGUCAACGGUCUGGUGAACGCCGGAGCUCCGGCGCCGACANNNNNNNNNNNNNNNNNNNNNNNNNNNNNNNNNNNNNNNNNNNNNNNNCGGUGGUGGCCGGCGGAGCUCCGACAGUCGGCCACCCCCUCCCACCCCUAUUUUUAUUUAAUUUAAUAAUAAAUAUAAUAUAUAUAUAUAUAUAUAUAUAUUUAAACUAUUAUUUACGUACCAAAAAAAAACUAGUAUUAUUUAAUUAUUUUAAUAAAAUCUGUUUUUUUUCCUACCCAGAAAAAUAAAUAAAAUCUGUUUUUUUUUUUUGAAAAAUAUGUAUUUUAAUUUUGUUUUAUAAAAAAUCUGAUUUUUUUAUAUAAAUAAAAUCAGUAUUUUAUUUCAAUUUUUUUUUAAAAAAUUACUCAUAUUUUAAAUAAUAAAAAAUGGUUUUAAAAUAAUUUAAAAGAAAAUUAUUUACAAAAAUAAUAGUAAUAAGUAGUAACUUUAUGUAAAGAAAAUAAAUUUUAUUAUCAUAAAAAAAUUCAUUUAUAUGGUUUAAAAUAAUUAUAAUCAUAUUUUAUUUAUUAUAUAUCAUUGUAUCCAUUUUAGAAUAAAUUUAAUUCAUUAAAAUUUACAAAAAUAAAUAUGUGACCCUUUGAAUUUUAUAAAAUAGUCCUUAGUUGAUUAGAUUGGAUUCAUCCAUUAUUAUCUAUUUUAUAAAAAAUUUGGAUAGAUUUUAUAAUUGGUUUUAGAACCAGUUUUAAUAAUAACCGAUUUUUAUUAUAAACUAAUUUCUGAACCAGUUUGAACUGAACCAGUUUUUUUGGUUUUAGAUGAAAGUGGUUUGGUUCAGUUCAUAAACCACAAAUUUUGUUCUAAUCUGGUUCGGUUCAUAACCAUCCCCUACUUACAAAAUCACAUUUGCAUUUUAUAGAGUCUAGUUUGAAGACUAAAAAAAUUCAUUUUCUUUUUUUUUUAAAAAAAAAAUAGCGACUAUUCUUACAAACUACAAUAUUAUGAAGGAUUAAAAUUUAAUAGGGACUUCCUUGAGUAAUAGGUCCAGAAUAAAUUUUAGAUUUAGCAGUGUUAAUAACUUGGCCAGAUUGAAAGACAUAGUUGGUGAAUAAUUCUUUGAGAGAUGUGAUCCUAGCUAACUUGCCUUUGCAGAAAAUCAUUAAGUCAUCAACAUAAAAGGUAUGGGAAGGAACAUUGAUGUUUCUUGUGCCCUUGAUAAGAUCCAACUUACGCUCAGUUACAAGUUUUGCAAUACUUCUACUCAAUGCAUCUUCAGCUAAGCAGAAAAGAAUUAAAAUAGCCCUCAGAUUUUCCAUUAAUAGAGAUAGACAAAAAUGCAAAUUUAAGAAUAACAUGGAUCCAAUUGCAAAAAACUUCAUUGAAACCAAAGCUGCUAAGAACCUUUAGCAAGAAAGACCAUUCUAAAGUGUCAAAAAGGCUUUAGAAAUGUGAAUUUUUAAAGCCAAGUUACCACCAAAGGGCUAAUUGUGUAGUAAAUUGACAGCUUAUGAGGCAAUACAUAAACAAUCCUUAAUAUUUCUGUGAUGAAUAGAUCCCAUUUAUUCCUCAAAAAUGAUGGAGGGCAUAAUCUUAGCUAACCAAUCAACAAUGAUUUUAGAUAACACUUUGAAUUUAAAGUUUGCCAUAGUUAUUGCUCUACAUAGAUCAAUUGAUGUAGCAUUUGAAAUCUUUGGAAGGAAAGCAAUGAUAUUUGAGUUAAAACCUAGCAAGAUCAAACUAGUGCUGAAGAAUUCCAAAACAGCAUUGACAACAUCUUGCCUGACAAUGUCCCAAUAGUGUUGAAAAAAGAAGGCUCCAAAACCUUCUGGCCUGGUGCAGUAUCUUUGUUAAGGGCAAAAACUGCAGCUUUGAUUUUUUGGUGAGAGGGCAACAAUGUAAUCAGAGCAUUGAUGUAAUCAGUGAUGAGCUUUGGGGUAACUUCAUCCGCAAGCAAUGGUUCCUGCAAAACAAUGUUAGUGCAAAAAAAAAAUUUGUAAAAGUUUACCACAUGAUGAGAUAUUUGGCUUUGGUUAAUGAGAACUUGUUCACCAUCUUGUAAGGAUGUAAUCAUUUUGGUUGAGGAUUUGAUUUUGGCUAUUAUGUGAAAAUAUUUGGUGUUCCUAUCUCGUUCUAAAUGCUAGUUCAAGUUAGCCUUUUUCUUUCCAAAAUAGUUCUUGUCUGUUCAGGGCAUUCUCAUAAUCAACAUGUGCAAGCUUCUCCUCUUCUAAUAAAGUCGCAGUUUGACCAUUAAUUUGGAUUUGGUGUUGGAUUAGUUGAUGUUUUUCUCAGCAGAAUUCACAUAAUCAUGUACAUUACCAAAUCAUUGUUUGUCCCAGCUCUUUAAAGACUCUUUCACAAGCUUCAACUUUUUGCUCAAAAUUGAUUGCAUACAACUCUAUCUAGUCUUAUCUCAGUGUGUUACCAUUGUCCCAAGUGAAUUCAGCUCCUGAGGUGGGUAAAUGAAUAAGGUUGAAAGCAUCAGUCCAGUUUUGGAAUCUACCAAAGGUAAUCUAGCAGGAGAGGUGCUACCUCUAUGUUCAUGCUACAUCCUGAUGGUGUUAAAGUCACCUAUAACAUCCCGAAUUUUGAUCCAGAAUAUUAUCUAAACUUUUGCUAUUGUUAUUUUUUUAUAUAAGAGGCUAGAAAUUCUAUUUAUCUUUUUAAUUCUAAUAAAAACUUGCGCAAGUGUAUAAAAGUAAAAUUGAAAGAUAAGGCUCAGUUUUUUGACAAUUUAUUGAGAUGCCAAAGAAAAGUUACAACACUGACUAUAGGAAUCCUGCAAAAUCUGUCGAACAUAUUAUAGAGUCUAUCAUUUGGGACCAACCUUUUGAAACCCAUCUAAACGGAACCCAUACGAUAUCGUCUAGGACGCACCAUAUUAAUCUGCAUCAGAUGGAAACACCAGCUUAGGAGACUUCUUGUCGCGGAGGCUUCUCAUGUAAGUUUUUGAUUCCGAACAUCAUAGUUCCCAUAUUCCUACUACAGAUAAUACCCUCCUUGCAACUCCAUUGGGACCGCUAGAUUCAUCUUAACUUAACGGCUCCCCUAUCUCUUUGCCGGUUGUUGCCAGUUGUCCCUGACGGUUAUAACCGUCUCUCUCCAUAUAAGAAUAAGACUUUAGUGCUAAGGUACACAAUUCAAUCACUUUUCACUUCACUUCUCCUUGAUCAUAUACUGACUUGAGCGUGGAGUGCUAACUUGUUUUGUAGGUACCUUUCCCCAUCGCAAAUCACCGUUCCUAAGGCCUAACGCCAUCGUAACCGCCUCGAGCUUCACCAUCGGAAUUAUCUACUUGUCUUCCAUUCAGAGCAUAGUAAAUCCCCAAGUUUAAUACGCAAAAGCAAAAAUAUAGAAUCAAAGAAAAUCAAAAUUAAGAAAAAUUAACAGAAUUAACUUUGUCAUAUGAUUAUUUUAUAAUUUCCACAUUUUGAGACUGAUGGAGUCUUAGAAAAUAAGAUAACCAACUGCAUUUUGUAUACUUGAACUAUACAUGUUCAUACUCAAACCAAAUAGUAUUAUGUACAUAUGUAUAUACAUUGGUGUUGUUCUAUCUUAGAAGCAGGAACAUGCCCCUGGAAGCUUGCCUGUUGUUCUAAUUGUGUUUGCCUUCUCUUUUGCUUUCAGCGUUUCAUUCUUUCUUCUAUCAUCUGAUUGUGCUCUUGCUCCAGCUGCAAUCUCAUCUAUAUAUUUUAUCUUAUCUUGAUAUUUCCUCCUAGCUUUCUCUCUUUUCCGCUCAUUUUCACUAUGCUGCAUUUUUCACAAAGUUACCACACUUUAUUAGAGGACUAAUAAGAAUAUGUUUCGAUUAGUUUAUUUGAAAUCAGGUUAACUUUAUUUUAUAUUUGUUAUAGGAAUAACUUAUGAAUAAAUAGUUAUUUGAUAAGCACAUAAUUAAGCUGAUUAUGCUAACUAACAUAGGCUAAUAUUUUAUUUUUAUCAAGUAGUCUAGAGGUCAGACUCGCACAUUUGAAAUGUGAAGAUAUAGAAAAUUCCGGGUUCCAACCCAGAUAGCCAACAACUGAGCUAUGGCCUAAAUAUGAAACACUACACAUCUUCGAUCUAAACAUUAAAACAUUCAAUAUGGUUCUAUUGAAUAGAAAAUGAAAGUCUUACCUCAUGCUUAUUAAGCUUGCGUCUUGCUUUCAUCUUCUUCCUCUUUUCCCAUGAAUCUAUUGUCUCUAACAACUUCUCAUACCUGAAAAAAUAAUUAUAUUUUCAUUGCAUUCAAUGCAUGAAACCAGAGAUUCACAACAUUCAUAUAUACUGUUAAUGAAAUAUAUAAUUAGUUGCCAUGCAUAUGUACCAACCUUUCUUUGAUCUUUAUGAGCUCUUCCCUUUCCCAAGAAUCUGCUUUUGUUUCUGUUGUACUUGGUCUAGUUGGUGGUCUGCUGUGGAUGAUUGAUAGUUGUGGUGCCGGUGGAGGUGGUGGAGGCGGCGGCGGCCUUAAUGACACGUUUGGAUCAUCAACUAGUGGAAGCAUUUUUGGUUUUGGAGUCUCAGGUUGUGUAUCAUCAUCAGCGUCGAAAAAAUGUUCAUCGGCAAAAGUUGGAGUCUUUUUAUGUUUUGGAAUAUCAGGUUUUUUAUCAUCAGUUCUCUUUGAUUUUUCACUAAAAGUUGGAGUCUUUUUCAUUGAUGGUGCUGGUGUGAAUGAGAUGGUGUUUUUAGGAAUCUUUUCUUCUCUAAUAGGUGAUGUUGUUGGAAAAUUGUUACCUUGUUCAUCUGUGAUUUUAAAUGAGCCUACACAUGAUGCAGAUUCAGUUCAUCAUAAUUUAAUUUUGUUAUUUUUCUCAUCAUGGUAUGAAUAAAUGAUAAAUAAUGACCACGAGCGGAGAUGAUUCAGGUCUCUUUGGGUUCAAAUUCAUCAGAGAGAGCUUUGUCACACAUUGUGGUUUAUCAGGUUCGAUGGAUUAGUCUUUACAGUUACGCAUAAUGGAUAUCUUUUUUUAAAUAAAGAAGAAAGAAAAAGAGAAAUAAUGUAUUUGCCUGGUAAUCUCUUGGAUGCAGCACCUAGCUGGGAAAAUGAAGAAUUUUUAUCAUAGACUUUUUUGCUUCUGCUCUUGGUCAAUGAGGUCUCAGGAAACUCACUCAUUUUCUUCUCAUGUGAAGUUUCUGAGACAUGUGAACUUAUUGCAAAUGCUGCAGCAGCUACAACUGUGGCAUGUUCCAUUUCUAUGUAAUCAUAAUCAUGACUCAUUUUCCUUGAAAUUUGUCUCUGAAACCAAUUAUGUGCCUUUUUCUUCUCUGUAAAAAUUUGGUCACAUGAAGGUGUUUGUCAGCUAAAUUAUUGCUUUAUUCAGUUUUCAGACAAAAACAAAACUAGAAAGACUAUUAAUGAUCUCAUCUUUGAGAAUCCAUUCAUUUUUAUAUUUAGUAUUUCAAUCUUAUUUUUCAAAUGUGUUUGGUCAAACAGAACAUUUUUUUAUCUUGUUUUGUCAAGUUUUGGGGGAAGUAACAUGUAAAAAAGUCAUUCAGUUUUUUCUUGCUUUUGACCCUAGACUUUGUUAAAGACAAUAACAUAUCAUAAAUACUCACCUUUGAAGGAUGAAGUUUUCUGUAUUGGUAUUUUCUGAUGAUCUCUGCUACCACCAAAAUCAGCUUUAUUCUCUUCUUCUGCACCAAUUAAUUUCUCUCUAACAAAAAUUUGUUUAGCAAUAAAAAAACAUAUUUGCAUAAAUAAAAAAAAAUAUUAUGAAGCUAUAAUUAUUAUUAUUUUUUUUUUGUUUUAUUUUCACCACCGGUAUCCGGCCUACUAGACCGCCUAAUCCGGUUCGGGGGUCAGUUAAGACAAUAAGUGGUUUUAGCCCCCUCCCGAUCGUAUUUGCAGGGGAUUGAACCAUGAUUCUCCCUACGAUGUCCAGCGUCAACUGGACCGACUAACGACGAGUAUUUAUGAAGCUAUUAUUGUUGUAUGGAUAUGAAUACCAAAUUAAAUGAGUGGUAAUUAUUUAUAAUAAAUGAUACAUAUACAUGACCAUCUUAAAUCUCUCCAGGGGUGAAAAGUAAAAAUGACUAACCUUAUUUGCUUAAUCCAAUUAUCCAUUCUAUACAGGAAGAAUUUUGUGCUUUAAUUAUUUAUGAGCAAUGUCUUGAUAUCCCUUGAUAAGUGGUAUGUGUUUAUAUUUGAAAGAGAAGAAACCAAGGAAAUAAGAUCCUUUUUGUAGAGUAUAGUCAUAGGCUGUUAUUGGGGACAAGCAAGGUUACAUAUACUUUGCAUGUGUUGUCUGGUUUGGAACUCAAGUGCCUUGUGGGGGAAGAUAAGUAUUCUUUUCUUCUUCAGAGAUAAUUACCAUCAGGCAUCAAGCAUAUUUUGAAUAUAUUUUCUAAUCCAGUUUUUUCUGAUGAGAAUUUUAAAACAUCAAAUUAAAUCUGCUAGGUAAAAAGGAUGUCAGAUUUUCUCUUAAAUUAGUGCAUCACUUUUAAAACAUUGAUUUACAUUAGCACGUGGAAAUUUCAUAUGGACUAAAUAGGCUGGACACUUUAUAAUUAUAAGCGAGAGGAAUGAUAAAUUUAAUAUACUGUAAUGUGUUUGGAUGUUUGGAUGGAGGAAUGUUUUGAGGUAAAAUAAUGUUUUGAGGGAAUUUAAAUUCUUUUGUCUAAAUACCAUUGUUUGGGUGAUUAAUUUGGAAAUUUGUUUAAAAUAAUGAGAUUCUAUUUUAUGAAUUAUUGUCCAAGGUAAAUUUAAGGAAUUUCAAAUGGCACCGAAAAGUUAGGAAUUUGAAAUUUCAAACUGACCCCUAUAAUAUUUUUAAAAUUACAAAUUGACACCUAAUUUUUUCAAAAACUGCAAAUUGAUCCCUAAAAAUUUGCAAAUUGGUCCUUUAAGAUUUUGAAAACUGGUCCUUAUUUUUCAAAUUUAUAACAGUGACCCAAGAUAUUCAAAAUGAAAAUUUCUAUUAUUCUAUCCAAACACACAUUUGAAAAUGAAAGUAAUUCAACUACAAAAAUUUAAAUAGCUUAGAAUUUCAAAUCCUCUAAAAUUUUUAAUUACUUCAUCCAAACACACUCUAAGAUUUUGGUUGAAUGUAUGAUGUCCAAGGUAACCGGCGGGGAGGGGGGGNNNNNNNNNNNNNNNNNNNNNNNNNNNNNNNNNNNNNNNNNNNNNNNNNNNNNNNNNNNNNNNNNNNNNNNNNNNNNNNNNNNNNNNNNNNNNNNNNNNNNNNNNNNNNNNNNNNNNNNNNNNNNNNNNNNNNNNNNNNAUAAAGUGUUUAACCUCAACUCCUCCAACCAAUGUGAGACUUAACUCACACUUGAUAGAUCUCAACAUCUCCCCUCAAGUGUGAGUCUCUCCGCAUCUGCGGUCCUUCACCACUUACUUGUUGCUCCCCGAAACCGGGCUCUAAUACCACUAUUGAGUCACAAGGGGGCAGUUGGGGGAUUAUUCACAUUGGGCUAAAAGCAAUUAUACAAGUGAGUUGAACACCACACUUUUACUCAAAACCUUAAGACAUUAGGUUUAUGGGUCUUCUCACCUAUAAAGUGUUCAACCUAAACUUUUCUAAGCAAUGUGGAAUUUAACUCACCUCACACUCACCACAACACUUUAUCACCACGAGAGAGCGAGAAACCUUCGUGACUUUUUUUAAUAUAAAAUUAUGUGCAAAAAGAAGGAUUGCAAACAUUUUAGGCUCUGUUCUCGAUUAUUAAGGUUUAAUCAAAGUUGAAUCAUUCUAGCAGUAUAUGAGUUUCAUUUUUGGUUGGGUGGAUGAAUGUUUUGGGAUAAAGUAGUUUAUCAUUCUUAUAGAGAAAUUAAUUAUUGUGCAGAUGCGUUAACUACUAUGACUUGAGAUGUAGGUUCUACUUUGAUUUUAUACGAGCAGUGCCCUGCUAAAAUUAGUUGUUUUUAUUUAGCAAACCUUGUUGGUCUUUCGAUUCCGUGACUUGUUAUGCGGUAGUUACUUUUUCUUUUGGGUUUCAACUUCUUCUAUUUACAUUUCCUUGUUUAUAUGAUUAAUUUAAAGAACUUUCAAAUUAAUAGGAAUUUAUUAUUUUUUCCAAAUUAAAUUUAAGCAAUUUUAAAUGACACUUAAAAGUUAGGAAUCUUUCUCUCAUAUGUUUCAAAAUUUUCAAAUUGACACCUAUAAACUUUUUAAAUUGUAAAUUGACCUUAAAAUUUUCAAAAUUGCAAAUUACCCCCUAAUGUUGUUCAAAUCGGUCUUUUAAAUUUUUGAAAAUUAGUCCCUAUUUUUCAAAUUUAAAAUUUGACAAAAAAAUUCAAAUUUUUAAAAAUGGCCCAAAAAAAUCACAAUGAAAUGUUUACUUUAUCGAAAAACACACGCACACACAUUUAAAGGUAAUUUAAUUAAAUUGUUCCGAAUUCUAAAUCCUUUAAAAAAAAUUAUUAAAAAAUAUAUGUAUCAUGAUAACUAGUGUGUCCUCCGGACACUAAUUAAUGAACUAAAAAUAUUUAUAUUUAAGAACAUUACUUUUUACAUUUUUAAGUGUUUGACUUCACAGAUCUUAAAAUAUUUUUAUUAUUUUUGCAUCUUUAACUAGCGUUCCAAGUCCGGGAGCAUUAGUUAGCAUUUUCAAUUUCUUAUUCGAGCAUCCAAACAAGCUCUAAAGAAAAGUAAAAAGUAUUUCGUGAAAAAAAAAAGUAAAAAAAGUAUUUCAUAAAAGUUUGUUAUGUGAUGUUCUACCAUGUGUUGUGCUGUUUUGUCGAGUACUUACUUUUAACCGAUCAAAUGGCCCAAAUAGUUAACCAUCGUGGACAUGAACUUAGCAAAUUGGUAAAAAUUAAGAGGCUAAUAUUUAAAUAGUUAAGAGGCACAAACACAAGUAUACAAAGAUCAUGUUGGUAAAUAGUAAAUAUUGUACUUGACAAAAAUUUGCUUCACAUUGAUAACACCCUUCAAAAAUGUUUACUCAAUAUUCUUGUGACUGAGUAACAACCAUAAAUAGAUAUGUCCUAUGACUUUCAGUGGUUCCACAUUAAUUAAACUCAUGGGAUCCUCCUCCUCAUCCUCAACAACCAUGUUCCUCUUUCACCAUUUCCAUGCUUGUUUUCAGAUUCUGCUAUUCUUUUCUACAAAAUUCUGUAUUCUCACAGUCUGUAGUCCUAAUUUCAAGACAGAGGAAUACCAAAUACAAGCAUGGAAAUGGAAAUUCUAAUUGCCCAUAUUAUUAUACUAAAGGGCAAAAGAAACAUUAUAAUAUUACAUUACAUGAACUCUGAGUUAUUAUACUAAUACUAAUACAAGUUUGGUCAUUACAAAAAAUAAAAAUAUUAAAGAAAGGUAAAAAGAUUGAACAAUAAUAAGCAGCAAAUUAAUCCCUGCAAAAAGAUUGUGUCUUUCUCCAUGCCAAAUUGAAGUGGGUUUGGGGAUUGAUGAUCAGUUGUGAAGUGGGUUUGGACCAGAGGGAACUAGUCUCUUGUCAACACCAUACCUUGGAUCAACUUCAACCCGAUUAUUUUCUUGAGGUGGAAUCGGAACUGAAUGGAUGUUGUUGUGAUAUAUUCUUUGAAGUUUAAAACAUAAAGAACGCACGGUUGUGUUGGAAAAAGAAUUACUACAAUGGUGGAGGUUUGUUGGAGAUGGAAGAAAUCUUGAGUUUGUUGAUGUGGAGAGGAAAAGGAGAAGCAAUAGUACUGUAGUGAUGAGUGAAGAAGGAGAAGUCUUCAUUGGAAUGGAAAAUGGGAAGGUAGAGAGAGAUGUGGGUUGUGAAUAAUAUNNNNNNNNNNNNNNNNAUGAAGGGGACCUCACCUUUACUCUUCACUCAACUCAAUUUUUUUAUAUUUUUUUUACAAACAUAAACUCACUUAAAAAGGGAGGGAGUUUCCGUCUCAAAAUAAUUGUCACAUUUUACCACUGCACAUUUGUCAAUGCACAAUUUUGAUCAUGAAUAUCUUUUGUUGUGUAUUAUUAAAAUAGUGUUAUACCCCCUGCAAAUUUUUUUUUUUUAGAUUCCCCCUGCAAUGUCAAGAUUCCUUGCGUUACCCCCUGGCUCAACAAGUGGGCAUAUGACAUGGACGAAUCUUGAUGUGGCAUGACACGUGAAAAUUAAUUUAUUUUUUAUUUAUUUUUAAUUGCCAACUCAGUAAUUAUUUAUUUUUUAAUUAAAGAAAUUUUUUUUUACGAACCUAGGUAAAAGAAAGUUGUCAUUUUUUUUUGCAGGGGGUAAUGCAAAACUCGCGUAUUUUGCAUGAGGUAACGCAAAACUCGCAAAAAAAAAUUACAACUUUCUUUUACCGUAAAAAAAAGUUUCUUUAAAAAAAAAGUUUUUUUUUUCAAUUUUUUUAAUUAAAAAUUAANNNNNUAAAAAUAAAUAAAAAAAUAAAUAAAUUUCCACGUGUCAUGUCACGUCAAGGUUCGUCCAUGUCAUAUGCCCACUUGUUGAGCCAGGGGGUAACGCAAGGAAUCUUGAUAUUGCAGGGGGUAAUCUCAAAAAAAUAAUUUGCAGGGGUAACGCAAAACUCGUUUAUUUUGCAAGGGGUAAAACACUAUUUUACCCUUUAUUUAUUUAUAUUAUAUGUGAUGUGUGUGUGUGUUGAGCCCACAUGAUCGAACAGAAGAAAGAAAGAAUAAUACCGGUCUGUGGUCCUCUUAUACCCUUCAACCCGGAAAAGAUUUGAAUGAAUAAGCAACACCAACCAUAUAUAGUAGUAAUUGGCAUGAAGGUGAAAAGAAUACAAACUCAUCCACUAUUAGAACUACGUGUUUUUGGUUUGAUCAGAACUACGUGUUAGACACGUACACAUGGUGUUAAUUUGUAUAUGUUUUUGGUACCUUAAAAACAUACAUUUUGACAUGUUUUUCACCCACAUAAAAAUAUACAUUUUGGUCUUAGGUGUCGCACACAUCAUGGGAAAUGCAUUGACCAAAAAAAAAGAAUUUGAUGUUAGAGGGGAUCCUUACUAUGUGCUGUAGCAAAGUUAGUUUGAACCAAAAACCAAAAAUAGCUUAUUUGUAGCUUCAAAAGAAAACCACUUACAUUCAAUCUUUUAAUUACCUCUUUCACCACUAUUAUAGGGAACAAUUAUGGAGUGAUUAGAGUUAAUAUAUCCAUACAAACAUUGAAAGUUGAAUCUUGUGCUCAUAAUCACACGCAUUGUGAAGAGGAACAUAACAAUGAUCAUCAAUUUGAAAUACUAAAAUAUAGUUUAGCAAAUAAAAAUCAACCAUAUGUUCCAUUAUUAACAUAACAUGAAAGUAAAAACAGCUACCUCCUAAUUAGAAAUUAAAGAUAUACUAAAUCCUUCAAGAACAAAAAAGAAAUCAUUUACCCACAUGGCAUUCUGUACAUUGUAAUUUGCUUUCAUCAUAUGGGAUAAUGACAACAAUUAAAAAGUAAUAAUUCUUAAACUUAAAGAUAAUAUUCAUUAAGGUACCUCAAUUGAAGAAGAACUUUCAAAAAAUGAAGUAAAAGUAAAAACCAAGAUAUAACCCAUUUGGCCAUUUCCUUAUUCAUCAACAGGAGCAGGUUGAUUAAGAUCAAUCAAACAAGGAGCAACACUUUGUUUGAUCACAAAAGUGUUGUCUUCAGAUCCUCCAACAAAAUGUGAUCUUUUAUGUCCUCCCAAUGCUUGUCCAGACUUGAAAAUUUUGUAGCAAAUUGGACAUUCAUAUUCUUUGCUUUUCUUUGACUUCAACUUCUUCUUCUUUUUACCCUUGUUGCUUGAUUUCUUUUUAUUCACCAAUUUACUGUUAUGAGAUUUUGCAGCAGAAAAAGAAUCACUUUCUGAACUUUUUUGUUCAUCACUCUCAUCAUCUGUUAUUGAAUCAUAAGAACAAUGUUUGUCCUUUUCACUCCUAAAGAACUCAUAUUUCAAACUUUUUCUAUCACUCUCAUAGAUUUCUUCAUAUUUUGCUUUCUUUCUCGAAUCAAACUUCCUAUCAUGAUCCAAUUCUUCAUAUUUUGCUUUCUUUUUGCAAUUCUCAAAUCUAGACUUAUCUUCUUCUUCUUCCAUCUUUGGCCUCUUGAAUUCGUAUUUUGAAACAUUUGAAUCUACAAUUUUGAUCUUCUUUGAACCAUAUUUGAAAGCUGUCGAAUCCGAAUUAAUUGAAAUACCAAUCCCACCAACAGACUUCAGCUUCUUCUUCUCCUCAACAAAUCCAUGAGCAUUACUAGAAACAAGUUUGUUACCAUUUCUGAUAACAAUCUCGGAUUUGGUCUCUAGAAGAACCGAGUUGUUAUUGGAAGAUUCAGAAACAAAACGACCCUUAUGACUAAAAAAAUCUCUAGACAAUAACAUCAAACACCUAGCAACCUCUUGUUGUUCCUGUUCCAUCUCUGAAACAGAUGAAGAACCAUUAACAGACGAAGAAGAAGGUUGGUUUGAAAGAGUAAGAGACUUGAACCUAAUUCUUCUCUUAUUUUUCCUUAGAUUCAUUGUUGAAGCAGCAACAACACAAGUAUCAUCAUCAUCAUCAUCAGAUUGAGUAUCCUCCUUGAUCUUUUUCUCUUUCUCAGAAUGAGAAGCCAUGUGACCACAAAGAGCUUUCAAUGAUGGAAAACCUUUCCCACAUUCUUUGCAAAAUUUGAUCAUUUCAUGUUCCAAUGCAGUGGUUGCAGCGGCGGCAGAGGCAACAUGAUUAUGAGAAUGCACAAACUUGAUUGUUUUCUUGGGAUUCUCUCUAAGACCAUAAAUGGGGUUUCCAUUUCCACCAUCACUAAGANNNNNNNNNNNNNNNNNNNNNNNNNNNNNNNNNNAACAGGUUCAAAAUCUCUCUUGAUAUCAGCAACAGCAGCAGCAGCAAUAGCAGCAGCAGCAGCAUGAGUUCUUUCUUCAGUCAUGUGGGUUCUGAUGUGACCACCAAGAGAUUUUCCACAUGGAAAUCUCUUUAAGCAAUACUUGCAAACAAACUUCCUCUUCCUCUCCUCCAUGGAUAAUUGAUAAUUCUGAAAUUUGAAUUUGAUCUAGUGUUAUAUAUUUAUAUAAGAAUCAACAACAAACUAUAGAUCACAUACCUGACUGAAAUCUGUAUGAUGAUCAAGUGUAAUAUAUAAUAGGGAAAUUAGAAUGAAGUGGUGGUGGUGGUGGUGGUGAUGAUCAGAAUUGUUGUUGUUGAUGAGAAGAUGUGACAGUUGUAUAAGUACAAGAUCCGACCCAAAAAAAGGGGAGAGACCCCUUCAUUUUCGUUUCCCAAUAGAAUGAUCAAAUAUCAUUAUAAUUUAAUUAAUUUUAUUAAAUGUGCUUUGUGAAAUAAUUAAAAUUAAUAAUGGGUUUGCUUGCCACAACACAAUGGGUCAAGUACUGUAACAUUAAAGAGCUACUACAAAUACAAUACAAGCUUAUGACUCUUUCUUUGUUGGAGGAGAGAAUUCCAUGCAUGAAAUCAACAACUAGUAGAUUAAUUAUAGGAAUUAAUUUUUUUCAAAAAAAAAAAAAAUUAUAGGAAUUAAUUAAUUUUAAUUAAUUAAAAAAAAUGUGAAGUGAGAACCAUUAGAAGAUCAUUUGAACGGCCAAGAUUUGUGUUAGUUUUUAAGAUAUAUAUAUAUAUUAAGCUUUUUUGGAGAGUACUACCAUAUAUGGCACACACAAAAUGAAGCAUCCUAAACAAAAACCAUGAAUAUGACUGUUAUUUUGAGUCGUUAUUUUAGUAUGUUUAUUUGAUGAUUUGAUGGUAUAAAAUGACGAUAUCUUGUUUCCUUAUUCUUAUCGUGUUAUUACACCGCUUUAUUGUGUAAACUAUUUUUACCCUUUUUGUGUUGCGUCUAGACUCUUGUGAGUUUAGAUUUUUAGGUAGAAGAUUAGUUCGCGCGGAUUGGGUAUUGAAGAUGGCAUUAGGCAACUGCCUUCGUUUUAUUUUCAGUCAUCAUUAUAGAGUCGCUCUGAUAGCGUAACACGUUCUUUUCUUUAAAGUUGUUAAGCUAUUUGAAGUUCUUGGAUAAUUUCCGCUGCAUGUUUUUAAAUAAUUUGAUGAUUGGUUUGAGAUGUAGACGUGUGACAUUGACACCGUAAAAUUGACGCCGAAAACGGAGGCGGCACCGAACUUUGUUGAACCGAACCUAACAUUAUGAAAGAAAUGAGAAUAGAAUGUUGCAUAACCCUAUAAGAUUUAGAAGUUUGGUGGUGCGGAGGACCGUUGAAAACACAGUUGCCACUCAUCACCCCAUUUGAAACAAAAAUUACAUGAUGAUGAAGAAAGUGUUUGGAUGUGAAAGGAAGGAAGAAGACACCUACGACGGUCAAUAUACAAAAAUAUACAUUUUGUAGCAAUAACUCGUCUAGUUCAGUUGGUAGAGCGCAAGAUUAUUAACCUUGGGGGUUGAAUAUAUAUGAAGUAAUAUUUUAUUUUUUUGCCAACAAAAUCCUUUAUAGUAAUGUUUAAUUUAUUACAUAAAAUUGAAUGUCAACAAAUUGGGAUUUUAGGUAGCUUAAGAAACAAAAUUUAGAACUAAUAUUCCAAAGAUCUGACAAAACAGAACUAAUGAAAAGAAUUAAUUAUAAGAAUAAGAAAGAAUAGGGGAGGCAUUGUCUCAGCUCAAUAUGAUGUUAUUCCAUUUAUGCCACUGCAGGCAUAUCCUUGAGCCAUGGAUCUAGUGGCUUACCAAUUGAAUAAACUAUAAAUCCAAUUUUCCUGAGCACGCCAACAUCCACAACAUUCCUACCAUCAAAUACAAAUGCUGGCUUCUGCAUACUGUCAUAAACUUUUUGGUAAUCAAGUUUCUUAAAUUCAUCCCACUCAGUCAUAAUGCAAACACCAUGUGCAUCUUUCACCGCCUCAUAAGCAUCCCAAACCACAGACACUUGCUUUAUGGAAGUAGGGCUCGGCGGUUGAAGAUGAGCAGGGUGGUCCUUAUCAAACUUCCUCAUCGACAGAUCCUUUGUGAUCUGAUCUUCGGUAACUUGUGGAUCAUAUAUGCUCAACCUUGCCUUAUCUCCCAAUAAACCCUUGCACACAUCGAUAGCCGGUGUUUCCCUUGUAUCGCCUGUGUCCUUCUUGAAAGCAAAACCAAGAAUAGCAAUCUUCUUAGUUGAAACUGUGUUGAACAUUGACGAAACAACUCGGUUCACAAACCGACUUUUCUGAUAGUCGUUCACCUUAAUCACCUGCUUCCAAUAAUUUGCUACCUCAGGAAGUCCAUUACACUCACAAAUAUAGACCAAGUUUAAUAUAUCCUUCUGAAAGCAAGAGCCACCAAAACCAACACUAGCAUUCAAGAACUUAGGACCAAUCCUCGAGUCUGUUCCGAUUGAGUGUGAUACCUCUGAGACAUCAGCACCUGUUGCUUCACAUAGUGCUGACAUUGCAUUCACAGAAGAGAUUCUCUGUGCCAAAAAGGCAUUAGCAGCAAGCUUAGAGAGUUCAGCAGACCACAAAUUGGUGCAAAUGAUUUUCUCCAUAGGGACCCAAUUAGCAUAAACAUCUCUCAAUGUUUUUAUGGCCUUUUGUCCUGCUGGUGUCUCCCUACCUCCGAUAAGGACUCGAUCUGGGUUGAAAAGGUCUUUAAUUGCCGUACCUAUUAGAGAUAAAGUUUGUUAAGAAGAUAACAAGGAUAACAAACCUAACUAACUCUUAACUAACUAUUUCAGUAUUAGUACCCUCAGCAAGAAAUUCAGGGUUUGACAAAAUAGUGAAAUUGGUGCCUUUCCUAUUAUGAGUCAAAAUCCUCUCAAUUGCUUCAGCAGUUUUAACAGGUACAGUUGAUUUUUCAACCACAAUUUUGUCCGAUUUAGAAACAUCGGCGAUCAUCCGAGCUGCACUCUCCCAGUAAGUUAAAUCAGCUGCUUUGCCAGCUCCAAGACCAUGUGUUUUUGUCGGUGUGUUGACAGAAACAAAGACUAUAUCAGCCUCUGCUACAUGUUUCUCCACUUCAAUGCUGAAGAAAAGGUUUUUUCCCCUGCAUUUCUUCACCACUUCGUCAAGACCUGGCUCGUAGAUUGGUAGGUGGUCGCUGUUCCAACCGUUGAUUCGCUGCGAUGAAAUAUCGACCACGGUUACUUGAAUAUCAGGACACUUUAAGGCAAUCACAGCCAUUGUGGGACCACCAACAUAUCCAGCUCCAAUGCAACAAAUCUUCACCAUUUUUCCUUUUUCUUAACUUCCUUCACUGUGUGACAUGAAGAUCAAAAUAAAUAAAAAAACUCAUACAUAACAACAAGGUAUAUUACUACUUUCAAAUGCUUAUUAUUGGUUAAUUAAGGCCAUAAUUGAAUAACUUAUAGACAUGAAAACACGAAAAAUUCUAAUAUAGACUACUUUAAAAAGUGGUCCGUCGUGGAUUAGUACUUAAGAAAUAUUUAAAAUUCCAACGAUGAUGUACAUCAUUGUUUGAACAUAUAAGUUAAUACUUAAUGGUCAUCCCCAUUUUUACAAUUGAGAUAACAACUUCAUUAAUAUCAGUUCGAUUAAAACAACUGAAAAAAAAUAUGUAACUUGUAUUGAGCUGACGUUAAUCACAUCAUUAUUUUAGUCGUAAAAACGAAGAGUCAUGAAUGUUUACUUUUAAAUAAUAUUGUCAAUCGUCGUCGCUAGAAUAUCUAAUAAUCUUAAGCACCGAUCCACCGUAGCGUUCACCCAUGAAAACAAUAUACAUAAUAAUUUAUCAAGUAACAAUACUUAUGCAGAAUAAAAUGAUUUUUUAAUAGCAGGAUCUGUGUGUAGUUUUCAAUUGGGAAAGCCAUAAAAGAAUAUUAAAUCCAAAGAACAUUCCAANNNNNNNNNNNNNNNNNNNNNNNNNNNNNNNNNNNNNNNNNNNNNNNNNNNNNNNNNNNAUAUAUAUAUAUAUAUAUAUAUAUAUAUAUAUAUAUAUAUAUGAAUUGAGGCAUCGACAGAUAUAAUACUAAUAAAAUAAGGUACAGAAAUGUUACCUAAACACAAUUUUUGAACAUAAGUUGGACAAAUAUACUGAUUUUCAUUUUUUAAUAAUAUAUUAUGCUUACUGAUUUGCGUGCAUAACCUUUUUUAUAUUAUGAUGUCGUAUUUUUAUCAGCAAGAAUGUGUUUAGAUAACAUGCCUCAAUAAGGUAGCAGAUCUAGGACAAAUCAUUUCAUUCACAGAAAUAAUAAAUUAAUACCAACCUAAGUGAAGAUCUUGUGAAGGUAACAAAGAAAAGUGAAGGUAACAAAGAAAAGAGAAAGAUAAAUUACGUUGUGUAAGUAACGGUGGUGAAGAUGAAUGAAGAAGAAGAAGAAUAGAAAGGUCGUUGUACUUUUGUUUCGGUUUCUGGAAUGCAAAGAAAUAGGAAUGAGUCACGAAGUAACAUGCGGAUCUAUUUACUAUAAUAAAAGCCAUAUUUAUACUAANNNNNNNNNNNNNNNNNNNNNNNNNNNNNNNNNNNNNNNNNNNNNNNNNNNNNNNNNUAUUAAAAAUAGUCCUAACAUCUAGCACUAAAAAAAAAGUACUAACACCACAAAAACAUGUAGUAAUUAUAAAGGUUUCUUUGUUGUCUCCAUAAGUUUAGAUCAAUUGGUACAUAAGAAUAUCGUAUUUUAUAUGCAGAGAUUUGAUGAUCGAAUUUUAUAUACUCCAUUUCUUCAUGUCAAAAGAAAGAAAUUUUGCCACCAGACUGCAAUUAUUCAUGUUAAAAUUAUAGGAGAUUCAGUUUUGAUAAAACAUUUAAAAGAAAUUAUAAUUACAAUUAUAAAAAUGCAGUAAAAUAAGAUAUUUUAUGCAAAAUAUAAUAUCUAAUAUAGUAAAUAUAAACACAGCAGCAAAAUAAUAAUAAUAAUAAUAAUAAUAAUAAUAAGGCUUAAUUAGUUUAUUGGUCCCUUAAAGAUAUUUUAGGUUUCACAAUGGUCCCUUAAAGAAAAAAAGAUCCAGAUUGGCCCCUUAAAGAAAAAAAGACCCGGAUUGGUCCCUUAAAGACAUAUAUGUUUGUCAUAUUGGUCCUUUCCGUUAAGUUUUAACUCCAAAUAUAACAAAAAAUUCCAAUGGUUAAAAUUUUAAAAAUUAAUAAGGUUUUUGGUGGACCACUUACGCUUAAUGACAUAUUGACAUCCACAAUUCAGUCAACUAAAACUAACGUUUUUUGUAAAAAAAUUGACGGAAAUGACAUAUUGACAUCCACAAUACAGACCUUUUUUUCUUUAAGGGACCAUUGUGAAACCUAAAAUAUCUUUAAGGGACCAAAAGACUAAUUAAGCCUAAUAAUAAUAAUAAUAAUAAUAAUAAUACCAAUACAAAUUAUGUUUAAAACAUAAAUAUAAAAUAAGGGUAUUCUAACUAGUGUUUUUAAGGAAACAAAAAUGAUAAGUUUUGCGGGGGGGAUGUGUUACUAAACCUACAAAUAAAAACCUUGCCUUAAAAAUUGUACAUUUAAUUUCUUAGAAGUAUAAAAAUUGCUUGUUUCAACAUAAAAAAUUUACUGUAAAUUUCUUAACAUACUCUCUUAAGUUCGGUCAUGAUGUGUUGAAAUAGUCUUGGACAACAAUGAUGUUUUACUAGAAAAUAGCUACCAGUUAGCUACAAUGGAUGUCGUAGCUAAUCCAAAAUUUUCUUGUAAUGUAUAGGGGGCAAAAUCCAAAGAAUUAUAAAAUAGGAGUAAAAUUCCGGAUUUUAAAAUAGGGGGUAAAAUUCCGAUUUAUUCAAAACAUGGGGGGUAAAACUGCAUUUAAGCCAAUAAUUUAUAAGUAUUUGAUUUUGUUAUGUAAUUUUUUAAGAAUAAACUUUUACUAAAAUUACUGUUCUCUAAGUCAAAUAAUAAAUUACAAUACAUUUUAUUUAAUAAAUAAAUGCAUUUUAUUGUGAUAGUGCAUAUAAGACUGUCCCAAAAUAAGCAAUGGGAACAGUUUUUUUGUGGCUACGGCUCAUAACCAUUGUUGUUGUGAAAUUCGAGAACCCUUUAUAAAGGAUACUUAGGAUACAGUCUUACGAAUAUCGUCGCUGUUUUGACAAAAAACGUUGCAAAAGGAAAAGACAAUGUCUCGGUUUGAUAGGCCCAAAAACCGUCCUCUUACCCUAUAGCAGCGGUUUUUUGGAUUAACCAACGGUUUUUCUCGUUGCCAUAGGACAAAAAUGUUGCAGUGAAAAUGCUUGGUAGCCAUAACAAAUAUAAUAUUGUUGUUGAAACUAAUACUACUAACAUUGUUUUUUAUAAAAGAAAAAAGGCAUUAAUGUUCUUGAAACUCAAGAGUUUAUAGCCAAACUCUCAAAACAACCAUAACUAAUAUAUGUGUAACAAUUAGUAGGAGGCAGAGGUGGAUCCGAACGUGGAGGUAGCUGACUUUGAACAAAUUUUUUCCAUAAAUUGAAAUAAUUGCUCCCUAAGCAAACGAGAAUCCUCCUGCAAUUAACGAAUCAACUCCUCGUGAGUCUUAUUUUUUCUUUUAAGAGUUGUGUUUUUAGUUGCAAAAUUAAAAAUUAUAGUCUUCAUGUGUUGAUCUAGACGGCUUGUACUUCUGUGCUUCUAGAGGUGAGAAACAUGGCCUUGAUCCUUUGCAUGACUUCAUACACAUCAAGUAAAAGGGAGGAUAACCGAAAGAAGAGUAAUGAUGCAACAAGUUAGAAAUUUAAAGAACCAAUUUAUUAGUUAAAAAGCUUAAAGAUUUGUAAUUUAAAUAACAUAACUGUUACAAACGUGAAACUUUUUUUUUUUGAACCAUUACAAACAUGAAACUUAAAGAUCCCUAAAUACACUUUUUAUAAGGAUAAAAAAAACAAAAAAAAUUAGACAUAUUCAACCUUCUGAAAAAAAUAUGAGAGAAAAAAUAAAUAAAUUAAAACUAUCAACAUCGAAGACAAAGUCAUUUCUCUAUACGUGGAAGAGUAUUAAACGCAAACUACACUCUAUAGUCUCAGAGAAAAGUGCAAAUUUAGAACUCAGUGUCCCAAAAAAACCGUAUCUUAAAAGAUAACAGAAUUCUCAUCAUGGUUUUGACACAUAUCAAACACUGUCCCACAAUAAGAACAUAUCUUGUAUUAGUAUGGCCUCACAUUUAAUAGCAAAAGCUGGAGGCGGCACUAAAAAAUAAAAAUUGAUGUAAACCUCAAAGAUUAAGACCCUUAACUCAAUUUAAGCCUAGCUCAUUAUUUCUAGCCACCCCUUAUAAAUUAAACCGUGUCCUUGUGCUUCAUACACAUCCUCAAUCAAAACAACAUAAGCUCAAUUUUCAUUCCUAUAGCUACCCUUUUCCCAUAAACACCUGAAAUUAAAUCACAUUAAUUAACAAUGGCAAAUUCUCGCAUUGCAAGGUUUUUCAUGGAGGUGGCGCCGCCACAAUAUGUUAAUGUGAUGAGGCAUAGAACAAAAAAAAUGAUGGAAACAAUAAGUGAAGAGGACAGGGAAAUUAUCUCAAAUGAUAGUGUAAUUUCCCCACCUAAAAGUUCAUCAACAACUUCACUUGCUGCAUGUACCUCUUCUACCAAUGCAACCGUUAAUACUGGGUACUUCCUGAAGGAAGUUCAUAGAACACUCUCAAGUUUGAAUCACUGAAGCCAAUGAAAAAAAAAAACAACCUCUGGUGGCUGUUUCCAUGGGUUGUUCUUUUUGUUAGUGUUUUUAUUCUUAUCUUUUAUUUUAUGUAAUGAUAUCCUAUUAGUUUGUUUUGGAGGAACAAGGAUAGUUGAGACUUGAGAGAGUAUAAUGUAACCUUAGGGAUUCCUGCUGCAUCUGUGUUUUUCUAUGAUGUUACAGGCUCAUAAUUUUCUAUCAAUAAAACUCAAAGUUUUGUGCCUUAAGUUAAGCAUCCACAAAUUUAAUGUCAUGGUCAAUUUCAAGUCAUUUNNNNNNNNNNNNNNNNNNNNNNNNNNNNNNNNNNNNNNNNNNNNNNNNNNNNNNNNNNNNNNNNNNNNNNNNNNNNCCAAAUCCCAUUUUCUUUGUGAAAUCAUACUUUUGAUCUUAAUAUAAAUGUAUUUUCAGCUACUUCAAUCUGUAUCUGAACACUAGCUACUUCUGAAUUUUAUACCUAAAAACACUUGGUACAACUUGGGAAGGGUGGUAGGAGUAUGGAUAAUAAAACACCAAGCAUAUAUAAAUGAGAAAAUGUAAGCGACUUCAGAACCUGAUACAAUAUGCUAAAAUUUCUAAAAUUUCCACUGUGUCAAAAAGACCAACCUGUAUCUAAAACAUAGGUAUCUUUCUUUUCAUUGUUUACUGUAGAAGAUAGCAACGAGAUAUCCAAGCUCCCACUGGUAGAGUUUAGAUAUCUGCUUUUGUCUUUUGAGUUUCCCCUCUAGAAACUUCUUCAACGAGGAAGUUUCUGAGUAGCCUUUGGUCCAAAAUCAUAUUUGGAAUCUGCAGAAAGCAAACCCAGAAGAUCAAACCUAUGCACCACAAAAAAACAAGAGAAUAACGAAAUAGCUAUAGCUAAGAUGAGAGGUACCUUGUCUCCAAAGAAAAUCUUCGUAUUAUUAGCAAUGGAUUCGAUAAAUUUUAGCUCAAGAAAUUCAGGGGUAAGUUUCAACCUGUUUGCUUCAGCUUCCCUUAUUACACUGGAAAUAGUAAGCAGAACAAGUUGACCAUUUCUUAUUUCAAAGACAGAUGAUUAAAAUAUCAUAGUCAUAAACUUACAUUAACCAAUGAAAUUAACAAAAGGAAAAUCUCACCGGUAGAAAUCUGCAUCCGCCAGACUCUUCUCACGUGCUAGGUACAUUGCAUUCUCAAUUUCUUCCUGUUUUCUUGCACUAUCUUUUUCCAACAACUUUUGUUCCAUAAGGAUCUUGCUAACAUUGGCAUUUUUCUCAGCCUCGCUAAUAGCCAUCUUCUUCAUAGUCUCUGCCUCCUUCUCGGAUACUUUUUGUUUCUCAAUAGCAAUUAAGCCCUAUCCAAUAGCAUACAAGGCACAGUGUUUAUCAAUAUCUAGAAUAGAGGAAAUUCAAACUGAAUAAGAAUCGCGAAGAGAAAUAUAAAAAAAAACCUACUACAAGCGAUUACAAUUUACAAGACAUGUAUCUCAGAUUAUGACAGUAUGAAUCAAUCAUAAGGUUAAAUACAGAGUUAGCACAUGUUUAACUCAUUUAAUGAGAUUAUCAACUAAAUAUUGCAUCUGUCUAGCUUCGGGCAUAUUUACAGGAAAAUGACAGGUGCUUAUACCUUAGUACGCUCCUCUUCCAUCUGUUCAUAGUUGUGGCUUAUGUUUUCUGGAAUAUUUGGCUUUGUGACACGGACACCAAUGAUCUCAAUGCCUGGAGCAUAACGGGUACAGUCAACUUGAAGAGCAUCCUUCAUCUUUUCGUCAAUCUGAAAGUGCCCCGAUGCUUGCUUGUUAAUAUAUUAAGAUGAGAUAACUAGAAAGGAGAAAAGCCAGAAGACAGUCAAACAAUACAUUUUGGGUUAACUCGGCUAACACAACAGAGCAAAAGAAUCACAAGUGUUGGGUGAGGGGGACUUAUGACUUGCAUCAACUACGUUUUUAGUGGAUGAGAAUGAAAGUUACAGCUUAAAAUAAUACAUCAAAGAUCAAACUAUUUCAUAUUAUGUCAAUGGAAACCCUUCAAUUUUGCUAGUUUGAUUAACCAUACAAUAUAAAUGAAAGUUAUCAGUAUAAAAUAAAACAUGGAUGUAAAAUUACACUUUCAAAUCAUUAAAUUACCUGAUCAAACACAUCAAUAUAUACUUGUUGAAGACUAUGAGAGCUGCAGAACUGAUUAAUCUCAUGAUGAAUCUUGUCAUAUAUCCAUGUCUUGUCAUAUUGUACACCAUAGUUGAGCAAUGUCUCAUAGACAGAUUCUUUAUGCAAUCGGUUAACAACCUAAAAGAAGAACAUUACUGCAUUUACAAUUAACAGUGUAAAAAAGUAGAAACUUGUAAACCAGAUAUUGCGUAUGACAAUUAUACUUGCUAUUACCUCAAUCUUCCCAAAAGUAAUCAUAACACCACCUUUAGUACCGCACGGUAUAUCUGUCACCUGCAAUUGCAACCAGUACUCAAAAUCCAAAUUAUAGAUCCAACAGAAACCCUAAUUCCCAACACUGUUCUAUAGAAUUUACCUCGUCUGUUUGAAGUGUCACUUGAACUGGCUCAAACUGAGUUAAGAAAGGCAUCUUCAUAUGGAAACCUGGAAGAAUUAAUAUCACGAACAUCAACAAAAAUUGUGCACACAUACAUCGAAGAAAAGCAUCGAAAAAACAAAUAAGCGUUUAGCACCUGGCUCUGUAAUUGUUUUCAGAAGCGCACCUCCUCUCCAAUAUACCCCCACAUGGCCUUCAGGGACUUGGUGAAUAACUGACAUUGUAUUUUUUAAGGAUGGUGAUGCUGAAGGAACCAAAACCUAUAGAUAAUAAGACAUCGUUUUAAGCUUUAGAUGUCGACUAGAAUCGAUUUCCAAAUAAUGUAAAUAAGUGGUAGUACAAAAACAACAGUAACCAAAUUAGCUAGGUGGGUUCAACUACAUACACAGAUUAAAUAAACCAUUAUGCAUCAUCAUCAAAAUCAAAGCACACAAGAAAUAAUAUCAAAACAACAAAUUAAGACAAAUAUUCCAUUUCCUAUUCAUUGUCAUAAUAUAAUGUUAGUAAUUUAAAAUUAUAGUCAUUCCUCUGUUUAAAAGAAGUGCAAAGGUGAGCAAAACAUUAAGUUGGAUGUCCUACCGUAAGUGCCCUAUGUAUAUAUGAUUACCAUAUCAUUUUUAUUGUGUUAACCCUCCGGUACCCAGGAAAAGUGGCCUGAUUAUUCGAAGUCCGGCCGCGAGGUAUGUAAAGUCUGGCCAAAAAUUGUUCCUCUUAGAAGUCGAACAUGGGUUCACCUAAACGAUGCGUUCAGUGGGAGCUCAUUAACUACUUGACCUCAAUCACUUGGUUACCAUAUCAUAUUUGAUGCAAAACAAAUGGUUUUAAAUUGUGGUCGCAAUUUUGACAAUAUCAAGCACAUUUUCCUGGAAUAUAAAAUUUCACAACAACCGUAACCACAAUCGCUAUUUAGAAGAAUUAUUAUUAUCUUAUAGAUGCUGGUGAGGAAUGCCCUAAAAAGUGAAUUACAUUUACAUUAACAUGAUUAUUGGUACUAAACUACUACUUUUUCUAUGUGUGAUUGUUUUUCCAAUGUAGGUAAUAUAUUUUUUCGUUGUGCAAAUGCAAAACAGGGAAAUUUUCAUGACGAAUGAUUAUAGACAUGAGAAAGAUAAAAAAAACAGAAUUGGAAAGGUUUUAAUUUCACUAUUACAUUUGCGGAAAGAGAGGAAGAGAAAGAGUUACCAAAGCGGCAAUGAGUAUGAAUGAGAGAAAGGGUAGCAUAAUGGAAGUUGAUGAAGGAUCACGAGUUUGCGAUAUUCGAGUUUGGUGCUGCGAAUCCAUGGCGGUGGAACUUUUUCUGUUUGUGUUUUUGAUUCUUUGAGUUUGGGUUUGGUAUAAAACACCUCUUGCUUCCUUAUUUGUUUGAUCGUGAGAUACACCAAAAAUUGAUUUUGAACAUAUCUUAUUUGUGGCCAAUUUUAUUUUGUCAGCCUACGGCUAUGUUUGGAUAGAUGGAAAGUGAUCGAAUUGAAUGGAAUGGAGUGAAAUAUAUUUAUAUUUCAUUGUUUGAUUUUGUAAAUAAUGGAUGGAAUGGAAUGGAGUAUGAUGGAACUCAUUCCAUCUAAUAGCACUCAUUCAUCUAAUUUUUCAUUCCUCCCAAUUUGGGGUGUAUGCAAUGGAAUGGAAUAAACUAAUAACAAAAAUACAAUUUUGUUCCUUUUUUUUUUCUUCUCUUUUAUUAAACUUUCUUUCUUCCCUCUCACUUGUCUUCUAUUGACUGUUCUUCUUCUGCAAUUUUAUUCCAUCGAUCCAAUUUUUCUAUUGACCGUUCUUCUUCUGCAAUUUUCAUUCCUCCUUAUUCUUUUUUCCAUUAUUUUCCGCCGUGUGUUCGUCACAAUGAAAUAAAGGGAUGACUGAGGUAAACAAAUAUAUAUAUAUUCAACUACGUACUAGUAUAUUUUUCGUCAAAAAAAAACUACUAGUAUACUACUAUUUAUUUAUUACAGUGUAUUACUAAUUAGGUAAGGUAAAUUCUUUAAAUACAUUAUAUUUUUUUGUUUGGUCUGACAUUAUAUAAUAAUAUUAUUUUAAUAUAAGAUAUAAUAUUAAAUAAUUUUUUGUUUUGUUUUUUGGUCAAUAUAAGAUAGUGUAUUUUAUUUCUAUGUAAUUGUGUUUUUUAAUUAAGGGUAUAAAUGUAAUAAAAUAUUUCUUAUCUGUUCCGUUCCGUCCACUUUCAAAACAAUGGAAUAGAAAUAUCCAAACAAUGGAAUGAAAUAUUCAUUUCACUCCUCUCCAUUCCACUCCAUUUCAUUAUGUUCCACUCCGUUCCGUUCCAUUCUAUUCCAUCAAUCCAAACAUAGCCUAUGUGUUUUUCGCACGUCGAGGUCGGCCAAGUUGUCAAUUUUAAUUGGCCACACCGUGGUUAUAAAUAGACCCCUUCAGACUUUUUAGAUCUCACACCUCUUUUUCUCUUCUUAUGUUUCUUUUUAUAUUUUUUUAGUAAUGUUAGUUCGUUUAAUUUUUGUCAUUUCAUGUUAUAUCUCCGUUUCAGGGACAAAAUUUCACAAGAGGAGAUUGUUUAGUUUAUUUAAUUGGCAGUUGAAAUUUUGGAUGUAAUAUCUAAAUUGAUGUAAUUUUUGUGUUUAAUGUUUUAAUAAAAAAAAAUUAUGUCUUAACUUCAUUUUGUCUUUCCUGAUUUUCUUUUUUUUAUGUAACAUAGUCAUUCGCUACUUAAGUAACAGAAGCCCCAUCACCCUACGACCAAUCCGCUACUUAAGUAGUGAAGUGACUGCAAUAAGAACCAGAAGCAAGAACCUAUAACCAGAACCAGAUUUUUGGACUUGUUAUCUCGUUGAGCAAUUUAUCGAUGUCGAUACACGUAAUAACAUUAUUCAUUUGCAAACAUAUAAUUAUCAAAACAAAAUAAUAACAUAAAAUACUUAUCCAAAAGAUGCCAUUACAAAAUAUAUGUAAUUAUCCGAACAAACAUAUAACAUAAUUAUCACAAAAGGAGACUAUGCAUAGCCCCUCCACCACCCGACCUCCCGUAUUACGGUGCAAAAUUUGAGACAUCCCAAAUUUGUACAUCACCCCUGGCACGUGACCCCUCCGUUAACUCCCCACUCAACAACAAAUCAUUUACGAUCUGUCAAAUUCUAUUUAUUUUAACGGCCAAGCUUGUUGCAAGGGGCCCUUUCUUCUCAGCUUCCCGCUCUAUAAGGGCCUUCUGUUCACACUGCUUCAGUGGAUCCCUUGGCGGCAUAGGCCUCUUGUUCACACUCCGUGCUUACCAUACGGGGCUCAUGUGAUGUGGAAUCCCAAAUUUUCUUUGUAUAAAUAUUUAUCCAAAAUUAUUGUUAAACUAUCGUUUAAUGUUACUCAAUUUUUUUCAUAUACAUUAUAUUAUUGGAAUUAUCAUAUCUUAUUUAAUCAUUAUAUAUGUUACGGCUAAUCAAACUCAUGCAUCGCACGGGUCGAUGUUCUAGUAAUAAUAAAGUAACGUUGCAAGGCGGAGUGGAAACAAACAAGACAACGUCGACGAGGGAAAGUAACGUAAGUAUAUACAUCUGAGAGAUGUUUAGUAUUGCAACCUUUUAAUUAUUGGGUCAUGCUAACCGGUGCCCCCGGGCACUGGUUAAGGAAACUAAAAAAGGAAAUUUUAAAAUUGAAAAUAACACUUUUUAGACUUUCGAGGCGUUGACUGCACAAACUUCAAUAUGAUAUUACUAUAUUUGGUUCCUUAAACAGUGCCCCGGGACACUGUUUAGCAUUUUCCUUAAUUAUUUUAUUUGAAAUUAAAAUAAAUUAUAAAGGGUUAUAGUUAAAAUAAUAAGAGUAAAAGUCGAAGAAAUAACAAAAAGUUAUAAGCUCAAAUGUUAAUUGAAAUAACAUCUGAAAAAUAAGCUAUAAACUAGUAAAAUAAGUUAUAAGCUCGUAGUAAAAAAACGUUAUUAAACAAAUCUUUUACUCUCUCCAAUCCAAAAUGUAAGUCACUUUGAUAAAAAUAAUUAUACCAAAUUAUAAGUCACUUUACAUUACCGGUGAAGCAUUUAAUGCUUUUUUUUUUCCUAUUAUACCUUUAACUAUUUAUUUUACUUUCUUUUUUCAAUUCUUCUAUUUAUUUUUCUCAUACCAUUAAUGAAGGACAAUUUUGUAAACUAACUCAUAAUUUCUCUUUUUCAUACAAUAUUAAUCAUAUUUCUUAAUUUAUGUAAUAUGAUCAAAACUUGAAACGGAGAGAUAUAAGCUAAAUUAUUGUGAUCACCAAUCAGAACCUUAAUUUGAACAGAAAAAUACAGCUGCCAGGUCACAAUUAAGCCAAGGCACAAAGUUGAAGGAAAAAUUAUCCAUGGAUUAUGGUAGCAUGCAUGCGUCAUGCCAAGUCCUACACUACACGACACACAUGCCACUGGUACCAAUGGAGUUUACGUCUGAUCACACGUGUAAAGAACCAUCAGAAAAUAUGACAAAGACAUGGAAAAAAGUACAUUACAACUCCCCGGAACACAACCUCCCUUUGUUAUUCCUUUUAGUCUUACAUUAAGAUUAGGAGAGGUAGUAUUCUAUUUUUAUUGUCCUUUCCUUGAUGUUUAGAAAAAAUAUUAAUGUCUUUAAAAUUUAAAAGAGGUCUAAAGAUAAAAUGAAUCUCAAAAGGGUCUAUAUUUCGGGUAUUAUUUAUUUAAUGGUUUUGUUAACCAGUGUCUUGCACUUUUUAAGGUUUUUAAUUAAAGAAAUUAUUUAUUUAUUUACUGACAAAAAAAUAUUAAUUUAAAUUAAUAGAAUACAUCAAAUACAAUCUCAUAUUCAAUAUCGUUAAAAAUGUAAAAGGAUCAAUCUGUGACAAACUCACAACAUACAAGUUAAUAGCAUACAACGACCAGUUGCCUACUACAAAUAAUAUGAUAAAAUUAAAGUGACCAGAAUAUUCAUGCUUCCGGAUCUGCAUCGUUGAUGCCAAAAUCGUUGAUAUAUGAAUCUGCAAAUAUGCAACUGAUCUUUCAACAAGAAUAAGCGAACACCACAACUAUACGAGAGGGAAACUAUUUAUUUAAAAAGUUAAACAUUUCAAUUUUUAAUGCAUUGAUUUUACACAUAAAAUUUAUUACUUCGUCAUGUUACUAUUAUAAGCAAAAAUUUAUUUUUUAGAUUCAUUAAAAAAUUAAUAUAUUUAGUCUACAAUAUAUGUCAAUUAAUACAUUUGUUUUUCAAUGAAACUAAUGUCCUAAGGACUCCGGGGACUUUCUUUAGUAUUUUCUUUAUUUAAUUAAUUUUUUGUUUUUUGGUGCACCCUUAUUUAAUUACCAAGAAGACUACUAGAGAGAAAAAUGUGAAAAGCCUUGAGCNNNNNNNNNNNNNNNNNNNNNNNNNNNNNNNNNNNNNNNGCUUAUUUCUCUUGAUCUCUUUUUCUUUUCUUUCUUUCUGCCUUAGACAUACUCACAUCAAAAUCACCUUCUCUUGUCAUGGCUUUUCUGGCCUAUGCUCUGCUUUUCCUCUCCCUCACUGCUCAUUCAAGUAAGCACCAAGAACUACUCCUAUAUGUUUGUCUAUCUUUCAAGUUUCAACAUUUUUAAUUAUUUAUUUUUAUUUAAGAAAACUAUGAAAAUUUUCAACAUUUAUAUAUUUUUCCUAAUUCCUGAUUUGGGUUCCUUUGAUUAUUUACAAAAACUAUUUCCUUUAAUUCUGGGUUUUCUGUAUGAAUAAUUUUAGAAAAAUAUCAAUUCAAUCCACUGGUUGGUUCUGUUUUUUUUUUCUUUUCUAUAUGAACUAGUUCUGUUAACACAACUAUUUUUUGCCCCUUUUUUAUUGAAACGGAAAAAAAUGGUUAUGCACUUAUUAGUCCCUCCUGGCAAUAUUAUAAGCAAAAAUAUAGCACAAUUGACAGAAAUGUCAAAAUUGUUAGUGUCGGACGCCAUGACGGNNNNNNNNNNNNNNNNNNNNNNNNNNNNNNNNNNNNNNNNNNNNNNNNNNNNNNNNNNNNNNNNNNNNNNNNNNNNNNNNNNNNNNNNNNNNUGUUUUUUUUUUUUUUUGCUGACCAGAGGGAGUAUUGUUCUAUGAAAAAGGUGGAAUUUUGGUGUGUAAUUAACCAUGUUUUAUUUUCACAGGUGCUUUUUACUGUGUUUGCAAAGAUGGUGUGGCUAUUAAACUUCUUCAGGAGGCAAUUGAUUAUGCUUGUGGAACUGGAGCUGAUUGUACCCCUAUUCUUCAAAAUGGACCUUGUUUCCAACCCAACACUGUAAAAGAUCACUGUAACUAUGCUGUUAACAGUUAUUACCAAAGAAAGGGUAAUGUUCAAGGUAGUUGUGAUUUUGCUGGUGCUGCAACAACUUCUCAAACACCACCUAGUAAGUAUUUCCGUAUAACCACUACAUAUUUUUCGUACAUUUUUGUGGGAUUUUAUUUUUAUUGAUUCUCUUAUCUUCCUUGUGUUUCUUUUUCUACAGCUGCAGUUUCUGGAUGUGUUUACCCUUCAAGUCCUGGGUAUGUUUCAUUAUACGUAUGAUUCUUGUUCUGUUUUUUAUUUUAUUUUAAUGUUGUUUUGUUUAUUUAUAAAUCAAAAUAAUUGAGUAAGUUUUUUGCAAUUAAGUUUGAGUUUUGUGAGUGUGACGUGAGAAUUUUGUGGAAAAGUCCCAUUUCUUAUAAGCAUUUUAUGGUUAGCACUUACCUAUUGGAUGUUUUCAUUUUCCAAAGCAGUUUUUCUUGAAGUAGUGUUUUUCUUUUUGUUUGCCAAGUAAAGAAGAAGAGACACACAAAAUGAGUGGGGUCCACAUCCUUUUCAUUUCUCCCUUAUUAUUAAUUAUUAUUAUUAUUCCCUACCGUGCUUACUUUUUAAAUUCAUAGAAUGUUGAAUGUAUCUGGUCUAUAUUAUUGAUUAGAUACAUCCAAUAUUCUAUGAAUCUAAAAAGUAAACUUCGUCUUAUAAUAAGGACCGGAGGGAGUAUUAUGAGAAGAAAGGUAAAUAAUCUGUUUUUUUUUUAAUUUUGAAUUGUCCAUAAUGCCCUCAUUAAUUAUGUAAAAUGUGAAACAUUUGUGUUUCACUGCCCUUCCAUUUUACUUGCACAUUAGUCAAAAGCCCCUUUUCUAUUGAAAUACUCCGUCGGAUCUUUACUCCUAUAACAAAAAAAAAAAUGUUUUUUAGAUUCAUUGGACGGUUAAUAUGCUCCCUCCCGUCACUGCAAAUUUAAUAUUUUUGAUAAAUUGAGAAAGUGAUGUAUCUUAUGGAUAAUAUGGACUAUAUACAUCACUUUUCUAAUGAAUCAAAAUAGUAAAAUUUGGUUAUAAUAGUAACCAAAAAGUAUCUUGUGUCGAGCGAGUAAGACUUGACAUGAUUUCGAUAUUUCCAAGUCACAGAUUUUGAUAUUUCCAAUAUCUUUGUUGUGAUUUGGAUUGCUGUCUCACACACUUUGACGUUUGACACAGUUGGCAUAUUGGUAACUGCAAGUUUGAGAUUUGUCCGCAUUUCAAGUUUGGUAUUUCAUUUUUUUAAAAAAAUAAAUUAAAACCUACAUUGAAAUCUUAGCGGUAUGAUUUUGAUUCGACAACCACCUAUGUGCUUAUGUGAGAUUACUAACUCAAAUUUGUAUAACAAUGAAAUAUGUUAAUUUUGCAUCUUAUAUCACUUCAAGUUCAAUGUUGAUAUUUUUUUAUCCUGGCUCUCUUUUGCAGCAAUGCAGGAACACCAUCGACAGGUUCACCCGGUUCAACUCCAAGUCCGGGAACCGGUACUGGCACUGGCACGGGAGGAACUGCGGGUAGCCCUACUGUGUUUGGAAUAAGUCCAACAUCUACAAUUAGUGGCAACGGUGAUCCUUCUGCAGCUGUAGUGUCUUAUAUGAAAAGCAUCAACACCUUGCUAUUGUCCUUUGUUUGUUACCUUGUGUUUUAGCCUUCAAGGUCUAAACUAAAGGUGCAAUGCUUUACUAUUAGUACUAGUGAGUUAGAAAAUUUUAGGGGGUUUUAUGUGUGGAUGAGAUUUUGCACAAAAACAUGAUGGUUAUUAUGUGAUUUUACUUAUAUGAAUCAUCUACUUGCAAACCCAAUUUUGUUUUGUUCCUCCUAAGUAGAAAAUUUUUUUUGUAGGGAAUUUGGUUUUUUAUUUAGUGGUGACAUAUUUUGAUUAUGACAACAUGGAGGGUAGAAGUAGUAGCCUUUUUCCAUUUGUAUAUCUAAGAAUAUGACCUGCACUAUUUUUUAAUUAAUUUAAUGGAAGCCAGCUACCCUAUUUAUUAUCUAGUUUACAUUAAGGUUCAAUUUCAUGCUAGCCGGCUUCUUCCUUGAUUUGCCUUUGACAUUCCUUGCAGAUUCAAAGAAGAUGAUGUAAUCUCAAAGUAAUUUAAAAUGUUGUAACGUUUUAUAAUAAUUUUAUAUAUAAAGGUAGGUCAUGCCGACACUAGUUAGCAAUUUCGAUAAAAGUAUAUGAAUCGACAAGUUAAAUUCUCGGAACUCACGAAAUCUUCCAAUGAGAUUUUCAUAUUGUAAAUGAUAUUCAAACUCAGUCCAUCAUGUAAUUUGAGUUGAAUAUUUUGCUUACACAACUAACUUACUUACCUACGUUUUACUUUAAGGGGUUUUUUCUUAUAAGAAAAAACGUUACGAUUGAAUCAAACUCAAAUAGAGUCGGUCCAACAUUAAAUUAGACAUAAAGCAAAUUUUAAGGUGAGGUUUUUGCAUAAAAAAAUAAUAUUUUAUUAAAAUCAUAGAAUUUUGAGAUCCGAUACCACCGCACCCCAUGUGCAUGCAUAAUGAAUUUGAGGGUAUGUGUUAGAUAAUAAAGUAUUGAGUUAUGUUGAUCUGUUAGUUUAGAGUUCAUUUUAUAUAUAUUUUUUAGUAAUCUUUUAUAUUGUUAAGCUAUUAGUAUUCUAUGAAACCUUAACCUCCUUUGUUAUUCUCUUCGUUUAUAUUUCGGGCUGAUUCUAACACUCUGCUUUUUGUAACAUUAUGAAAAGUAUAUAGGUUGUUCAAAGGUCACUAUAUCAACAAUACAAGAUGUGAAUUUCUACCAUCUCUUUCCGUUUUUGCAUUUCUUUCAUGCCGUAGAAGGAUUUUUUCUCUUGGACACAAUUGCUCCUAAAAGUCAAUUACGACUAAGAAUAAUUUUGUUUUACAUCUUGACACGCUUAGCAUACAAAUCUUAAAUAAAUACUCCCUCCGUCCCAUAUUAUAAGCAAAAAAAAUCAUUUUUUCAUGUCCCAAAUUAUAAGCAAAAAAAACUAACUUUUAUCAUUUUCAAGAUAAACUUUUACUUAAUUUACUCUCUCUCUUCUUUUCCCCAUAAUCAAUAACCAAUAAAAACUGUUUUAACAUCUUCCCAUGAAAUUUAUUUCAACAAACACACAAAAAGUCAACCUUAAAAUUAUCAUAUUUUACUUUUCUUAAUAAGUGUGAAAAUAUUUUUUUUACCUAUAUUAUGGGACGGAGGGAGUACUACUUACAACGUAGUUAAUAAAAGUGCAUGCCGGCAUUUUUUGUAAUUUAGAACACAAUCAAACUAGGGAAAGAUGUUUUAAUCUGAAUAAGAAAUGGUGAGGACAAAUGUGUUUUGACUUUUGAAACUAUUUGUUCACGAUUAGUUAGUGUCUUGCAUCGGAUGAAUGUAGUAAUGUAGUUAGACAAGAACGGUCCAUUCAAUUAAGAUUGAACCGAACUGUAUAAUUGUUUUAUAUUUGGACUCUCUGAUGAUGGUCAGAUAUUCCUUAACUGCAUGCAAUUUUGAAUGCAUCCAAUCUAAAUCCCUUGUAUCGAUGUAUCAUAAUUAAAAUCAAGGCUUAAAUGUAAUUUUGAUCCCCUAUAUUUAGUAAAAUGCGAAAUUUUGGUCCCCAUUUUGUUUUGUGCAAUGUUGGUCCCUUAAUUUCUUUUUCCGCAAUUUUGGUACCUACUAUUUUAAAAAAAUUCAGACAUUUGGUCCCCUAACACACUCACAAGUGCAUGAGUAUAUCAUCGUAAUAAAAAGAGUAUAGAAUCCACAUGGACUAAUGAGCAACAUGGUAUAACUUUCAAAUCAAGGAAACAUAUAGUGAUUUUUAUAAAAACAAUAGUGAUUGAGAUUGAUUGGUUUUGAGAGUUGUAUUUAAAGGCAUUAUGCCUCACUUUGAAAAACAAUCAAUGAAUGAACAAUUAUCUCCUUGCAUAAUCUUUCUUAAUUGUAUCGGAUUCUAUUCUUUUUUUUAGGUCAAGUAGCCUAAUAACUAGAAAAUUCACCUUAAAGGUAAAUAAGUAGAGUGUCUCGGGUUCAAAUCCGGGUUCCUGCACAUAUAGUGCGAUAUCCCUACCAACUGAGCUAUGCUCAAGAGGACGUAUCGAAUUCUAUUCUAAAUCCUUAGAAUCCCUACUCUUGAGAAUUAGAUUUUUCGGUUUGUCCUAAAAUCCAUUUACCCGUUACACUUGCAGUUUUGUCCACUAUUAAACUUUUGUACACCCAUUUACCCCUAUAAUAACACUCGACCAACUUGCAAGCUUUACAAGAUCUUUUAUAGCAAGAGUGGUCAUUUCUCUGUAUAUAGCUCUUGAAUGUAGCCUGCUUUCAAUUUUGUUAGACUAGGUUCCAUCAUAUGAGUAAUAACAACGAAUUUUUUAUAAGCAAUAAUAACUAUGCAUUUCCUAUAAGCAAAUAUAUCCUUUUUACUUGUUAGUUUAGCUUAUUGCUUAGCAUCAAGAUUUAAAACUACGGUAGUUGCAGAUGUCACAAUCUUUGAAAUUGCACAGAAUCAAUAAUACUGUUGCGUUAACUACAAUUCGAAGUACAUUGCUUAGCAACGAAUUUUUUAUAAGCAAUAAUAACUAUGCAUUUAGCUAUAUGUAAACCAUUCAUUACUUCAAUUUAACACUUUACUUCAAAUAUAUAAAAACAGUAGAAAGAAAAGCUUCGGUAAUCAUAAGAGAGAAAUAAAGAGCGACACAUCAAACUUUAUAGCAUUUGUUGGAUAUAAGAUGAACACAGUAACUAUGAAGUCCGGUUCAAAGUGAGCUGCAAGAUAAGCUGAAAAAUGCUCUCUUUGCAGCCGGGCUAUUAGAUGCCUCACUACAGCGUCCAGGGUCAGCAUGCUAUUUCAGUGCUGUAAAUAAAAAUAAAAAUAAAAUAAAUAUCAUGAACAGAAAUGUUUGCACAUAGUUUUGUUGCAAAUAAUGCGAAACAUUGCAUAAAUAUAGAGAAUUGGUGGUAGUUUUAGUCAGAGAUGGUUUUGUCUCGAGAUAUAGUACAAUUGUAUAUACAAAGUUAGUGCCAAAUUUGUCGACCUAGAAAAUCAUAUAAUUAAAAGGUAUUAAUUGAAACAUUGACUGAUUGAACAUCCAACCAACCUAACUUAGGCCUCUUUCAAUUGAGUAAAUUGUUGAGCUAGACAAUCAUGAUCCCCGUUUUACCAAAAACAAAAACAUAAAUACAAGGUAUUGAUUGAAACAUUGACAGAUGAAUUACCCAACAUGCUUACUUUAUAGUCACUUUAACUAAUCUGUGUUACUGAUUGCAUUUGCUUCUGUUCUAACAAAUUUAGUACUGAAGCUCUGUACCGAGAAAAUAGUACCGAAGCUAAUUAUGAAUCAUACACAUACCUCUGGUUCAACAGGUUUGGCUUCUUCUGUUUUGACUUCUUCACCUGCAUGAGAACAUUCAUUAUUUGAGCACAGUGAUAUAGAGUUGCUUAACACAACUAUCAUGCAACAUCAACUAUGAAGAGCAUAUUUUUACUUCAAUAGCACAAUCAUUUAGGACUCGAAUAUGAACCACAUAUGCUACUCCACAUCCUUAUAAUUUUUAUUUAUUUUUAUAUUUUUUUGAAGUUAAUCAACAAUAAAGAAUCAUUCUUUAUAUUAUUGGACAUUCCUUACGUCAAAGUUAUUCAUCUAUGUUUAUAAACAUCAAUAAUGGAUCAAACUUCAGUUUUCAUCUAUGUAUGUUACAAAAGUCUUACUUGACUAUUUGAAAAGGUAAGUUACAUCUUCAAUUUAUCAAGAUAACAUCCAAAUAACAUUAUAAUGACCGUUUCAAUAGUAAAAUUCAUCAAGUAUUUUUGAAUUUUUUUUAACUAAGAUUGUGAUCUCGGUGUUGUCAAUGAGGGUCUAAUUGAAGUGUUGAGUGGUGAAACAUUAUUUGUAGUAUAUCAUCAAAUGGUCAUGCAUAAAAAUUUCUAACAGAACUGAACUAAUUGGUUCAACGGUGUAAAGAUUUUUAAAGAUAAAUGACCAACUUGAAAUUUUAAAUUAGGUUAAAGCACCUCUUGUGUAAUUUUGCCAAUAAAGUAAAGAGGAGUUCUUAGCUUUAACUCUUUAAGAACUCAAGAAAUCACUUCAUUUGGAGAUGCUCUAAAUAACAAGAAACUUGGUUGUGCAAUUGAUUGGUCAUGAAAUUUUUAGAUAUAAUCUUUAAAAUUUAUAUCUUUUGUUAUACAUAUUUAUUAUAUAAUAUAAGUAUGAAGGAAAAUAAAAUCUCACUAUAUUAGUAAUCAUUGAAUAUUAAAGAAAAGGUUGAUGUUUGAGAGGGAAAAAAAUUUGCAAAUAAAAAGACUAAGAACUAAAGCAAAAAAUUGAAAAUAAGAAAAAUCAGAGUGAAAAGAUAAUUGCAUUUAAUGUUAUACUGUCAUGCUUAGUUAAUUUAAAAGUUGAUAUAUAGAAUAAUAUAAUAUGAUGAAUAUAUUACAAUACAUUUUAGUAUUAUAAUGUAGUGUAGUGUGUAUGAUGUAAUUUAUUUAAAAGUGGGAAUAGUUAUUGUUUGGAUUAUAAGCUGUUCUGUUUCAUAUAAGUAUAUAGACAUGGACUAAUAUGUCUCAAAAGAAUGUUAGCGGGGCAUAGCCCAAAUGCAUAAUAAAUCUCAAUCAUCAUCUUACCUCCAUCCUCAGGUAAAUCGGAGGUCCAAAGUGUAAGGUUGUCUCUCAACAAUUGCAUGAUCAAAGUACUGUCCUUGUAUGACUCUUCACUCAAGGUAUCUAAAUCCGCAAUUGCCUCAUCGAAAGCUUGUUUAGCCAAAUGACAGGCCCUGUAUGUUUCAGUAAUGACAUUUAAAUGAGAGUUAGCAAUAAGAGCAAUUCACUGAACCUAUGCAGAUCAUAUAAUAGUGUUAGAACUUAGAAGCACAGAUGUGUGAUGUUUUUUGAAUUAAAUCUAGAUAUAUUCCUUGUUGAAAACAAUUCUAUUCGAGGCCUACAUAAUAACGAGAGUAUGAUAGCUCUCAAGAAAUUUGUUUGGCACAAAAGAUCAAAAAAGGGAUCUCUCAGUAAGCAGUAUCCUUGAACAUAUUCCCACCACUUGUAGAGCUAGCAUACUACAACUAGGCCAAUCCCAUUGGAUUAUUUGUGUGUGAUAGGAUGUGAGAAAAUUGUACUCCUAUAUUUUAUAACAGAUGAUUGUUAAUUAACUUGGUUGGAUGGACCAAUACCUAAUGAGUAAUAAACUAAUAAUGUUCAAUAAACUAUAAACCUAAUGAGUAAGAGAUGAUUUUUUAAUGGCCCGAACUAAACAUAUGAACUUCACACUUUUAAUCGUGCAUAGUAAUUAGUAAGAUGGUAGCUACAUGGUCACCCUGUCCUCUAUUAAAAAACCCGUUUGGUCUGAAAGUUUACUUUUGGACAUCAUGAAAUUUACUUCCAGACGGAACAAAAUCAGUAACUUGCUAAACACACUACCAAACUCAAUCUAUGCCAUUAAAGAGUAUAAGUAACUUGCCUUUCAGGAGAGUUCAGUAUCUCAUAGUAGAAAACAGAGAAGUUGAGUGCAAGUCCAAGACGGAUUGGAUGUGUUGAUGGAAGAUCCGUGCUUGCAGAUGCGGAAGCAGCCUAACAAUCAUAGAAAUAUUUUGUACAUUAAAACAAGGCACCAUAAAUAGAGAUUAACACAAAACAUUCAGUGGUGAAAUGAGGGAGAUAUCAGACAAUAUACCAACCUCAUAUGCCUUCAGUGACUGCUCAGCUGCCUCCUUCCUAUCUUGUUCGCUCUUAAACUCAGCAAGAUAUCGAUAAUAGUCACCUUUCCUGCAGGAUGAAACAAGCUUAUGGAAAUCAAAUAGAGAACCAAAGCAUGAAAAAGCUAGCAAGAACAAAGAGACGUCAUGUUAUAUGAGACGAAAUAUUAUUUGCAAAACCAGAACCAAUAAGCAGAAUAUUCUGUUACCUUUUAUUUCUCAGCAAGUAAUAUAUUGAGAUACAAAAAUAAAUUCAAGAUACAAUGUUCCCUUUUAUCUCAGAUGUUAUACUUAAUAUUAAUAUGUGCUACACUUAUGAAUGAAUUCAUAUCAAACGAUUCAUAUUAUUGCUUUAACAAUUGGGAUUUAAAAUACAAACUUAAUUAAAUAUGAGUCGUGUGAUCUUUCAUCCAAUGAACAAAAUCAAAUAUAGUGAUCACAAAAUAUUUUGACCGUGCCUGUGAACUUUUUACUGCAUUAAAAUCGAUUUGCAAUUUUAUUCCAUUUGGAAACAGAUUCUCAAAAGCAGAUGAUUAUUAAAUUAACCAAGAAAACGGCACAGGUAAAACAACAUGACUCACAUCUUAUAGUAGAAAACAGUAGCUUCUCCUGUGGUGGAAGAAGGAAUGAGAUGUUGGUCAAUAAUUGUGAGAAUGUCGCUGCAAAUUUUGGACAGUUCCUCCUCAACCUUUUGGCAAUAACUCUUGAUCAGUUUCACAUUGUUCUCAUUUCCCUUACCCUCUUCUUUCUGUUCAAUUGAAGACAUAAUUCUCCAAGAAGCUCUCCGUGCACCAAUGACAUUUUUAUAUCCCACUGAGAGGAGAUUCCUCUCUUCCACAGUUAGUUCAACAUCAAGUUUCGCUACGGUCUUCAUGCACUCAACCAUUUCUGCAUCAUAUAUACAUAUAUAAGUAUGUGUUUUCAACAUCAAUAUAUCACAUCAUUCAUUAAUUGUUUACAAUUUGUAUGUUAACACCACAAAAUUACACCCUACAUAACAACUAUCAGUCUAACCAUGCAAGAUGGUAGACAUUCAACAAUAGUUAUAUAACAUUUUGAUAAAAUUAAUUUAAAGGUGACACAAAUUGAUUUUGUAAAAUGGAUUCUGACUAAAAGCGAGUUGAAUGUAAAAUGAUUUAUGUUUGUCCCAUAAGUCCUAGCUCAAGUAGCAAAAAUGCCGAAAUUGAUAGGCCGGACGUCGUGACCCGGGUUCGAACCCCAGAUCUCACAAGUCACAAUUAUAUGUGAGUUUAAUUUAAGUGGAUUACCACUUGAUCUAAGACCAAAAAAAAAAUGAUUUAUGUUUGGAUAUAUUCCCGUAAACAUGGAUGGAACAUUAAAUUCAAGGCUAAAAUCAAUUAUAGAUUCAAGUUAGAAUUAAUUUCGAACAUCCAAUCAUACCAAAAGUGAAACCAAUCAAAAUGCUUUAUGAUCCCAUGCAAGUAGAAUCAAGUAUUUAUUAUCAACAAAAUUUCUAAUUCUGUCAAAAACAAUUGUAUUGUAUCCAAUGUAGAAUAGUAAUUGAUUUGAAAAACUCCAAAUAACAACCAAACGUACAUUGAAAUUAACAUUAUGUAUAUAAAAUCAAUUAGAUAAAGUUAACAUUAAUUAAUCUACACAUGAUUUAAGGCACAAUUAAAGGAACCAGGAAAUGAAUGAAGAAAACUGAAACCUUCAUAUCUCUCUGCUUGCUCAGCAAGCUUGGCCAUGUAAACCUGAGUCUCUCUCUCUUUCUCCGUCGACAUUGUUGUGUAAGAGGGGAAAAACCAAGUUUGUGAUUGUGUGAUGUGUUUGUGGAGAAGAAGAAUGCAAGCGAGCGAGGAAGAAGGGAAUGUACGAAAGGGUAGUUAUAUAGGUGGAGCAACUUGUGGAAGACUAGAUCUCAACCGUUGGAUUUAUGUCAGAUUUUCCUGGCUUGUAAUUCAUGUCAGAUUUUGAAUUUGAAUGAUGAAGAAAGCGCACAUGAGAAAAAAAAAAUUAAAUGAAAAAAAUUAAAUGAUGUGAGAAUAUUAUUAUUAUUUUAUUUAUGGCUUAUAUAUACAUUUGGUCCCUUACGUUUAUUUUAGGUUUCAAUUUAGUCCCUUACGUUUAAAAAGUAUCAAUUUGGUCCCUUACGUUUAUUUUAGGUUUCAAGUUGGUCCUUUCCNNNNNNNNNNNNNNNNNNNNNNNNNNNNNNNNNNNNNNNNNNNACUUGGACACGCUGACACGUGUACUGUUCAAACGGUGUUAGUGACAAAACUAACGAAAAGGACUAACUUGAAACUUAAAAUAAACGUAAGGGACCAAAUUGAUACUUUUUAAACGUAAGAGACCAAAUUGAAACCUAAAAUAAACGUAAGGGACCAAAUAUGUAGUUAAACCUUUAUUUAUUUAUGAGCUUGUGCCGUGUCUAAAUACUUUUUUCUUGGAUUUGUGUUUAACUAUAUCCUCUCCAUUUCUAAUUUUUUUUCAUUACCUCCAUUAUUAUAUAGCUUUGGGAAUAUAAAUGCAAAAGUGUGAUAUUAAGUAGGUCCAGAUAUCUUUUAUACACCCUAAAACAUUUAAAAACUUUGGUAAUAGAAAAAAUAGAAAUAAUAGAAAAUGGAGAGAAUCUCAACUCCUAAGUAAUUAGGAUCCUCUCUAUAUUCUAAAAUGGAGAGGAUCUCAACUCCUAACUAAGUAUUUCUCAAUAUAUUUUUGAAUGAGACUCAUCCAUUUUACUCAUGUCCAUCCGUUGUAGUCAUUCACAAUGACUAGUUCAUACUUCUUACCAUUCAUUUACAUAGGAUGUUUUAACAGGACCAAACAAAUCAAUGUGUAAAAGUUUCAGACGCCUAGAGGUAGAAACAACAUUCUUUGAUUUGAAAGAGGUUUUUAAAAAUUUGCUUUUGUGACAUGCCUCACACAGAGCAUCUGGAAGCAAAUUUCAAAUUAGGAUGACCUCCGACUAAAUUGAGUUGAUUAAGCCUUGAGAUUCUUCUCAUACUAAUAUUGUUCAAUCCUUCUGACUAACGGCUUUACAUGACUCUUGAUUAAAUAUAAUGUCAUAACCAUUGUCAUUUAAUUGUCUUAUUGCCCGAUGAUUAUGCAUUAGAGCUUCAACUAAUAAAACAUUUUUAACUGAUUGUGCUAGCAAUUCUUAAUACAACGACUCUUAUUCUGUCCUAUAUAUAUAUAUAUAUAUAUAUAUGGGACUAUAAGCAUUUGAAGAAAUAAGUUUUGAACUCACAACUACUGAUAUACUCUUUGAAGGUAAAGCACAAAAACCCUUAGAAUAUUCUUACAAACUAUGUAUCUUAAAAUAUCANNNNNNNNNNNNNNNNNNNNNNNNNNNNNNNNNNNNNNNNNNNNNNNNNNNNNNNNNNNNNNNNNNNNNNNNNNNNNNNNNNNNNNNNNNNNNNNNNNNNNNNNNNNNNNNNNNNNNNNNNNNNNNNNNNNNNNNNNNNNNNNNNNNNNNNNNNNNNNNNNNNNNNNNNNNNNNNNNNNNNNNNNNNNNNNNNNNNNNNNNNNNNNNNNNNNNNNNNNNNNNNNNNNNNNNNNNNNNNNNNNNNNNNNNNNNNNNNNNNNNNNNNNNNNNNNNNNNNNNNNNNNNNNNNNNNNNNNNNNNNNNNNNNNNNNNNNNNNNNNNNNNNNNNNNNNNNNNNNNNNNNNNNNNNNNNNNNNNNNNNNNNNNNNNNNNNNNNNNNNNNNNNNNNNNNNNNNNNNNNNNNNNNNNNNNNNNNNNNNNNNNNNNNNNNNNNNNNNNNNNNNNNNNNNNNNNNNNNNNNNNNNNNNNNNNNNNNNNNNNNNNNNNNNNNNNNNNNNNNNNNNNNNNNNNNNNNNNNNNNNNNNNNNNNNNNNNNNNNNNNNNNNNNNNNNNNNNNNNNNNNNNNNNNNNNNNNNNNNNNNNNNNNNNNNNNNNNNNNNNNNNNNNNNNNNNNNNNNNNNNNNNNNNNNNNNNNNNNNNNNNNNNNNNNNNNNNNNNNNNNNNNNNNNNNNNNNNNNNNNNNNNNNNNNNNNNNNNNNNNNNNNNNNNNNNNNNNNNNNNNNNNNNNNNNNNNNNNNNNNNNNNNNNNNNNNNNNNNNNNNNNNNNNNNNNNNNNNNNNNNNNNNNNNNNNNNNNNNNNNNNNNNNNNNNNNNNNNNNNNNNNNNNNNNNNNNNNNNNNNNNNNNNNNNNNNNNNNNNNNNNNNNNNNNNNNNNNNNNNNNNNNNNNNNNNNNNNNNNNNNNNNNNNNNNNNNNNNNNNNNNNNNNNNNNNNNNNNNNNNNNNNNNNNNNNNNNNNNNNNNNNNNNNNNNNNNNNNNNNNNNNNNNNNNNNNNNNNNNNNNNNNNNNNNNNNNNNNNNNNNNNNNNNNNNNNNNNNNNNNNNNNNNNNNNNNNNNNNNNNNNNNNNNNNNNNNNNNNNNNNNNNNNNNNNNNNNNNNNNNNNNNNNNNNNNNNNNNNNNNNNNNNNNNNNNNNNNNNNNNNNNNNNNNNNNNNNNNNNNNNNNNNNNNNNNNNNNNNNNNNNNNNNNNNNNNNNNNNNNNNNNNNNNNNNNNNNNNNNNNNNNNNNNNNNNNNNNNNNNNNNNNNNNNNNNNNNNNNNNNNNNNNNNNUUGUCUUAUGAACCGAUGAUUAUGCAUUAGAGCUUCAACUAAUAAAACAUUUUUAACUGGUUGUGCUAGCAAUCAACGACUCUUAUUCUGUAUAUAUAUAUAUAUAUAUAUAUAUAUAUAUAGNNNNNNNNNNNNNNNNNNNNNNNNNNNNNNNNNNNNNNNNNNNNNNNNNNNNNNNNNNNNNNNNNNNNNNNNNNNNNNNNNNNNNNNNNNNNNNNNNNNNNNNAAGGCUAAUAAUAGUUUCUUAUAUUAACUCAUGUGUGUAUCUAUUUAGGAGAUUCAUUAUUUUUAGAUUGCAUAAAAAUUUGAUUUGUUGUUCUACAAAAAAAAAAAAAUUGUUCAAAUAAAAUAAUAAUAAUAAUAUUUUGUUGCUCUAGAAAACAAAUUGAUUUAUUGUUAUUCAAUCACCCCAAACAUUACUAUUCCCCUUUACGUUUUCAUUCUCAUGGUGUAUGAAUUGAGUUUAUGAAUCUAUUGGACAUAUAAGUUAUAAAUCAUUGAAAGCAAAUACAUAUAUGAAUCAUCAAUCAUGGUAUAUAUGGGUAUAAAAAUUCAAUUUUAUCGGUUUUAGUAUAGAAAACAAUUUUAAUUAAAUUGAGUUUGGUAGUAGGUUGUUUAUGUGCAUAGUUUGCAAUUGACAUUGACAGUUAAGCAAAGGAGAAUGAAAACGCAAGGAGAAUAGUAAUGAUGGGGAUAACAACAAUUUAUUUUUGUAGAACAGCAAAUCAAUUUUUUUUUGUAGAAAAAAAAAUUAUUUUUUUUUUGGUAGAACGCUUAUCAAAUUUUUUUUGGUAAAAUAACAAAUCAAAUUUUUAUGCAACCUAAAAAUAAGGAAUCUCCUAAAUAGAUACACACAUGAGUUAAUAUAGGAAACUAUUAUUAGCCUUUGAUUAAAAGAAAUAGACGGUUGAGAUUNNNNNNNNNNNNNNNNNNNNNNNNNNNNNNNNAUAUAUAUGGGACUAUAAGCAUUUGAAGAAAUAAGUUUUGAACUCACAACUACUGAUAUACUUUUUGAAGGUAAAGCACAAAAACCCUUAGAAUAUUCUUACAAACUAUGUAUCUUAAAAUAUCAUAAGACUUAAAAAUUCUGAGCUUAAUUUAGUUUAGGGUCUUGCUAACUAGUGCCCCCGGGGCACUCUUUAAGCAUUCCAUUAAAAGAAACUUUUUAUUCAAAAAAUUAAACACUCCAAUUUCCAAUGCGUUGACUUUAUGCAUUUCCAUAAAAAUUCUAUAAAAAACUUAUUAUUUAAGGGCUUAAAAAGUGCCUCAAAGGCACUAUUUAGCAUUUGCCUUUAGUUAUCACUCUUUAAGUCUUAUGUGAUUAUAAUUUAUAAUGAAUAAACUUUCUUAUGUGAGGAGACCGGACUAUCCCUAAGAUUAAGGAAUUAACUAGUAUAAAAACUUUCUAUCAUUUUCUAUCCUUUUUAUACUUGAUCAUUCUUGCAAACUAUUCUUGACUUAAAAAGUGUUUCAGACAAAGAAAACACAAUUUAAAGUUUUGAACCCUUUUUUAUUUUUGUAUUUUUUUCAAAAAUUUUGCAGAUUUUUUUUAUUUUUAUAGCAUCCAACGUUUAAGUAGAAAAAUAACAAAUUGAAAAACUAACAAAACACACGAGAAGCAUUAAAAAAACGUGAGCCGUUAUUAAAACAUUAUAAAGUUGAUGAUUCCCACCAAGAAUUUGAUCGCCGAGUGUGCCGUCAAAAGAAAUUCUCUCGAUUUCCAAAGGCAGAGGAAGAUAAAAUAAGGAGAUACAUGUCGGUUAGAACAGUCCAAUAAGGCAUAAGCAAUAACCAGCCGGCCAUAAGACGGACGACAUAGAGGAAUGAUACCACAUCUGGUGACCUGGAUUUGGAGAAUAAUACUAUAUAUAUAUAUAUAUAUAUAUAUUAAAUUAAAUUUUUACAAUCUGUUUUGACCAACAACAAAAAAAAAUUACAAUCUGGAAUCACGUUAAACCAAACAUAUAUUAUCAGAACUGCAUAAAUUCUUACUAUAAUUUGGAUCACAAUUAUACAUAAAUCCUAUACCACAUAUAUUUUAAUUUAAAGAGUAUUAGCUGUAUAGAAAUUCUCUAAGAGCAUUACUGUUGGCAAUUUUGAACGUUUUGCCUUAGAAAUUUUAAUUCGAAAACAGUUUCUUAAAUUUGAAAUUAUAUUUGUAGAAACUUUGACCCAGUGGAUCAACAAACAAAAUUCUUAUGGACUGAGUUCUCACUUCUCAAAGAAUUCUGUAAGGGAAGGUUGUGCUACUAUCUCAAUUUCAUUAAAUUUCGUGGCCAUUCACAUUCUUUCUCAAAAACUGGUGAUUGUUCAACAAAAUGCUAUAAUUCCAAUGAUCAAUAAAGAAAUAAAGAAGAAUAAAAAAUGCUAACAAGAUAUUGGAUGAAUGAAUUACUACAAACAACCUUGACAAAAAGAUAAAAAAGAACUGUAGCUAAAUUCAACAUGAACCUUCACAAUCUACAGCUUCUUCAAUCUCUUGACCAAGUUGUGGUAAAGAUUGAAGUCAAGGCUCUGAGCUCUAUAUAUACACGUGGCAAUUAAACAAUCCAUUCCCUGAAAUUGUAUAAAUAGUGACAUUAUUUCAGAUGUAUGCUAGCUAUAGCCAAAUUCAUAUCUGAAUUUCAGAGUUUCCAGGAGGACUUGAGUUAUCAUGGACCUUGCGUCUGGGAUGACUUGCACAAGUUUUUCUUAAUGAAACCAUGAUGUUUAAAUUUAAUCCAACAAAAAUGCUACUCAUUUUUACCAAAACAAUAAAAUUUACCGAGUUUAGAUAGAGAAAAGAAGAGUGUAGAGAAAUUACCAGAGCAAAAAAAUUGUGUUCAUCUGUCAUGGUGAUUAGUGAGAUAUAUUAGUGCUCAAUCAUUUUUUCAAAAAUAAUUUCUGGCAAACAAGUAGACGCUGGUCACUGCCAUUCUGAAGAUCAAUUAUCCUUGCUUCCCAACGUACUUGAGUUGCAAGCGUGCGAGCCAUCUCAAUUGUUCCCACUGUAUCAGAAAGAAUGACCCAUCCCUACAAAAAUAGUGACGUGUAUUAAGAAAAAUUAAGCUACAUAGACCUUUCCAUUACACUGAGACUGACAACUAUUUGUAUUCAAAAACACAAAUCCAAUAUUACAUUUCAUACGGAAUUCACAACAAUAAAUGAGCAUGCUUCAUUAGAGUCAACUGGCUUAUAAACAAUCAUCUGCCAAGAUGAGAUCAUCCUUUCUGGAGGUUUUGCCCAAAAAAUGGUCAGAAAGGAAGAGGGUGGAAAGUACCAGAUUACUGUUCCUUUACACUUAAAAUAACAAUGACGAAACUUUCCAGCACAAUCAUGAAAAGGAAUAUAAACACCAAGAUCAUACCUCUGGCCGUAGUAUCCUAUCCAUCUCCAAGAAUAAGUCUAUCAUGCUGCACCGUUCUGAAAUGAACUGUGACAAAAGUCCAUUUGCGUGAAGGAGAUCAUAUGUUCGUGGGUAGGUGGGGAAAGGUUCACACCUGAAGAUCAACAUCAUUAGUUAGAAAGAAAACAAUUAUCUGGAAGUUCAUAUGCAUUAACAGUAUUUUACAAAAAGCUUUGCAACAAACUCGACGAAUUUUGAUCCAACAAAUCAGGUGCAUGCUACAUUAACCUUAAAAUUUAUUCUCAAAAGGAAAACAAUUUUAAAAAAUAAACUGAAUAUUUGGUACUGAAAUUUCAGCACCAUAUAUGCAGUAUGUUAAAGGAAAUUAUCGGCAUAUUUAUGAAACUUGUAGUAUGUUUGUUAAUGGAAACUAUUUGCAUAUUUAUGAAUCUUACGAAUCUUGCAUUAAAUAUCAAAAUAUAAUUUACUAAAUAAAUAAGAAGUUUCCAGGGAAUUAUUUUGUACAUAUGGUACAUACACCACCAAACCAUUUUCAGCAAUAAAAUAAUCAUGAACAUCAUCAUAUCUUUUUUAGUAAAUUAUCUAAAACUAUUUUUAAUUUUCCAACUAGUAUAAACUACAAUUCUGUUAUUUGUCAUAAGCAUUUCCAUUGAUAGUGCACGAGAAAUACAUUUAUCAGGCUUUCGUGGUAUUGUCUGUUUAUCACCCUCAACCAAAAACAGUCUUACUCCAGUCAGUUUUUAAAUUAUAAGAAACUUUGUCUAGAUCAAACACAACUUGUCUAGAUCAUGAACAAAUAGCAACAUACCAGUCAUGCAUAACACCAGCAAAACCUCUCUCUAGUAUGAGAGGAAGUGCAUUAGAAGCCCUGGCAGGAACAACAUUCAUGACCCACACUGAUUUUUUCUCCUCCAGCAGUGCAGCAUUCAAACCCCCAUAAUUAGAACUCAUGUCCAUAACAUUGCGGAUCAUGUUAUAUGGAGGCAGUGGAUCUUCAUCUCCAGGUCUCUUUGGAUGGUCAGAGAAAAUUAACGGUGUAAGCAGGGACCAGUAAUUAUCGACAGCUGACCUCCAAAAAUGCAUGUCUUCAUAAAACUCGUCAGGCUGAACUCCUGCAAUAAUAAAGGGAAAUUAAUGAAAAGGAAAAGCAAAUCAAAACGGGAAAAAAAUUUCGCAGAAGGAAGAGGAUGUAAGCUGAAUGCUUCUAAGAAAUAAUACUUUCCAUGAAUUUCAAGCUCAGCUGAACUAAAUUCAGAAUCAAAGGAUUUGUUCUGUAUGGCAAUCCAGCGCUUGCUAGAUGUACCACUAAUACAUGGUACAAGAGGCUUGUAGUAUGAUUGAGUAUCAUCCGCUUCUUUACAUAGUUGAAUAGCAUGCUGCUUGCUAGAAUGAAGAAACAAAAGCUAAAGUUAUAUUAUCGUAGUAACUAGCAAGUGAUCAACGGAGAAAGACAAUAUCAUAACUAGCAGCAGUCUUGUUCAAAAAAUAUAUAUAUCACCUACACUAAUUCAAAUAUCCUUACCGAGAUGCAUAACAAUCAAGGUCAGCAGUCUUCUGCCAGAUGAAAGUCUCAUCUUGCUGAGCUAGGAGCGUCCAACAGAGUUGCUGAGUCAGCUCUUCCAUCGGGUUCAACGUGAUUCUCUUUUUCUCCCUUGAUGAACCUGGUAGCUUGCUUGUAGGUGAUGUUAAAACAAAAUAUCCUCCAGGUUUAAGAACACGGUCAACUUCUAUGAGGAACAUUCCAUCUGUAGGAUGAGGUCAAUAUUAGAGAUCAAAGGAUACCAUUUCAUACAGAAGCUAAACAAUACUCAGUAUGUUAUGAAAAGUCGUGGAAGGAUAGAAAAAGCAAAUGGAAAUGAUAUACAAAGAAUGGAAGAAAAACAAGAAAAUGGGACAACAUCCAAAUAUAAACGAUAUGAAAAGCCAUCCAUUUAAUUGUUGAAAAACAAAUUAAUUAAAAAAGAACACCUUUGAUUUGAUAAAUCGAAAUAUAUUUAGGUUCUAUGAGCAAGAUAUUAAUAGAUACAUAGACUACUGGGCAUAAACUAUCAAAAUCAAACCAGGAAGUGACUUAGAUUUGGACUUAAAUCAUAUACAUUCCAUUCUAGGACAUACAUACCCAAGAUAUUAAAUCAGCUUAUAAAAGAUGAAUUAACAUAAAAUACAUAGAGGCUAUGGAGAUGCUAGGAAAAGCCAAAUGGUAUGCAAUUCGAGAGUAUCUGAUAACAUGGUUCCACAGUUCCACUGUCCCAAAGCUUUGGUAAUUAGGAGGUAGCCAACAAAAGUUCAAUAUUAUUUGCAUGUCUCUUCAUGGAACCAUAAAUAAGGUGGGUGACAAGUAUGGUGCUUCUGGAUAUUUGAUUAUAGAUAUUCUUAAAAGGAUCAACAUGUCAAGUAUCGAUUAUCUCAUAAACUUGAGUUGUUGGAUGAAGGUCAAGAAUGGUUUUAUAUCUCUAACACACAGGAGGAUCACCACACAUUUGUUUCAUUUCAAGGGUUAGUUAUACCUCAAUCACUGAUUUGACAAGUAGCCUAAUCAUGCUAAUUUUGGUUUCACAGUCUAUAACACCAAUUAUUGCACGCCCAACUCAGUUUUCUCUCUUAUUUGUUAACGAAAUACAACUUUCGACAAAAACUGUGACUUGAAUUUAAAAUAUAUGACAUAUGAAUCUCUACCUAAGAGAUUAUAUUGAUAAAGAAGUUUGAACUUUAUGAAGUCUAUAAGGAAAUCCAUUAAGCUAAGAAUAAAAAAGUAAUGCUCAUAGCUAUAAAAUUACCCUUUUCAUCCCAAAUGAUGCCACAUUGAGCACAGUGAAUCAUGUCAUAUGAUAAUGAUGGAUAUGGAAGCUGUCUUGCAAUGAAGUUGCCAAUCAUAGCAGGAAGACCUCUCUCAAGAGCCAAUUGAACUUGGCUGCCAGUUGCCUCAUAUGCCGCAACACAAACCGCCAUUAUUUUAAGUGACAACAAAUGAGCUCCAAAGCUACCAAAUCCACAAUUAAUGUCCAGUAUAGUUCGAACCUGUUAUAUUAUGAGCAAAAUAGAUCAGUAACAUAUAUUAUGCAACAAAAGACCAGACCUUAGUGAAAAUCAAGAAGAGAUAUAUGGGAAGCUGAAUAGCAUAAUCUUCCUUACUGUACCAUGCACGAACUUUGUCCCUGUAAAACACUACACGGUUCCCCGAAAAAAACAACAAUUGUUGGAUUAUGGUUAAUGGAUGACUUACACCAGCUUGAGGAAGUUCAGUAUCACUUCCUAGCCCUAUCAUCUCUGCAAUUUGGCGAGAGUAGUCUUUCACCCCAUCAAAGAUCAAACCAUCCUCUGAGUGAAAGGCAAUUUGAUUCUCUUCUAGUAGCAUCAACCUAGAGAAACCACAGCACAACAUUUAUUUAUAGAAAGUAAAGGAAAAAAAGAAGAAAAAAACUUUAUGAAUCAAUCACAGCCCUGAUAAAAGUUAAGUUACUUUCAUUCAAGCAAUCUAUCAUUCAAAAUUAACAAACAAUCAUUCAAUCAAUCAGUAGUUACAAGGGUUUCAAAAUUCAAAUAGUGGUAAAAAAUAAAACACAACUGAAAAGAUUUUUUUUUAUCCAAAGGAAGUACCUUUUGGUCAUACUUCCAGAUGAAAGAAAUUGAUCUUUGGUUAUCUUCACAUUCCCACUCCAUAUAAUAUCUCUGCCACUGGGCCAACGCAAUGGAAUUUUGUAUUCCUUUGGAGGACGAACCAAACACCGGUCUUCUUCCGUCAACAAUUUGCAGUGCCGAUCCAGCUCCUCACCCUGUUCAAAUCCAGACAACAAAUUUGCAGUCACAUUGUGGCAUGGCACGUAAUUUUCCCUUUCUUUUCCACAAAGUCCUAAUUCCUUUUGCCUUGAACCACCACUGGAAACAGAUUUCAGCUCCAAAUAAUCAACCGCUACACGCUCCUUUAUCCUCCUGUAGUUUGUGUAGAUGAGAGAAGCCGGUCUCCGAGGCGAGGAAUCAAUUGCAUUGGAAGAUGAAGAACCAAACAAUGUAAUCAGAGCCAGAACAGUAAUCACAGUCAAUAUUAACCAGUUUAAUUUUGGUUUAGGGCCGAAAAUCAUCCACAAUUUAUUCAACAAAGAGCUUCUCAUGUCCAAAAUCGUAAAUCCGUCACGUACAGAGAAAGAGANNNNNNNNNNNNNNNNNNNNNNNNNNNACUAAAUCGUAAACGUAAACACCUUUAACCCUGGUUUUCCAACCAUAACCUAUCGUAAUACCAUGAAUCUUAGCCACAAGUACAGCAAGCAUUGAAACAAUAGGCUGAUCUGAAAAAGGAAAAACCGCGCAACGCCGAUCGAACGAAUGAGGAAACAAUCGAUGAAUCAGAUCGGAGAGUGAAUUGAAAAUGGAAAACGAAUCCGAUCGAAGAAGUUAGGAGAGGAAAAUGGAGAAUUAGGGUUUUUGGUUGAAGAAGAGAGUGAGAUUGAUGAUUUAGAAAGCAAAUUGUGAAUGGUGAAGAAGAGCGCUAAUUGCGGUUGGGUCCAAACUGUUUGGAUUCUUGUUACUAAACUUUACUACUUCUCUUCGUAAUUUUUAUCAAUUUCCUUAUAUACUACUACUUCCGUUUCAUUUAUUAAACAGAUCCAAAAAUACAGACCAUAAUUUACUUUUUAAACAAACAAUUUCUUUAAAUGGAAUUCUUGGAUUUCUUUAGUAAUGACGAGUUUGGAUAAUAAAUUAUAAGUUAUGAGUUCGAUUCACAACUUAUUGUGAAAAAAAUUAUGCAAAGUGGUGGGAUUAAACUUGAGAAUCGUUUGUAGCUAGAAUUGAUUUACUUGAAGCUAGAAAUUGUAGUUUCUGAUUCUAGAAUUGAUUUUUACACUUAAAUUCUUUCUUCAACCCACUUUUAUAUGAAUAUAUUCAAACAUAAAUCAAUUAUGUCAAACUCAAUUCUGUCAAACUCAAUUCUGUUAAAAUCAAUUCAGUCUACCGCAAAACCAAACACAUACUGUGAAGAAGAAUAUUUAUAUAUAUAGUAGUAACAAAUAUUGAUUUUAUAUGGUCUUGGGCUUAAGCGCUUUGUAUUUCAGAAAAAUAAAUAUUUAUAUAUAUAGUAGUAACAAAUAUUGAUCACUUUAUUCUUUUAAGCUUAUUUCAGUAGGUGUGAACGUCAAAUUAUAUGAGCGGUGUUCGAACUUCAAACACUAUACUUAUUUACUUUUAAGGAUGAAAUUUUUAGUCAUUAUAUAUAUUUCGUGACAAAAAAAUAUUGAUAACUUUUUUUAGUCACGAUUACACAAAAAAAAUAUAUUAUAUUAAAAAUACAUAGACUAUUUUAUUAUUUUCUCAUUCUACCUUUUAUUAAACAUAUAUGUGUUACUAAAUAAAUAUAAUAACUAAAUUUUAAAUCCCUUUAACUUUNNNNNNNNNNNNNNNNNNNNNNNNNNNNNNNNNNNNNNNNNNNNNNNNNNNNNNNNNNNNNNNNNNNNNNNNNNNNNNNNNNNNNNNNNNNNNNNNNNNNNNNNNNNNNNNNNNNNNNNNNNNNNNNNNNNNNNNNNNNNNNNNNNNNNNNNNNNNNNNNNNNNNNNNNNNNNNNNNNNNNNNNNNNNNNNNNNNNNNNNNNNNNNNNNNNNNNNNNNNNNNNNNNNNNNNNNNNNNNNNNNNNNNNNNNNNNNNNNNNNNNNNNNNNNNNNNNNNNNNNNNNNNNNNNNNNNNNNNNNNNNNNNNNNNNNNNNNNNNNNNNNNNNNNNNNNNNNNNNNNNNNNNNNNNNNNNNNNNNNNNNNNNNNNNNNNNNNNNNNNNNNNNNNNNNNNNNNNNNNNNNNNNNNNNNNNNNNNNNNNNNNNNNNNNNNNNNNNNNNNNNNNNNNNNNNNNNNNNNNNNNNNNNNNNNNNNNNNNNNAAUUAAAAAGUGUCGGGGGCACUCGUUCAUUAGCAUUUACCAAUAAAAUAUUACAAGUAGGCUUUCUUAAUUUAAAAUGUAAUCUAAAAUUAGUAGCCUAGUUCAUAAAAAUAAAAAUAAAAAUAAAAAUAAAAAUUAGUGGCAUUGCAUUCGUGUUGACAACUUACUUACACAUCGUGUUGCAGGCAUAGUAUCUUUUUUUUAGUAAGUUUGUUUAUACUUAUAAUAGUAAGUUGUACUACAGCUCAAAAAACAAACAUAUGCGCUGCACCUGCACGUCCAGCUAGCAGAUAUGAUUUCGUAGCAUUCAAAAAGUUCCCAAACGAAACAAACAUCCAUUGGACCUAAAUAUUCUAGAUUUCAUGCAAGAUCGUAUAAAUUCAGAAUGUUUUAUUGGAAAAUACUAUCUUUUAUAGUUAGACAAAAAUUAAUAUUUAAAAAAUAUAAUGUGUUAAGAUAAUAAGUUGUUAGGCUUUAUAUUAUUGGGCCCGUUAGGCUUAUAGUCCACUAGGUUUUGCUAUAUAAUCUCUUGUAACUCUAUUUUAUUAAGCAAAUGCAAUUCUAAUAUUAUGUAACCGUAGUUGUCUCCUUUGUUAUUCCCCUAGUUUGUAUCUUUGAUUCUAACAUGAUAUCGAGAGCUUGUUUCGAUCCUCCUUAGAUUGUGUAUUGUUAUCCGCUGCCGAGUUCCCAAUAGUUUGGGAAUGUGAUUAUUCUAUUGAGGUUGUGUUGCUGCGUUUUGAGUUCUCUUGGUUAAUUUCUAGGUUGGUCAAAAUUGGUUUCUAUUGAUGGUUUCUAUUGAAUCAAAUGAAUUUGGUUCGGCGGAGUGGAGAUAAUUUUCGUCUGCAAGGAAUCAACCUUUUAUGGCUUAUUGGAGAUUUAUAGGUACCGUCACUAAUAUCAAAUUUGGAAUUGGCAGUGCAAGGUACUUUGGUUAUUGGAAUAUCUCUAUUAGGCACAUGAUGUUCUACGGGUUGAAAGUGGCUUUUUGAUGGUGUCAUACAUUUGUAUUUGUCUUCCAUUUCCUUUGAAUUAGUUGAUUUUUGCUUUGAUUGUUGAGAAAAUUUAUUGAGUCGUCAUCAUCCAUAAUGUCUAGUGUCCUUUUAUGGUACUGUCUAUUGGUUCCUAUGUGUGAUUUAUGUUGGGUUUGUUUGUUUUCUUAGAGGAAAUGACACCGUGUGGGUGUUUGAGUUAGUAAAAAAAAAACAAAAAUUGGUUUGUUGGUUUGUUUGUCUUGAUUUGAUUUCUUUCAGUUCCACUUGAAUUGGUUUCGUUUCCAUAUGUUUCAAUUCGGUUAUUUGGUGAGUCAAAGUGCUCACAAUUUGAUUAUUUGGUGAGUUGAGUGCUCACAAUUUGAUUUCUUUUGAUUGAUUGUUGGUCUCUCUUGUUUGAUUGUUUCUCUUCCCCUUUUUUGAUUCUUCUUUGUUUGAUUGUUUCUCUCUUAUUAACUUCUUUUGUCUGAUUACUUCCCUCUAUUGGUUCUAUUUGAUUGAGCUUAUCUCCCUAUUGGUUUCUCCUUAUUAGUUCUUUUGUUUGAUUGCACUUCUCUCUUCUAAUUGAUUACAUUGCACUUCUCUCUGUCAAUUCUUCUGUUUGAUUGCUUCUCUCUAAUGAUUUCUUCCGUCUGAUUGUUUCUUUCUAAUGAUUUCGCUUCUCAUUGAUGAUGGUUUUGUCUGGAUCCUGUCUUAUUGCUUCUCCCUGCUGAUUUUCUUAUGUCUGAUUGCUUCUGAUGAAUUCCCUUCUCUUCUGUUGGAUUGCUCCCCUCUGUCUGUUCUUCUAUUUUAGUUGCUUCUCCUUCUAUUGACUGAUUCUUCUGUUUGGUGAUUUAGUUCACUUUGGAUUGGAACAAUUUGGUUUGGUAAAGUUUGGAUUUGUCGGAUUGGUUUGGAUUUGGUUAGCUUGGACUGAAUUGGAUGAAAUGGAUGUUAGCUUGGUUUGAUUUGAUUCUCCUCUCUAUCUCUGCAGGUUCCUCUUUUGGUACUAUUUGUGGCUCUUGGUUAUGAUAUUAGUUGAUUUAGUUUAAUUUUAUGGGUUAAUUUUGUAACAAGUUUAAAAGCUUAGUAAACUUUAGCUUGAGGGAUAAUAUUAAGAUAAAAUGUUGAGUUUAUAUUAUUAAGUAUGUUUUGUUUGACAAACUCUCGAUGCUUUUUGUUGUUGCAUCGUGAGUUUGAGGGUAAGUGUUAAGAUAAUAAGUUGUUAGGCUUUAUAUUAUUGGGCCCGUUAGGCUUAUAGUCCACUAGGUUUUGCUAUAUAAUCUCUUGUAACUCUAUUUUAUUAAGCAAAUGCAAUUCUAAUAUUAUGUAACCCUAGUUGUCUCCUUUGUUAUUCCCCUAGUUUGUAUCUUUGAUUCUAACAUAAUGCACAAAUUUCAAACAAAUAUUAUUACAUUUCCAUUCUUAACUUUUAGAGCAUAUGUUAAAUUGUCCUUAAGAUAAUUUAUUUUUGAAAAAUACUGACUAGUGUUUUUAGGAUAGUAUUAAAUAUACUAAAUAGGUCUUAAAACUUUUUUCUUUUUUAAUCAUCAGUAUCCGGCCAGCUAGACGGUCUAAUCGGUUCGAAUGUCAAUUUUGACAUCAAAUGGUUCCGACCUCCUCCCGAUCGUAGUAUAUUGUUUUUGGUACAUACUAUUAUAUUUUAUUUUUUCUUUGACAUGAAUGCUAUUAGAUAUGGACUAAUGCUACGGUGGACCACCUUUACAAGUGGUCCAUCGUGGAUAAGUGAUAUACCAAUACGACUUUUAUAAAAUUUACUGUUAGAUUGAAAAUUUAUAUCAUAUAGAUUAUCUAUAAAAAAUUCUUAGAAAAAUUAUAAAUGAUUUGAUAUGUUACUGAGACAUUGUGUCGUGACAUUUAACAUUAUCCUUAUCCUUUUUAUAAACAAAAAUAAUAAGAAAUUUUUUAUAUAUAUAAUCCUUCCACAGAGUACUUCUUAUAUUACCUUUUUUCUUAAUAUUCUUAUAUUACCUUCAUGAUUUUAUUAAAAUUUCAAUAUGGAUUAAUUCAAUGUUUUCUUAUUAUUGUUUUUAAGAGAGAACAACUCAACUCAUAUUCAGUGUUUUUUUAUUAUUUAUUUUUUAAAACUAAAUGUAUCAUCCGUGCGCAACUGUAAAGACUAAUUCCCUCGAGGUAACUGAGAUCCAUUUAAGAUGUUGAUCUCUCCUAACAAAUGCUUCUUCAUACGCACCGAUCAGGGAUCGAACCCAAGACCAAAUGGUUAAGAAGCCCAAGUAUUUUUGCCACACUAUAUUGGUCGGUAUGGUUUCUAAUAAAAAUGUGUUAAAUUGAAUUUAUGAUUAUCGGACGUUGUAUUACGCAUGGAGAAAAUGAGUUGUAACAAACAAAAUUCUUUCAUUUUCUUCUAAGCUCAAAAUAUAGAGAACUCUCGAUACAAGAAAAUGUAUAACAACCUGAGAAUAGAAAAUGAAAAGAAAAAACAUCCCUUGUUUAACAUUGAGUUCGACACUUGUGGUGUGACCAGCCCAACAUCUUUGUUUGAAGCAAAGCUUUCCUCGUUAGUUUGCUUUGGUUUGGCUUGUUUCGGGGGAGAGGUGAGCCGUUUAUGCUGUAUGGAAAAAGGAGCUCUCGUACUGUGCCAAACCUAACGAGGCCAAACAAGAAAAUGUAUAACAACCUUAAGAAUAGCAAAUGAAAAGAAAAAACACCCUUGUUUAAUAUUGAGUUCGACACUUGUGGUUCCUCUUCGAUAAUCGGUUCCAAUUUGAAGGAAUUUGUGGAUGGAUCUCAUCUCUCUUGCCAUUUGAAAAAUAAAAUGCAAGCAAUCCGUUGUUGUUUUCGAUGAAGAAAAUUAUUGUAUUGAAUAUUUAUUUGAAGCAAAUGAUUGAAUACAAUAGAGAUGAAAAGAGUUAAAAUAAAUAUGUUUUGAGCCCGUAAAAAGAGGACAAAACAUGGAAUGUCCAACUAUGAUAUAAUAUGGAUAUGAUAUUUUCUCUUUAGGCCCCCCACGUUUCUUUUAUACCCCCCUUACUUACGUUUUUGCCCCUNNNNNNNNNNNNNNNNNNNNNNNNNNNNNNNNNNNNNNNNNNNNNNNNNNNNNNNNNNNNNNNNNNNNNNNNNNNNNNNNNNNNNNNNNNNNNNNUGAAAAGAGUUAAAAUAAAUAUGUUUUGAGCCCGUAAAAAGAGGACAAAACAUGGAAUGUCCAACUAUGAUAUAAUAUGGAUAUUGCUUCAAUCCAAACAGCAAAGGAUUUAGGCAGAAUAUGUUUUCUAACUAAAUAUCGGUAACAAUUCUUUUUUCGUUACAAAUUCGGUGACGAUGCUUCUAUUUUUAGAAGGAAUUAUGUUUGCACUAUAGAGAUGGUAUUCUUAGGGUUGGGGACCGGCCAGGCCAAGCUUUGACAGGCCUGAGUCUGACAAACGAUUUUUCUUCGAGCCUAAGUCUGGUCUACGGCCUAUCAAAUGUUAUUUUUUUUGGCCUGAUCUGAGCCUUUUUUUAUAGCCCGGCCUUGUAGCCUAUUUAAAAGUCUGUGUUACAUAAAGACCUCUAUAUAGUCUUUUUAAAUACAGGCCUUAAAGCCUAUUUCACAUUUAAAUUUUUAUAAUUUCUACAACAUUAAGAAAAAGCUAAUAAAAUGAUGGGGAAAUAGUCAUUUUCGUCCUUCAUUGUGCAACUUGCUAUCAAUCUGGUCCCUCAGUGAAGAAAAACUAAAAUAUAGUCCCUCAAUGUGCACUCCGUUAGUCAGUUUAGUCCCCGGCGUUACAUUUGGCCGUUAACUCAACAAAAAAGCUGAUGUGGCAUUUUUUUGGGCACACACCAGCUUGUUGAGUUAGCAAUAGUUUUACAAGUGGCUGAUGAUUUGGCAAAGGACGAAAAUGAUAGUAGAUACCAAAUUUUCCCAAUUUAAAUCCUUAAAUCCCAAACCACAUUGUUCCUUUUUCUUCUCUGUUGCUGCUGUUCUUCAUCUUCUUCCAUGUUUAUUGUUUUUGUUCUUCAAUUUGUUGUUGCCUUCCAUUAAUAGAGAGAAUCGAUCUACAUGAUGGGGGUGAUGUAAAUUCGUCACAACGUAGCAACACACCUUCUUCGCGAGCUGCAUUUCCUUCUUCCAUUAAGAUUUUUUAUGGUUGUGGUCGAAUUGCAGUUCAACGUGUUGCACAAACCCAGGCGAAUAUGGGUAGGGCAUUCUUCACAUGUGCAAUUAACAAGUUAAUUUUUACUUCUAUUCUUCACAUGUGUCAUUUUUAAUUCUUCAUAAUUCCAGGUUAAGGUGAUUUGGGUUUAUAAAAUUGAGAACAAAAACAAACUUCAUUGCUGGAUGAUUAUGGUUGUUGUGGAUACUUUGUAUGGGUUGACAAUUUGAUUGAAUGUCAUACAAAUUCAAGUGAUGAAGGAAUUGAAUCACUUGGCUUGCAUCAUGGAAGAGAGAUUGGGCGACAACAAGCAAUGGGUGGACAACUUUGGUCCCUUAUUGCCAACUCAACAAGCUGAUGUGUGCCCAAAAACUAACACAUCAGCUUUUUUGUUCAAUUAAUGGCCAAAUGUAACGCCAAAGACUAAAUUGACUAAUGGAAUGCACAUUGAGGGAUUAUAUUUUAGAUUUUCCUUAGUGAGGGACCAGAUUGACAGCGAAUUGCACAAUGAGGGACAAAAAUGACUAUUUCCCCUAAAAUGAUUAACACAAUAAUUAAAAGCUAAUAAAAUAACCUUAUACACUAUAACUUAUAAGUUAGCAAAACACUAGAUCAUCAAAUCCAGAUUCUUCAAGUGUAAGCAAAACAAAUCUAAAACCCAAGGUAUAAAGUCUAAUUUCUAAUUUCAUUUGUGAAUUGUGCUGUAAAAUAUUUUGUCUAAAUAAUAUAUUUUUUCUUUGUAAAAAAAAAAAUAUAUAUUUUCUCUAAUGUUUUGUAUUAUAUAAAUAAUAUUUUUUUACAAGAUAUAAAUAAUAAUAUUAUAUAAAUAUAAAUAUAAAUAAUAAUUAUUAAAUAUAAACAAGCCGGCUUAUCAGACUUUGUUAGCUUUUUUAGAAGUCUGAGUCUGACCUAUUUAUGUAAAUAGAUAGGAUCAUUUUAAAGCCUAAGCCUGACAUUUUUAAUAAACAGGUCAGGCCAGGCUUCAACAGGCCAGUCCGAAGGCCCCUGUAGGCCAGACGGCCUAUUCCCAACCCUAAUUAUUAUAGUUAUAUAUUCUUUUAGGCUUAAUUUUAGUUUUGAUCCUCUAUUUUUAUCAUUUUAUAGAAUUGGUCUCUCUAUUUUAAAAUUUGACAAUUUUGACCUAUCUUAAAUAUUUUGUCUAAAGGAAUUAAGUUUAUAAAGAAAUUUUCAUACGACUUCAUCAAUGUUAAUAUUUUCCCAUCAUCUGAUCAUAUACCACAUCAUUUAAAAUAUAUUACAUCGACAAUUUAUAGUUAAAAAAUAUGAUGGAAGGACUGAAAAUAUUAUAAUUUCUUUGCAUUUAUUUUUCUCUAUUAUAUGGUACCAAAGUUCGACUCAAGUAUUUUUCUCUUUCUCAUCAAUAUCAUUUAUAAAUUAACAAAUUUUGUUUUUUUCUCUAUUAAAAAAAAUUAUAUGUUUUCAUCCCAAAAACUUUCUUGUUUUGUUUUAGUUCUAAUGGACAAAAUUUUGAAAGAAAAAAAAAACAAAAUUUUGAUUUGUUUUUUUUAUAAUUUUUGAACAUGAUAUGACUUAUAUAGGUUUAACGUAAUAUAUAGAUGUAAAUUUAUAGACACAUCUUAGAACAUAAAAUAGAAUUGGUUAUUAGAGACGAAAAAUAAAGUAAGAAUUUUUUUAGGAUGAAAACAUGUGAUUUUUUUUUAGGAACGAAAAAUACAUUUAACCCUAAGCAUUUUAAGGUAGAAAACAUGUAAUAUUGGUGUAUUGGGAAGAAAAAUAUAUGGAGCACAGAAACAAAAAUCACACAGCAUAUAGGUAUACUUCAUUUAUCAAAUUCUGAAAAAUUUAUAUUAUUUUCCCAUUUGACAACAUACUUUAACAUUGAGAACGAUUGCUUGUGGAAUCACUAAAUCUUUUACAUUACAAAAUGAUCAACAUGCUCGAGCACCAAUAUGCAGAUGUGAAUUCUUAGGUAUCAUUUGACCUAACUUUUUUUUCUAUUCUUUUUCCUUAAAAGUAAGCUAGGUUAAACAACAAUUUUUAAAAGCUCUACUAAAAAAACAGCUAUAUUUUUUAAAAAAAUUAUAAUAUAUUAUAAAACAUAUCUUUUAACCUUACUAUAAUAAAAUAAAAAACAACUUUUAACCAACCUUUUUAUAUAUAAAAAAUAAAUAAAUAAGAUUUACCAAGUAACUUUAAUUUUAGUUUUAAAACUAUUAUUUCUAGUUUUAUAAUUAAAAGAGUUUCACACCUAAAAAAAAUUGGGUCAACGGUACCUGCAUUUUCUAAGUAUAAAUUUGCAUGUAAUAAUAUAAUUAAACAAACAGCAAGGAAUAAUAAUAUAAUAAAACAAACAAGGAAUAUAACAACAAAAUCUUUAAACAAAAAUGAUAUAUAACUGGCCAAUUCCAAAACAAUCAUACCAGAAAAAUUAGAUACAGUAGGAAACAAAAUUGGAAGAGAUUAAGAAAAAAGAAGUCAGUAUGGAGAAAACCUGAUUUAACCAAAGAACUCUGACGAAAAAAUAUCACAGAAACUACAAAGCAAAAGACUCUAAUUCAAAUUCAAACCAAAAUCCCUAAUGCCUCCCUCUAUCUACUAAGAAAAUCUCGUUGCCACUCAAUUACCGACAAAAAGAAGCACUUUACUGAGCCUUCACUGGCGGUUGACGAGCGACUUUUCCUCCUCCAUUCUGAUAACUCCUUGGUGCAGCAUCUCCAUUGCUUCGACCGGUAUUAUUGCCUCCUCUAGGCCGGCCAGAGAACUCGCCUCGCCUGUCAAAAUCAUUCCUUCCGUUAAAGCCACCACCACGGCCACCACCAAAGUUGCCACGGCCCCUGAAGUUAUCAUUUCUGUCAUUUCGGUAUCCACCACGUCCUGCAGAAUACAGACACAAUCACUCUAUUAGCUGCAACAAACAAUGUACAAGUAANNNNNNNNNNNNNNNNNNNNNNNNNNNNNNNNNNNNNNNNNNNNNNNNNNNNNNNNNNNNNNNNNNNNNNNNNNUCACACAGGAACACAAUUGUACAGCAAGAUCAACAAAAUAGACUUAAAAGGUUCAAAUUUAACAAGAGAAAUAAAUAUGGCACACUUGCCUCGCCUUUCUUCAAUGGAAAGCCUACGGUUGUCCAACAUAACAGGAGGGGAGGCCUGAAAUAAAACAUACAAUUUUUCAGAUGAAGCUAGCAGAAGGCUUCGUACACUUCUCACUUAUUGAAAAAAUAAGUUAAACAUUGAAACAUUUAAUAACAAAAUGCAAGAAAUGUCCCCUUGAUAUAUUUGGAAAAAGAAAAAAAAAACUCAAGAUUUAUAAAACCCAACCAACAUUCAAUUUAUGACCUUGCUGAUAAUGACUAUUAAUAGAAAUACUCCAUACCUCUAGGGCACUUUGCAGUGAAGCAGCAGAUUCAAAUUCCACAAAACCAAAGCAAGAUCCCUGUUGCUAAAGGAAAAAGUAUCCUAUCAGUAGCUGUAAGUCAAUGUGUGGUUAGUAAACUGGGUGUUGGAAAUGCUUAAAACAAACGAACCUUGUUACUUCUAACUUGAAUACCAUCACGUUUAAUGGUCCCGAAUUUCUUGAAAACCCGGUCCAAUUGCUCUACUGUUGCAGUCAUAGGCAAAUUCGCAACAAAUAUUGCAUGAGCCCUACCUGAGGAAAGAAUAAUUACAGAAGUUAUGACAGAACAUACCAUUUGAAUGAGACUCUUUAUACCGAAUUAUAUAAAUACUUAACCAUAGAGUCAUAAAAAGAGUAACAAUAAAAUUACCUCCAUUCUCAAUAUUCUUUUCCGAUGGAAUGUCCAUGUUAGGGGCUGGUGCUUCAGGAGCAGGCACGCUAUGUACACGGGGUGGUUGCACAGCGGGUUUUGCAGGAGAAGUCCUCGAAAGGAAGGGAGCAGAAUUAUCUUUAUAGGCACUCACCUGGAACAAAUAAUUGCAGAAAAUUUAUUGUAGGAUAACUAAAAAAUAAAGAUGCAAGUAAAUAAAUUAAUUAAUAAACAAAACUCACAAUGGAUGCAAAAGAUUUUUUGGGAGUAUCCUCCUGUGUAUUUGAAGGAACUUUCUCAAUGCUUGCCAUUUGUUCCUGAUGACUUGACUCUUUAACAUGAUUAACAGGAAUCACAUUUUCAGUAACUGAUAAUUUUCCAUUCUCCAGUGGUAAGCUCACUUCUUUGCUGAUGUUAGUGUCAGUAUCAGCAAUAACAGGUUGAAUGGUUGGAAUGUCUUCAGCAACAUGAAUAGGCUCUACAGUCAACAAUCAAAAGCAAAACUUUAAAACCCAAACUUCCAACAAUAAAAAGACUCGUAUAGUGGAAGAAAAAGAAACUAAAAUUCAAUGGGAGGAUAUAUUUAGCAUUAAAUAGCAUAAGGAAUCAAUAUUCAAAUGCAAGUAUCUGUAGUUCAGGCAUACAGCUUGAAGAAUCCCUAAUAACUGUCGUGUUUAUAAAUAUUAAUCUUGUGUGUGAUAAACUUGAGCAAUUCUAAACAUUCUUCUGUAGAAGACUCAAACUUUCUCUAAAAAGACUUGAAAACUAUCUCAUAUUAUUUCAUGUGAUUUACCAGGAUCUGGAGUAAAAGCUUCUGAUGGAGCACUUUCAUCAGCAUCAUUUGCUGGUACAGUCUCAAUAUCAACAGACUUAUACGCAUCAACAUAUCUAAAAACAUCAUUCAAAACAUAGAAGCCCUUGUCCUGUGGAGCUAGGAAAAAGGACUGAGCAAAUUUGCGUUUAACAUUGUCAGUUCCGGUCAAGCAGCCAGUCACUACAACCACAACCCCACUAUUAUAUGAAGGCUGAGCAUCAGCACUCAGAACCUCUACCCUAUAGCUUGUGUAAUCAAAAGAUUGUAUCUUUUUAUCAAUUUCCUGCAUCAAAUUAAAGAUCAUCGAAGUCAGACAGUGGUAAAUCAUGUGUCACAAUACACCAUAAUCAUACUCAAAAGCAAUAAAAAAUAGAACACCCAAAAUAUUGCAACACAUUAAGCUCGAUCAAACAUUAACUUGAACUGUAAACAGGGGAUUGAAAAUACAGCAUUCAUUAUUAAAUCCACAAAUGCCAAUCACAAAUCAUAAUAACUUUUGAUACUUUUAUUUUGCUUUGCAGAGAACAAAAUUACUCAACAGCCAGCCAACAUGAUAUUAAGUGAUUAAGAUUUAAGAGCAUGAUACAUACUAAUAAUAAUAAUAAUAAUAAUAAUAAAAAUAAAAAUAAUACAGAGGAUAUAUUUCACAUACGAACCAGUGUUAAGGUUUGACAACAGUGUAAAUCUGGCUACAUAUGAAUGAUAUCUAAUCUACAAUUUACUACAAAGAUAUGAAGCAUAUCCUGAUGCUGAUUAGGGUGCUUUCAAUAUAACAAAUAUAACGUAAUUAGGCAUGACUCAUUUUCUCAACAAAUAACAGCACAGCUAUUUUUUCAAUCAAAGAAAUACAAUUCACUGAUUCAGCAUUAACAACUGUUAAACAUGACCUAAAUCUACACUUAGAUAAUUGAACACAUCUAAAUUAUAACUAAUGAUUAAAGUUGAUUGUUUGAACUUACAGCAGUGGUAGUGACAGUUGUCAUGGUACCGUCUUCUUCAGGUCGACUCAAGACACUUGAUUCGUGGUAAAACUUAUGAACCUGAUCCGGGUCUUGGUGAAGAAUUGAGUAAUACUGCUCGACAAAAGCAUUGCCAACCACCUGAGGGGUUGGGGUUUGGACUCCAUCAGAUACUGCCAUCUCUACAACAUAACACACAAACAUAAGUUAGUAAUUUCAAAUCCAAAUUAAAGACACUCCUAUACACGACAAAAAUCCGAUCAUCAUUAACCCUAGAAACCACCGAUCAAAUAAAUGUAAACAAUUCAUAUGACCUAACCUAUUCAACGAAUACAAAAAUCGUAACUUUUAACAAUUAAAGCGAGUAUUUUUAUAAUGUUUGAUUGAAAAGCCCUAAAUCUGAAUAACAGAAUAACAACGAAACCCUAAUAAACAAUUAGAAAUCGGCGAAAUUGAAUAAUUAAAAAAGAAAAAAACACACACGUACAUGGAGAGAGAGAGAUCGAGAUCGAGAAUGGGAGAGAAAAGUAGUACGUACCUCCUUGGUGUGAUGGAGAGAUCAAAGAGAGAAAGAGAAAUGGGGAGGGAGAGUGAGUGAGUGAGAAUGCGUGCGGCUGAUGAGUGUAAGUACAAGAGAGAGUAUAUAUAGGAUCUGUUGUGAUGAGAGAGCAAGGGCAAAAUUAUUAUUAGCAAAAUAUUUAUACUCCAUUUUUUUUGUCAAAUACUCGAUUUAAUUAUUAUAAAUAAAUAUUCCAAUUUUUUUACUUUUAGUGAGCCAAACACAACAACACAUAACAACCCGGUUUAUUGUUCACACGUGAGAAUGGGAUGGAACCAGGCCAAUGUUUUGUUUGUUUUUUUUUUUGUUUGGUUCCUUCCUCUCUCUCUCACUCACUGCGGUUAUUAUGUUUCAUGUUUCAAAUAGUAUGGCAUCCAAUUUGGAUUUAAAACCAAAAUUCAUUCAUUAGAUCAGAAAUUAAGUGGUUUCAGCUCCCUCCUGAUCACAGUUGUGGGGGAUAGAACUGUGGUUUUCCCUACCAAGUUCAGCGUCAAUCACCACCGAUCGCAGUUGCGGGAGAUCAAACUGUGGUCCUCCCUACCAAGUUCAGAUUCAAUCACCACUAAACCAACUAACGAUUGAUUAUUACUAUUUUUUAUAUUUAUAAAAUUUUAUUUCGUUUCUUAAUUAGUAAGAACAUCGCAUUUUUUGCAUUUUAUAUAUAAGAAUGGAUCGGCAAUCGCAUUUAAUUAGUUGAUGACAAUUUAUAUAAAUAUAUAGUAUGUCAUGCAAUUCGAUCGAAAAAUGUAGACUUUUUGUUUAUACCAUAAGCUUUCGAUGGUCUCCACCAAGCUAGAUGUUUUGGUGGAUUGUAGUUUACUCAGGUCUGUGUGGAUUGUGUUUAUUUGUCGGCGUUUUCUUUUAGUUUGACAAGGGUCUGGUUCGACAAUAGUGUUUUCGGUGGGAGAUGUUUCUAUUCUACUUCACUUUGGUUAUAGUGUUUCGUUCUGGUUUUAGGUUCGAAUUUGGAGUAGGACGAGAGUGAGUCAUUGUAGAAUUUUAAAUUGUGUUGUUUGGGUUUGGAGCAGUAGUUUUGGUUGAGGUAAUGGAAUGAAUUAUGAGUGAUUGUGUAACAAAUAGAAACCUACGGUCUACAAACCACUAGUAUGCCUUACUUCUACGUAUGAAGCCUUUUUUUAAAACUAAGAUCUUACAUGUCAAAUUUAUUAUAUAUAGAAGUGUUUGUGUUUAUCGUCGAGAAUAACUAGUUGUACUCUGAGGGAGUUGCACAAUACUGCAGAUAAUUCUUUAGUUUAAUGUGACAACACGUCUCCGAUUAUUAAUUUUCAGUUAUCCACAACAACAAUCUAAAAGGAAUUAUGACCGAAGACGAAUUUGACUAUGGCAAAAUAACCCGCGGUUUCCACUUCUCACGUAGUUAUACCGACACGCCGACAAUGGUCACCUACCUCAAAUGUAGGUGUGGUGAUUUUAGAUUUCCCUUACUUUGUAAGACGUAAAACUGUGGGGGUUCGCCUGCUAAUAAAGGGACCAGAGGAUAGUGAUCGACUUGUUUGUAAAAAUAUGAAAAGAUAGUAAUCAAGAGAGAGGUAGAAAAUUAGAAGAAGGAUUGAGAAAAAAGAAUAAGAGUAUCUAAUAUUUGCAAAAAUAUAUGUUUGUCCGUUAUCUAUCUAUAAUUUUAUACUAUUGUGAGAUGGGGAGAGCAAUAAGGAGUCAAAGCAUGGUAUGCCUUAAAAGUAUCUGAAUCAAUAAGGUAAACUAUCUUCUACCACAAUUUCCUUAGAUAAUUUCUCUUUCAAAAAUCACAAUAAUUCAAACGAUAAACAAUUCAACAACCCUGUUCAAUUAAAGUCUUGGAGAAGCUACAUCCUACGUAAAACCAUGUCUUCGGAAGCUCACAAUGCUCCAGGGAGCGGGGAAGAGAAGNNNNNNNNNNNNNNNNNNNNNNNNNNNNNNNNNNNNNNNNNNNNNNNNNNNNNNNNNNNNNNNNNNNNNNNNNNNNNNNNNNNNNNNNNNNNNNNNNNNNNNNNNNNNNNNNNNNNNNNNNNNNNNNNNNNNNNNNNNNNNNNNNNNNNNNNNNNNNNNNNNNNNNNNNNNNNNNNNNNNNNNNNNNNNNNNNNNNNNNNNNNNNNNNNNNNNNNNNNNNNNNNNNNNNNNNNNNNNNNNNNNNNNNNNNNNNNNNNNNNNNNNNNNNNNNNNNNNNNNNNNNNNNNNNNNNNNNNNNNNNNNNNNNNNNNNNNNNNNNNNNNNNNNNNNNNNNNNNNNNNNNNNNNNNNNNNNNNNNNNNNNNNNNNNNNNNNNNNNNNNNNNNNNNNNNNNNNNNNNNNNNNNNNNNNNNNNNNNNNNNNNNNNNNNNNNNNNNNNNNNNNNNNNNNNNNNNNNNNNNNNNNNNNNNNNNNNNNNNNNNNNNNNNNNNNNNNNNNNNNNNNNNNNNNNNNNNNNNNNNNNNNNNNNNNNNNNNNNNNNNNNNNNNNNNNNNNNNNNNNNNNNNNNNNNNNNNNNNNNNNNNNNNNNNNNNNNNNNNNNNNNNNNNNNNNNNNNNNNNNNNNNNNNNNNNNNNNNNNNNNNNNNNNNNNNNNNNNNNNNNNNNNNNNNNNNNNNNNNNNNNNNNNNNNNNNNNNNNNNNNNNNNNNNNNNNNNNNNNNNNNNNNNNNNNNNNNNNNNNNNNNNNNNNNNNNNNNNNNNNNNNNNNNNNNNNNNNNNNNNNNNNNNNNNNNNNNNNNNNNNNNNNNNNNNNNNNNNNNNNNNNNNNNNNNNNNNNNNNNNNNNNNNNNNNNNNNNNNNNNNNNNNNNNNNNNNNNNNNNNNNNNNNNNNNNNNNNNNNNNNNNNNNNNNNNNNNNNNNNNNNNNNNNNNNNNNNNNNNNNNNNNNNNNNNNNNNNNNNNNNNNNNNNNNNNNNNNNNNNNNNNNNNNNNNNNNNNNNNNNNNNNNNNNNNNNNNNNNNNNNNNNNNNNNNNNNNNNNNNNNNNNNNNNNNNNNNNNNNNNNNNNNNNNNNNNNNNNNNNNNNNNNNNNNNNNNNNNNNNNNNNNNNNNNUCACAUACAAGAAAAGCUUGUUUCAUGUGCUCAUAUAAUUCUCUUACUUUACUAUAAUUAUUUUAAAUAUUAUAUGACAUAUAAUGGAAUGAAUUAUGAGUGAUUGUGUAACAAAUAGAAACGUACGGUCUACAAACCACACUAGUAUGCCUUACUUCUACGCAUGAAGCCUUUUUUGAAAACUAAGAUCUUACAUCAUCAAAUUUAUUAUAUAUAUAGAAGUGUUUGUGUCUGAGUCAUCUAGAUAUGUUUAUCGUCGAGAAUAACUAGUUGUACUCUGAGGGAGUUACACAAUAUUGCAGAUAAUUCUUUAGUUUAAUGUGACAACACGUCUCCGAUUAUUAAUUUUCAGUCAUCCACAACAACAAUCUAAGGAAUUAUGACUGAAGACGAUUCUGACUAUGGCAAAAUAACCCGCAGUUUUCCACUUCUCACGUAGUUAUACCGACACCCCAACAAUGGUCACCUACCUCAAAUGUAGGUGUGGUGAUUUUAGAUUUCCCUUACUUUGUAAGACGUAAAACUGUGGGGGUUCGCCUGCUAAUAAAGGGACCAGAGCACAGUGAUCGACUUNNNNNNNNNNNNNNNNNNNNNNNNNNNNNNNNNNNNNNNNNNNNNNNNNNNNNNNNNNUAAUCAAGAGAGAGGUAGAAAAUUAGAAGAAGGAUUGAGAAAAAAGAAUAAGAGUAUCUAAUAUUUGCAAAAAUAUAUGUUUGUCCGUUAUCUAUAAUCUUAUACUAUUGUGAGAUGGGGAGAGCAAUAAGGAGUCAAAGCAUGGUAUGCCUUAAAAGUAUCUGAAUCAAUAAGGUAAACUAUCUUCGACCACAAUUUCCUUAGAUAAUUUCUCUUUCAAAAAUCACUAUAAUUCAAACGAUAAACAAUUCAACAACCCUGUUCAAUUAAAGUCUUGGAGAAGCUACAUCCUACGUAAAACCAUGUCUUCGGAAGCUCACAAUGCUCCAGGGAGCGGGGAANNNNNNNNNNNNNNNNNNNNNNNNNNNNNNNNNNNNNAUGGCGAGCGCAAAGAUUGUAGCAGAGGCAGCUCAGUCAGGUUUCGGGAAAGGAGCUGAUGGGAAGGAUGUAGACAAAGGGAAGGUGGCAUCUGCUGCAGGGGAUCUUCUAGACGCAGUCGGUCAAUAUGCUAAAUUAGAUGAUCAGAAGGGGUUAGGACAAUAUGUUGAUAAGGCUGCUGAUUAUCUGCAU
rnacentral:lncRNA from 1 species